rnacentral:lncRNA from 1 species
UAUGUGUUUGUCUUACUUUUCUUUACUUGUAUUUGAUGAUCUUGUAUCUACAUGUUCUCUCUUGUUCUAUUAUAGAUGACAUCAUGUAUACUUGUGUUCCAUAUCUUGGUGUGUUUUUGGUAAUAUAUGUGAGAUAUAUUAGAACUAUUAGUGCAAGCGAUGUGGGCUACCGUUGUGGGACAUUUGCUGAUUGCAGGUGACGUGCCCUUAGUGUAUAUUUUGUAUGCUUUAUUUACCACUUUUAUUGGUCGACCUAUGAUACCUACUGAGUACAAGUGGACCAUAUUCAUGCCUACUGCGCCCUUUCGGUGUAGGUCCUAGCUCUAGUGCGCCUCGGCUUACUUGAUUCGGGCGAUUGUUGGAGCUUCCAAGGUAGCAGUUGGGCAUUCAUGCAUCCGAAGUUCACCUCUAUCUUUCUAGACUAGUUAUGUCUUUAUUAGUAUUCGGAGACAGUUAUUAUUCCUUUGUGGUUAUUUUUUUUUGAUGUAUUUGACUCUUGGAUUGUAUUAAUAGUUCUUACACUAUUGACACCUGGUUUUGGGCAUGAUUGAUAUUCUGGAUAAGUUCUUUCCGCAUUGUUAUGAUUAUUUAUAUGGUUCGGCAUCAUUCUAGAAGCCUUACCUUGGGGUAUUUCUGUCUUUUUCUCUAUUCGUAUCAGUAUGGGUGAUAGGCUUACUUGUCAAGGUACGCCGCGACAAGCGUCAUCAUGACCCUCGUUUUUGGGUCGUGACAAAAAGUUUAUCUCUUUGACCAAAUCCAUACAAAGAUCAUAUUUGAUGUCUUUUCUAAAGCUCUCAGGAAGGUUGCUUGAUCUCCCAUUCGUCAAUCCCAUGUGUUGUUGUAAAUCUUUGUCGCUCAUCAUUUCUCUGCUUGAAUUUUUAAAGCAACCUUCUUCUCCUCAUCCCCUAUAUUAUAUUCCUCAUCUUUAGUUACAUUACCUGUUUCCUUGAUAUUGUUGGAAGCAAGAAUACCUGUGCAAACAUGAUAUCAUCAUACACCAUAACAAAAACAAAUCACUCUAUCACUAUUAAUUAACUAAAAGAAAACGAAGAAAAAAAUCACAUUGAAUGCAGAAAAAUAACUUAAAUGAAAUCAAAAUCAAAUAAUUAAAAGACAAACAAAGAAGAAGAAGGAAAGCCAUGUUAGUGAGGGUUAAACAAGGGUUUGUAAAAGGAACGACACGUUAAUGAGGGUUAAAUAAGGGUUUGUAAAUAAAAUUAUAAUUUAAGUAAAUAAUUUGAUAAGAUAGUAUUUUAAUUGAUUAUAAGGGUAUUAUUAGGAGUUCUUAACUAUUAUAAAUAAAUAAAUAAGAUAGUGGUUUAAUUGAUUUAGAAGUGUAAUACAAACCCCAAUUUUUAAAAAACGAAGAUUCAAGUAAUAAAUUUUCAUGGGAUUAGUGACUAUUACACGUAUAGAUUUUGUUGUUAAGUACACGUAUAGGCAUUAAUUCACAAAGUUUAUAUAAGGUAAAUUUGAUUGCAUGUAAAUUUUAAUAAAUAGUAGGAAUUCUAAUUAAAUCAAAUUAGGAAAAACUUAAUUGCGAGAUCUUUUAAUUAAUAACAGUCUUAAAGAUUAAAAAAAAUAGUAAAUGACAGUUUUGCCAAUUGCGAAGACUUUUAAUGAAGGGUAAAAAGUUCAAAUCAUUUUUCUAAGGGUCUUCACGCUUUUAAUAUAUUAUAGAUUAAGAAGAUUUGCCAAUUAUAUAAACUUUGUUUAGUCGAUUACUAUCUAAUUGAAUAAUUGUCAAAUUUAAAGAUCAACUAGUAAACUUGGCCGCGCUUCGUGCGAUCAUAAAAUAUCUUAUCAAAUUUUACAUUUUUUUUGUGAAUUUCAUUUAUUUUUUAGAUAUCUAUUUGUGAUCCUUUAUUUUAAUAUUAUAGUUCAGUUUUUUUUUUAAUUUUAUCCUAUUAAAGUAAAAGAUAUAAUUACAUCAUAAUGAAAAUUAAUAUAUUCAAUAAAUAGACAAAUAUCAAAAAGUGAAACAGUAACCAAGCAAUAAGGUAGCAUAUUGCUAUAUAAUAUUAAGAAAGAAAGUCAACAUGUUCAGAAAACCUCCAAUAAGUAUUAGCGUUUUAUUUUUAUGAUAGGUCGAUUCUAUUGACAUUAACGAUAUUGUUAUUGAGUUCUCUUUGAAACCUAAGAAAUGUAAGUUGAGAAGUGUUUUUUGAUAUCUAACUAAUUUUAAGUAAAAUAUAAGGUAGAAAAAAAGGAAGAUGUAUUAUACUUUCAUUCAAAUUUCUUAAGAGAGAAAUUUAUGAUAAACCUCAUUUCUUUUCCUUUUUUUUUUUAUUGGAAUAAAAUAUAUAGGCAUUUCAUGUUUAAACAUUAGUAUUUCUUAUAUAUAUUUUUUGAUUUGUAACUCUUGUUUAUCCAUUUCUACCAAAAUAUGUACAUAUCAUGAAAUCUUUAAAAAAAAAAAAAAAGCAAAGUACCAAUAAUUUGUUCAUAACUAUUUAAAUCAAUUAACAUUACAUUAUAUUAUAUAUUACAAAAAAAAUUUCAUCUUCUAUACUUCAUUUACAUUCUUAUUGAAUAUCAUAUAUAAAUCAUAACUAUAAAAAUACUCUAAAAUAAUCGAAAGUCAUUUUGAUUUAGCAUCAUUAAAAAAAACUUUAUACACAAGAUGCAAUCAUUUUUGUGCACAUAAAUGACUUUCUUUAUUACAUCACCUAUGCAUAACAAUCAAAAACUGCAAUUGAAAAUCGAAAAAAAUUGAGAGAAUUAAUACAUAAUUCUUAAUAUUAAUAAACAGUAAGAACAUUUAAACAUUCAUAAUUGAAUAUAAUAAUCUUAACAUCUCAUGAUGAUAUAUAAGAUAAUUGAAAAGAAUUUAGAAAAAAAUAUUAAUGUGACAAGAAUCUUAGAUCGAAAUGAGAUAAACAGCCUUUUGAUUAUCUGUCAAAUAUAUUUUAUUAUUUUUAUUUACUUACAUGGAGUAGGUGGCAUGAUAAGAAAAAAAAAUCAGAAAUGAAAGAGGAGGAAACAAAUAAAUAAGGAAAUGAAAGAAGAUAUUAUUAUAUAUGCUAUUAUACAAUUUCAACAAUUAGUAUGCAAAGAAUGAACUAAAGAGGAAUCAUAAUUCAAAUUGCACUACAAAGAUAACUAAAGUACCUUAAAAUAUGUGUUUCGUACAUAACACACCACAAAGAAAUAAAGCUUAUAGUACCCAAAAAGAAUUUUUAUAAAGGGCUUACGGUAUAUAUAAAGAAAAUUAUACAUCAUAAAAGAAAUCAAAACAAAAUAGGAGUAAGAUUUGUUUUUAUGAACUUAUAGAUUGAGUUCAUAAAAUUACCUUAGAAGAAAUGAAUUCAACAUUGAAGUAGAUUCCUUGUAUGUAUCAAGCUUCUCGAUAUAAAUGACAUAGCAUGACUCAUCAAAAAUUAACAAAAAUAAAAUGCAAAAAAAUAUAAACUUUUCAACCAAAAAAAGAUGAGAAAUCUUAGUCUAUAAAAAAAUUAAAUCAUUUGUAUUUACUUAGAUAGAGCACAUACAAGUAAGUUUAAUCAAGAUUUUGAUAAAUUGCUACCAUUAUUUCAAAGAAGAAGAAAAACACUAAACUUAUGUUGAAGCGUUUCCUUCGCACAACUAAAGCUAAAAUGAUUGAUUCAUGAUAUAUAUUUUGAUAGUGUAAGAUAUAUAAAGGUUAAUUUUUAUCUUUUUCUCUCCCAUCGUUUAGCACAUUAUUACUUCACAUUAUUAAAAUUAACUAAGAAUUAUAAAGAUAGGUGAAAGAAUACAUGAAUAUACAUUAAGAUAUUUAAUAAAGAAGAUAAUUAUAAUGAGAGAUGAAGAGUUGAUUAAUUAAAUUAAUUAUUAAUUAUUAAUUAUUGAAUAAAAAAGAGAAAAUUAAAAAGAAUAAUAGAAAAAAUUUAAAAAGGAGAAACAUGUACAUCAGCAUGUUUAUAACUCCUAUAUAUAUAUUGCUACUAUUAAUAAGUGUGGAGCAACAAGAAACUCUUCGUUAACAUGCUUGCUUCUUCACCUGCUUCAGCUUCUCCGUAAUUUUAUUAUAUUAUUCCUAAUUAAUUAUUUUAAGUUAUUUAUAUAUUAAAAAGAUUAAUAAUAUUUAAUUAAAAAAUAAAAUAGACAGUUAUGACAUGUCUAUUUCAGUUGUUUCAAUUGUAGGUUUAUAAUAUCACCACUAAUUAAUUAGUAUAAGUCAUCUAAGUAUUAAAAAAUUAAUAAUAUUUAAUAAAUAAUAAAAUAGCUAUAAAUAAUAAAUUAAUUCUUGAUGUUUUAAAUUAAUAGGACAUCUUAUAUGAGACUCAUUUAAAUUUUUUUCACAAAUAUUUUUGCUCCAUGAUUUUACUGUAUUACCCUUAUUUAAGUAUUGUAGUCAUUUACAUAUAAGAAAAUUAAUAAUAUUUAAUAAAAAAAGAGAUAAAAUAGACAUUUAUGACAUGUCUGCUUCAGAUGCUUCAACUGUAAUUUUACUAUAUCAUCGCUAAUGAAUUAUUAUAAGUCAUUUAGAUAUUAAAAAAUUAAUAAUAUUUAAUAAAAAAUAAAUUUUAUUUGAUAUAAAAUGAUAAAUUAAUUCUUGAUGUUUUAAAUUAACAUGACUUCUUAUAUGAGACUCAUUUAAAUUUUUAUCACAAACGUUUUUUUAUAGUAAUUUUUCUAUAUCACUUUUAAUUAGGUAUUAAAGUCAUCUAGGACAUAUCCACUUCGCUGCUUCAAUCAUAAAAUUUGAUUGUAUCUCAAAAUUAUAUUAGUACCACUUACAUUGAAAUAGAAUAAAAAGUAUUAUAAAUCAUAAUAAUUAAAAACUUAAAUUAUUUUAAGAAUAUAAUUGACUAUCACAAUGUGUAACGCCCCGGAGUACACCCUGGGCGUCACAUGGUGCUUACGACCUCGAAUGACCACAAGCUAACCUAUGACUGGUACCUGCUAUGAGCACUGAAUAUAAUACUGGAAUAUAUGUACAGAAGAAAUCUGAAAAUGUCAUAAGGUUCUCAAAAUACUGAAAUAAUAACUGAGUAUAACUGAUAAUAAUAUUCGAAAACUGAAUAACUGACUAUGCUAGUCUGAGAGCCUCUAACUAUCUGAAUAUGGAGUUGAUGGGAAAAACCCCCAACUAACUCUGACUGAAAUAACUACUGAACUGUUUGAAUACUGAAAUAGAUAAACUCUGUCCUAGAAAUAUAAGGACUCACCACUAUAACUGCUGCUGAUAGCCUGAGUUGCUAAGUACGGUCAGGAACCUGAGCGUCCGAACCUAUGAUAUGAGACAUCAUAGUGCAAAAGAGAGUAUGAGAUCAGUACGUGAAAUGUACUGGUAUUCUAAGUGAGGUAAGGCUGAUAUACAUGGGUUCAUAUGUAUGAGAUGAUAACUGACAGAAUAAACAUCAUGAAGUAACUGGAUGAGAGUACAUGAAAAACUGUAACUACUGAACAUGCAAUAUUGUGCAUAUAGGUAUACAUCAUGUACCUGAGAUUAUACUAAAAUUGAGUACUGAAUUCUGAUGGCUGAGUAAAAAAUAAUUGAUAGCCAUGGUUCUGUAGAACUAACUGAGUUCUUUACUGAAUACUGAGACUGAAACUGUAACAAUGAGAGUGUUUAUCUAGCUGACAUACCUCGAUAUAGACUGAUUUGGGGUCCAACCUGUGACUUCAGUUGGAAGGGUGUUCUCACCUUGCCACAAGCUACUAACAAUGUUGUAUCAACCCUAAUCUGGCAGGAAGACUCAUGAAACAUAGAUAUGAUUACGUCAACCCUAGUCUGAUAGGAGUACGACUUACCCUACGCUGGCUACGUAGUUCUGUAACUCAGGAAUUGCUUAACUCAGGAAUUGCUACUAAGGUUCAAACCCUAACUGGCAGGAAUACCCCCAUCCCUAUGUUCGCUCGAUGCUGAAUCCUACUCCAAACUGAAAGACACUAAUCACUAGACUGUACUAAGCUUGACUAAGCUAACCCUGAUCAUGUUGACUGACUGAACUGGACUGAGUUCAUUGAGUUCUAUUAAUUGAAUGAGUACUACUGUUCUUGACUUUUACUGGACAAUUCUAUAACUACUGCAACUAAGUAAACAGCUAGAUUUCGGGUAAUAACUACCACAAGACUCAAUAACAUAAUUGAUAAACUCAUAUCACAACUUUAGCAACACAACAAUAAGUUACCAUGCAUAAUUUACUCAUAUGGACAUUUUAUCAAACACUUGGGGAGCAUGAUUACUAUACAUGAGAACUAACCACAUAGGGUAUCAUAACUACAACAUGCAACUUGCAAAUUCAAGGGUUUUGACAUGAGAGAUUCAUCAUUCAACGCACAUGCUAACUUAAUUUCAUGAAACUCAUAAAAAAACUUAAAUUGAAACCCAUAUAGCAACAUAAACAUGAGCAUAAUUCCAUUCAUAAUAUGAAAAUCAUAAUUUAUAUUUUAAAAAGGGAUCUUGAACUCCAAGGGUGGAAGGAGACCAAGGAUGAACACCUAACAUACCUGAGUAACAAAAUUUGUGAAGAUUGUUGGGGAUUUCUUGGGACUUAAUCUUGAGCUUGAUGAAUUAGGGUUUAUUUCUUGAGAGGAUUUUGUGAAUGAGUGAAUGUAUUUUGCCUAUUGAGGGGCUGAAUUUCGUAUUAUGGGAUUUUAAUGUGGGAGAAAAAUGACCUAAUUACUCCCACAACCCGUAACUAAAUGUGAAAAUUGUGUCCAGCAAUGCGAUAACCUACACGCUGUGUUGAUGGUGUCGAAGCGAUUGCAGAUGCACCACGUUGAUGGUGUCGAUGCGAUUACUGAUGCGUCGCGGCCUGAUCACAUUGACUCGCUGUUUUGGACAUUCAAACAUGACUCUAAGUUGUCUGAAAAAUCCAAAACUCACCCAAGAUGACCUAUUGACAUCUCUGAUCAUGAGUCAACUUACCAACUGCAAAUUAUUUUAGUAUCAUAUCAACCGACUUCAUCUUUCACACCACCGCCAAUUCCAACAUCAAGAAUAAAAAGAAUAAGGAAAACCUAAGUGAGAAAUUGAGAUGUAGAAGUGUAAAAGAGGCAGCCCAUAUAGAGACAACAAAAAUAAGUUAUCAAUUAAGAGGAUAUCUUUUGUACCUAUAUAUGUAUGUAUAAGAGAAACAGUUAUGCAAGAAUCUAAAAAUACAACAAAAUAAUUUCGACAAAUUAGAGAAAAUUCGAAGAGAUUGUGAGGUAUAUGAGAGCAUUUGACGGAUGUUUAAUGUGUAAAAGAAGGGGUGGAUUUAAUUAUAUGUGAUGUUGCAAUAAAAAAUUAAUGUGGAAAAUAUAAUUUUUUAAGAAAAAUAAGAAAAAGUGGGUUAAAAAAUUUCAGUAAAGCAAUUAAAGGCGACAAGGGUAUAUAUGGCCCAAAACUUAGCAAUAGAGGUAUAUAUGAUUCAAAACUUAACAACAGGAAUAUAUAUGGACCAAAACUUGGAUGAAAAGGAAAUUGAUGAGCUAAACUUUUAACGGAGGAUAUAUCUGAAUAUUUUUAUAAAAUUUAGAGGCAUAUUUGACCCUUUUUCCUUUUAAAUUUAAUACUGAAAAGAUUAACUUUAAUAAGAAAAAUACACAAGGAAAAAUUAAGGAGGAAAAAACAUUUUAAAGAAAUGCAUAAAAGAAUGUAUGGAAUUAGUAGAUUAAAAUAGUUAAAAGAAAUAAUGUCGAACAUCAUUUUCGGCUUCUUAUAUGCCAUUGUAUACCUUAUUAAUUUUCUUUUUCCUUUUUCAUUCAUUUUCUUUAUUAUAUUACUUUUUUACCUCGUUGAUCUUCAUUCUUUCCUACGUUUAUGGAAUAAUAUCUCCUUUUAAAUUAUAAAUUAAUUUUUUUUAAUUUGAUAUGAAUUUCGUAAAUAGAAUAAUUCUUUGUUCAGAUUCUUCUUGUCCUUUUGACACUUUCAUCACCUUUUCUAUAAAUUUCUCUGUUAAAUUGGAUAUUUUUUUCAAAAUGUAACACCUCAUAGGAGAAGUUUUUCGGAGUCAAUAUAAAGACUCAUAUUAUCAUUAUUUGUGAUGAAGUAUAAACAUUAUUUCCGAGCAGUUCACCUUAGAAUGUCAGAAAAUAUGGCAAUUAGAAAAUAAUUGCAGGCUAAAAUCACUUCACACAACAAUAACUUAUUUUCUAUUGUCUGUCUUCACAAUCUUUUUUGCUCCAUCUUCAACAAAAAUUUAUUUACCUCUAGAUUUAAGUAUAUUACUCGACCAAUUAAGUGAGGUGCAACCCUAUUUACUACACCACAUUCUUUGAUGGUCAUAACCAAUUUUUAUUAUAUAAAAGAUUUAUAGAAGGGCCAUAAAAUAGUAUCUUUUUUAAUUUUCUUAAUGCAUUCACUUUCAAAAGGAAAAGAGGCAAAGUUAAGAAGUCAGAUACUCAGAUCCUCUUCUUUUAUGUGCUAAAAAUUAAACAGUUUAACAAAAUGAAAAAGAUUUUGGUCCUUUCAUUUUUCAUUUACUUUAAAUAUGUAUUAAUUUCAAUUGAUGAUUUAAAUGUGUAUUAGAUAAAUGUAUUAUCCCGAUAACAAGAAUACACUAAUUAUUUUCCACAUAAAUUUUUUUGAAAAAGAAAAUUAGAAAUAUACUUCUUCUACAUAUUUUUUGAGUGAGGUACGGCCCUAUCAACUACAUAAUUUUUGAUGGUCAUGACCGCUUUCAUUAUACAGAAAUUUUUUAGAAUAACCAUAAAAUAUUAUCUCUUUUAAUUUUCUUAAUGAAAUCACAUUUCAAAAGGAAAGAGGCAAAGUUAAGAAGUCAGAUACUCAGAUCAUCUUUUUUUAUAUGCUAAAAAUUAAAUAAUUUUCCAAAUGAAAAGGGUUUUGAUCCUUUCAUUUUUCAUUUAAUUUAAAUGUGUAUUAAUUUCAAUUGAUGAUUUAAAAGUGUAUUAGAUAAAUGCAUUAUCCCUAUAACAAUGAUACACUAAUUAUUUUUCACAUCAAUUUUUUUGUAAAAGAAAAUUAGAAAUAUACUUCUUCUCUAAUUUUUAUUAUUGUAUUAUACUUUACCAAAUAUAUCUGUUUUGCUAUUAUACCUUUUUUUAUAUAUCUAUAUAGCUUGUUGCUAAUAUAUUAUUUUAUACAUGAUUGUGUUAUGUAACAUACACUAGGUUAGCAUACAAUUUCCUUUGAAUAUUCUUCUUAAUUUAAGAAUGAAAGAAUAAAAAAAUAAAUAAAAUUAUAAAAUAAGUAAAAUAAUAAAUAUGAAUGAUUAAUGCAUCAUAAAACUUAUACUUGUUCCUUCCUUUGUCAUGAUUUCCAAACCUCUCCCUUACCCCCACCCCAAACAUACACAAAUUAGUAAAAUUCCCUUGUUCCUUCUCUUUCUUUCAUAUUUUUUGGCAUCUCAAUAUUUACAUAUACAACUUAUAAGUUUAUUAUAUAUAUCUGAUAACUGCAGGAAGACAAAGAAGGCAACAGAAUGAUUGUUGGAAAAGAAACAAAUAACAAUAAUAAUGAGAAAAGAGAAACUGUAAAGAGUAAUUGAUUUUCUAGAGUUUUUAAAAUAUAAAAUAGGAGAAAAAUUCAAAAAAGAUAAAUAGAAAUACUAAUCAUUUAAGCAUACCACAUCAGCAACCUCCAAUGAUGAUGUCCAUAUAUAUAUAUAUAUAUAUAUAUAUAUAUGUAGAGAGCGAGAGAUUUGUCCAAAUUGAUAUGAUUAUAUAUUAAUUAUUUGAGAUUUGUAAAACUGUGUAAACAUGCGCAAUAUUUAAUAUGAGCUCUUUCAUUUAUAACACCACUAGUGGGAUAUGCCCGUGCUGAGCACGGGCCCAAUAGUAGUGAAAAAUUGAAAACGGUGAAGAUAAUUAGGUAGAUUUGUAAUGAUAUUGUUGUUGUAAAAGGGAAAAAAAUAUAAGAAGUUUGUCUCAUUUGAAGUUUUCAUCAAAGUGUCACAAUUAAUUUCAUCAAUCAAUCAAAUAUAUUGUAUCAAAUAAUUUCGAGAGUCAGUCACAAAUUUUCAUCAAAGUGUUACAAUUAAUUUCGUCAAUCAACCAAAUAUGUUAUAUCAAAUAAUUUUGAGAGUCAAUUAAAUAUUUAAUAUCUUUUAAAAAAAUUAAGUUGUUAAUUAUUGUGAUUUAUAAUUUUUUUUACUCUUUUUUUGAAGUAUAUAACAGAUUAAAUCUUUUUUUUUGAUAUUUUAAGUUAUUAACUAUUGUAAUUUAUAAUAGUAAUUUUUAUGUAAUUUUCAAAUAAUACAUGUUACUCUCUUUGUCCAAUUUUUUGUGCCAUUAAUAGUCAAUUAUAUUUUUAACUAUUUUAAUUUAAGUGACACUAAUAUAAUUUUGAGAUUCAACCAAAUAUUUAUAUCUUUUAAAAUUUUUAAGUUGUUAAUUAUUGUGAUAUAUAAUAUUUUUUACGUCUUUUUUGGAAUAUAUAACAGGUUAUUUGUUUUAGAUAUUUUAAACUGUUAAAUAUUGUAAUUUAUAAUAUUUUUCAUAUAAUUUUUAAAUAAUAUAUGUUACUCUCUUCAUCCAAGAUUUUGUGGUAUUAAUAGUCAAUUAUAUUUUAAAAAUAAUUUAUGUUCUUAAUUACUGUAAUUUGUAGUACCUUUUCUUUUAUUCCAAUUUAAAUGACACUGAUAUAAUUUUGAGAAUCAGUCAAAUAUUUUAUAUCUUUUAAUUUUUUUAAGUUGUUAAUUAUUGUGAUUUGCAGAAUUUUUUUUUGUAUUUUCUUGAAAUAUAUAACAAAUUAAAAAAAUAACACAGACAAAUUAAAUGGAUGAAAAAAAUGAAGGCAAGGAAAAGGACCAAUGAAGUUGUGUCAAAGCAAACAAAAUGACCUUUAAAUUUUUUAUAUUGUUAGUUAUUGUGGCUUAUAGUAUUUUUUGAAAUAUAAUAAAAUAUUGAUUAUUUUUUUUAGAUAUUUAGAGGUGUUAUUUAAUUUAUAAUACUUUUAUGUAAUUUUCAAAUAAUAUAUAUUAUUCUUAUCAUUGAAAUUUUCGUGGCAUUGAUAGUCAAUUAUAUUUUAUAAAUAAUUUAGUAUUUUAAUUAUUAUGAUUUAUUAUAUUUUCUCUUUUAUUCCAAUUUAAGUGGCACAAAGCUUAGAUGGAUAUAUAUUUAAUUAAGAGUGAUAUCGUAAAAUCACGAUUGAAGCAGAGAAACAGACAUGUCUUUAAUGACUUAUACAUAAUAACUAAUUAGAAAUGAUAUAAUAUAAUUACUAUACAAAAAUACUUGUGAAAAAAACUUAAGUGAAACUCAUAUAAGACGCCAAGUUAAUUUAGCAUAUUAUAAAAUUUUUAAUACUUAGAUGACUUUAUAAUAAUUUUUUAAUAUUAAUUUUUAAUAUCUAGAUGACUUAUAAUAAUUAAUUAGGGGUGAUAUAGUAAAACUGUGGUUGAAACAGCUGAAGCAGAUAUGUCAUAAAUGUCUAUUUUACUUUUUUAUAAUUAAAUAUUAUUAAUUUUCUAAUACUUAAAUGAUAUAUAAUAAUUAAUUAAUAGUGAUAUAGUAAAAUCACGGAGCACUCAGGUGAAGCAAGGAGGACGAGGGGAGGCUGCUGAACUGUGGCUUGUUAAUAAGGAGAAUCAUCUUUUAUUCUCCAUCUUUUUCAUUGUGUGACACUGUUUCUUUUUAACCAUUCUAGAAAGAAUAAGAUGUCUAUACUUAGAAAUAAUAUAAUUUCAAACUCAAUUAAUCAUAGAAGUUAUUAUCCUAUUGAUUUUAUAUAACAAAAAAAUAAUUCAAUAUCUUUCACAUAUUUGAAAUUAAUAAAUUUGUGCAAUACUAAAAAUAAGUAUUAAAAUAUUAACCUUAAUAUCAUUAAUUACAUAAAACUUAAACAUUUAUUUUCGAAAGUUAAUUUUCUUGUGUAAAUAAUAUUAUAUUAUAAUAUAGUUAUCUGCUCAUAUUAGAUAAUGUCGUGAUCUGUAUUAAUUUAUUUUGUAAAAUAAAAUCAUAUAAUUACAAAAGAAAAUGUAUAUUUAACAUUGUGACUCACUUCUAAAUUUGGUUAGAAAAAAAAAAGAACUAAUGAAUGAUAUGUUUUAGAGUUAUACACGCGAGGCUUCUUUGUAAAAUUUUAACUUGAAAUUUAAAUUCUUUUAUAUUCAAUAUUUUAAUUUGCACCCUCCUAUCAAGGGAAAGAAAGAAGUUUUCCCUUCUCUUUUCUUGUCUUAAUAGAUUUUGUAUUUCUUUGCAUAAAUUUAGUCAUAGUGUAUUUUUUUAUAAAUUUAAAAUAUUUUUUCUUCAAUGCAAAUAUUUUGAGUAAAGCCUCAAUAAUAGUCAAUUUUCACUCUUAUUUUUUAUUACCAUUUUCUCAAUAAAUAACUUAUAACAUUAUCUAAAUUUCUAACCUAUUUGCGCGAUCUCACAAUGUUCACUUAUUCUCUUAUAAUAAUAGACCAACAAAUAUUGACGAAUCUUAUUGUAUAUUGUUUUUUGAAAUAAAUGAUUUAGUCCUUCAUACGUUUGAAUAUUCACUCUUCAACUUUCUUUUCGAUCAACCCUAUCAUACUUUCUCAAUUUACAGAUUUAAAUGAAAUUAUAAAUAUCAAUCACUAUCGGAAUUGAAUUUCCUCCCAUCUUAGAACAUUCAACUAAUACUCAAUCCCUCAUGUUCAUAGCACAAUAAGAUAUUAAUCUUGUUCAUCUUUAUCCUUUAUAUUGUACAAGGUAGAUCAAAAUAGCUAUUGUAACAAAAGAUCUACAAUAUUCUAAAAUUGGAGUUACAAAUAUAAAGAUAAACAUGAUUUAACUCAUUGUCUGUUUCUAUCAACUAAAAAAAAAAAAGAAAGUUUGUAGCAUAAUGUUUAUAAUAAAUAAUAAAUGACCUUUAAUUUCACAUUAUUACAAUAUGUAACAUCAAAGUACAAUAAUAUUUACACUGUAACGAUCUAAAAAUUUGAUGAAAUAUGUGAAAUUUGUGAUUUAUGUAAUUUGACUAUUUUACUCCCCCCGUAGUUGCAUUAUAAUAUUUCUAGGGUGUGGGAGUGAUUAGCAUGAUUUUUGAUGUAUUUUGAUAUCAUUUUAUGCAAUAUUGUGGUUUUUGAUGGCUUCGAGAGCCUUAUUUUGGACUUAUAUGGAUAUCUUUUGAUCCGUGUGACGGAUGGCUGAACGAACUACGCCAGCAGCUCUGGAAUAUCGAUUUUAGUCUAUAUAGACCUUUGGUUCGGGUCCCGGUGCAUCCGAGCUCAUUUCAACCUAUUGGUCGAAAAGUUGAAAAAUUGAAAAAAUGGGUGUGGGCCCCAUAUUUGAUCGAAACGACCUCGGAUGGAAAAUCCAACUUCGCCAGCAGAUUCGGAAUAUUGAUUCUAGGGUGUUACCAUAAUUGGUAUGAUUUUAUGACUUUUAAAUCUCAUUUCGACCCUCGGUUUGAAAAAUUAUAAUUUCGGGUAUCAGGGGUCAACUUUGUGAAAACGAUAUUUUUUUUAAAAAUCUGGUACCGCAUCUGGAAUGUCGAAUUUAGUGUGGUUGCAUAGUUUGUUUACAUAAAUCGGACUCCGAAUGAAUCCCGAGCACCCCAUCGAAGUCCAUUUCGACUUAAAGGAGAAAAUCUUCACAGCUAUUGCAGAAAAUCUGCAAUAAAUAGUAGAUUUUUCACCCUUUUUGGGUCCAUUUUGCUCAUUUUUCAUCUUGCCUCUUGAGAGUUAAACCCUAAAUAGUUUGGGAGCUUAAAAGUGAAUUUUGUGGGAGCUUGGGAAGCUAGAUUAACACUUUUUUUCUUGGUUUUAUUACGGAUUAAAGGUAAGAAUUCACCCAUUUCUUAGUAAUUUCUUGAUUAAUUUCUCAAAAUCCCAAAAAUCUUAAGGCAUGAUUUUAAAUCCAAAUUUUACUUCUUUUCACUUGAAUAAUAUUUUUAUCUUAUAAUUACUAGUUUUUCAUCAAUUUAACCUUCAAAACAACUCCGAUUCUUGAUUUUAACCCAAAUUUCUAAGAUUUUACCCGGUAAAGCUAAAAAAUAGUUUUUCUUCGAAUUGAACCCCAUUUUUUACUCGAUUUAACUUGAAUUUUCAGCUGUAGGUUCCUAAAAAUAUGGAUAACAUGUUUUUGAAGUAAAUUUUCAAUUUUGCCUUUCUUUUUUGGAAAUCUAAUUUGGAUGUCCGUUUCGACCCCAAAUCAAAAGUAGUCAAUAUGGGUGUCGUUGGUUUUGUAUUGAAAUGUAGAUUUCAUAUUUGAUAUUUUUAGUAAAGUUCAGGAUUAUUCGUGAAAAGUAAAGUCGCGGGUUCAAGUGUAGCGGGCCGGUUUCGACUUUCGAGGUAGGUUAUGGCUUAACUCUUUCAGACUAGGUUGGGUAGUAAAUGAUGAUAUAAAAUGCAUGUUAAGGGUGGAAAAUCAUCAUGAAAAAUGACUAUUUAUGUGUUGUGCCCGUGUGGGGGCCUAUAUGUGAUGUAAUUGUCGAAAUUGAGUUAUUAUGUGAUAAUUGUGACCGUGUAGAGUCCUAUGAGAUAUUUAUAUCCUUGAAUACAUGUGAAUAAUUAUAUUGUAUUGUUAAAAUGCUUAAUGUGGUACCGUUGGCGUAUUGUGAUUAUAUUCAUACCUUCUUGGCAUAUGAAACAUAUGGAAAUUCAUGGAUGAAAUGAAAAUAAUGAGUGGAUAUUGGCUCAUGUGGUUGUGAAAAUAUAUCAUUGUGGUUGAUUGUGGAAAUAUAUUAUGUGGUUGGUCGUGGAAAUACUCAUUGUGAUUAGUUGUGAGCAUUACAUCUUCAUAUCACACCCAUUCAUGAAAUAUUGGUACCACCGUGGCAACAUCUAAGAAACACUACAAUACCUUUUUAAAAGAUAUUGUAACACCUUACUAAACCCUUUUCGAGGAAUAUAUUGUAAAGAAGAUAUGAGAUAUGUGGAUUGUAUACGGGUUGACAAACCCUCCAUGGGUCCUGCAUCGGGAAGCUUUAGCUCCGUAAAUGUAUACAGGGAUUGUGCGACGAUCUCGGAGGUUGUACGACGAUCUCGGAGGUUGUGCGACGACCUCGUGCAUCAUCAUCAUCAUAUACAUUACACUUACUUUAUUGUGUUUAUGAUGUGUUGUAUUUCCUUAUUGACUUGUCAUCUAUAUAUUUGUCUUACCUUCCUUUACUUAUAUUUGAUAGUCUUAUAUCUACAUGUUCUCUCUUGUUCUAUUAUAUAUGAUAUAAUGUGUACUUGUGUUCUAUAUCUUGGUGUGUUAUUGUAAUAUAUGUGAGAUAUAUUAGAACUAUUAGUGCAAGUGGUGUGGGCUACCGUUGUGGGAUAUUUUUUGAUUACAGGUGACAUGCCCUUAGUGUAUAUUUUGUAUGCUUUAUUUACUACUUUGCUUGGUUGGCCUAUGAUACCUACUGAAUACAAGUGGACCGUACUCAUGCCUACUGUGCCCUUUCAGUGCAGGUCUUAACUCAAGUGCGCCUCAGCUUGAUUGACUCGGACGAUUGUUGGAGCUUCCAAGGUAGCGGUUGGACAUUCAUGCAUUCGAAGUUCACCUCUAUCUUUCUAUAGUAGUUAUAUCUUUAUUAGUAUUCAGAGAUAGUUAUUAUUCAUUUGUGGUUAUUUUUUUGAUAUAUUUGAAUCUUGGAUUAUAUUAGCAGUUCUUAAACUAUUGACACCUAGUUUUGGGCAUGGUUGGUAUUUAAGAUAAGUUCUUUUUGUGUUGUUAUGAUUACAUAUAUGGUUCGGCCUCAUUCUAGAAGCCUUACCUUGGGAUAUUUAUGCCUUUUCCUCUUUUCGUAUCAGUUUUGGUGAUUGUCUUACUUAUCAAGGUACGGCGUGACAAGUGCCAUCAUGAACCUUAUUUUUGGGUCGUGAUAAAUUGGUAUCAGAGCCACGUUUCAUUGGUCUCAACGGUGUAAGAAUGGGAUAUCUAAUAGAGUAUUAUGGAUUGGUAUGUAGACGCCUGUAUCUAUCUUCGAGAGGCUAUAGGAUGUCUUUAGAAAGCUUUUCUCAUUUCAUUCUUUAUCGUGUGAAGUUCUUUUAUACCUUGUGUUCUGAGUUGUGUUUAACUCUUUCUACGCGAAUGGAGUUGCUUAUGCUAGUAUCAGUUGAGAGAUGCUGUGAGAAAUUAGUGGAUAUUAUUUAUCUGUUGUAGGCUUGUUGAUGCUCCUGAGCUGUCAUGGGAUCAGUUUGUUGAUGCCUCUCUGGAGAGAUUUGUGUCUUUCAGCUUGAGAGAUUGUAUGCGAGACGAGUUUGAUCAUUUGGAGCAGGGCUCCAUGACAGUUGGUGAGUAUGAAGCAUGCUUUCAUGCCCUGACUUGAUAUUCCUAUAAUAGUAUUUCCACUGAGUUUGAGUAGAUAUGAAGUUUGUAAAGGGUUUGGAUGUCUCUCUUUAGUUGGAUAUGUCUCAGAUGAUUGUGAUUAGGGAUUAUUUUUAGAGUAUUUGUAUCAUGCUAAGAUGACAGAGGGUAUUCUUAGUGCAUCUCAUGGAGGCGCCAAGAGGGUGCGUUAUUUUGGUAAGUUCAGGAGUCGAACCUCUCGAGGCAGAGAUUUUAGAAGUUCUUGUGGAUAUCAUGGUAGGCCAGAGCAGGUGACUUUAUAGAGUUCGGCUGAUGGAUCUUCUAGUUCAGUAGUUCAGGUUGGCCGUUCGAACUCAGUUGUACUUUCUCUUGUUGAGACUGGUCAUAGAGGUUGCUAUAUGUGUGAUGAGAUUGGCCAUGUGGCUAAGGACUAUUCUUGUCGUGUGUUUAGAGCCACUCCCAUUUCAACUAUGAGAAGAAGGGGUUCUACCAAAUGUGCAAGAGGUAGAAUGGUAGAGCCCGUAUUGGUGGUCGUGGGGCUACUCAGCCAGUUAGUAGUCAUGGAUAAUGUUAUGCUAUACCAGCCAGACCUGAGGCAGAGGCUUCUGAUAUUUUGAUUACAGGUAUCGUCCUCAUUGUUUCAAACCUGCAUCUAUAUUAUUUCAUCCCGAAUCGACUUUUUCCUAUGCAUCUGUGUAUUUUGCUUUAGGUUUUGAUUUUGUUACUGAGCCUCUUUCCAUGCCUAUUCAUGUAUCUACCCCGGUAGGUGAUUCUUUAGUGGUGGAUCAGGCUCACCAAUCUUGUGUUGUAACUUUUUCAAGGCGUGAGACUUUGAUAGACUUGCUUGUGUUAGAUAUGAUCAAUUUUGAUGUUAUUUUGGGUAUGGAAUGGUUGUCUCCUUAUCAUGCUAUCUUAGAUUAUUUUUCUAAGACCGUGACUUUAUCUUUGUCAGGUGUACCAAGGAUAGCUUUGAAGGGUGCAUUUAAUUCGAAUCCUAAGAGGAUUAUAUCUUAUGUUCAGUCUCGUAAUUGGUUGAGAGGGGAUGUUUAUAUUACUUGGACCAUAUUCAUGACACCAGUGUUAUUUUGCCUCCUUUCUUAGAUUCUAUCUGUGUCGUCCGUGAGUUUAUGGAUGUGUUUCCUACGGACUUUCCUAGUAUGCCUUUGAAUUGAGAUAUUGAUUUUAUUAUUGAUGUUGAUUCAGGCACCAAGUCCAUUUUUAUUCCUCCUUAUAGGAUGGACCCAGCGGGGCUGAAGGAACUGAAGGAUCAGUUGCAGGAGUUGUUGGAUAAGAGAUUUAUUAGACCUAGUAUUUCCCCUUGGGGUGUGCCUGUCUUGUUUGUAAAGAGAAAGGAUGGGUCUAGGCGGAUGUGUAUUGAUUAACGAUAGUUGAAUAAGGUGAUGAUUAAGAAUAAGUAUCCUCUUCCUCACAUCGAUGAUUUGUUUGAUCAACUUUAGGGUGCAGAGGUGUUUUCAAAGAUUAAUUUGAGGUUCGGUUAUCACCAGUUUAGGAUUAGAGCUUUGGAUAUUUCAAAAAUAGAUUUUUAGACUCGAUAUGGUCAUUAUGAGUUCUUGGUCAUGUCUUUUAGGUUGACCAAUUCCCCUGCUGCAUUCAUAGAGUUGAUGAACCGAGUGUUUCGACCGUAUCUUGACUCCUUUAUUAUGGUAUUUAUAGAUGAUAUCUUGGUUUAUUCCAAGAGUGAGGUUGAGCAUGAGGAGCAUUUGUGGAUUGUGCUUUAGAGAUUGAGAGAUGAGAAGUUGUAUGCUAAAUUCUCUAAGUGUGAGUUUUGGUUGGAGUCAGUUUUUUUCUUAGAUCCUGUGAUGACUAAGGAAGGUAUUAUGGUUGAUCCAGCUAAGGUUGCAUCAGUUCGUGAUUGGGAUAGACCUACUUCACCCAUCGAGAUUCGAGGUUUUAUUGGCUUGGCCGGGUAUUAUUAGUGUUUUGUUGAAGGUUUCUCUUCCAUUGCAGCUCCGUCGACCAAGUUGACUCAAAAGAAGAUUUCCUUCCAGUGGUAUGAUAUUGUGAGGCGAGCUUUUAAAAGCUCAAGUAAUACAAGUGCAGUCACGUAGAUGGAUUUAAGAGAGUGUGUGUUGGGCUCGAGGCUUGGUGUGUACAAAAUGAAGUGCAAAUAGGACCUAAAUACACACCAAAUCAGCCCACUAUGCACUAGAGGGGCACCCCAUCAUUGAGGGGCCUUUUUGUCUUUUAAAUCCUAUUAUGUAAUACACUAUAAAAGGAACAUUCUAGGGUUUGAGUUUGCAGUUUUUUGGAUAUUGAAUAUUGUAUCUCACUCUUGAAACACACAAGUUCUCUCCCACAAGGGGCUUGGCCGAAACUAGGUAACAAUUAGAGUGUGAAUUCACUCUUGUUGUUUGUUUUCUUGGAACCUUGGAUGCUUGAAGGAUUGAGUUCCCUCUUGUGUUCUUUGAAGAGUGUAGGUGUUGCUACUUUUAUUUUUAAGGGUUUUUGUGUUUGAGAACACAUUAGGUUCUUAGACUUUGUAGUAGUGUAUAUCUAUCUUUCUAUCGUUUACAUUCUUGUAAUCUUGUCAUGGUUGGUAUCUUGUAUUGUAAGCCGUUUGUCUUGUUGUUGUUCUUCACAUUGUUAUGUUCAUCUUGUGCCUCAUAUAUUGUUGUUAAUCUCAGUUUGGGGCUGGCUGAUUAUUGUGUUUAACACGUGAUAUUCUCUCUAUUAUUGUUAUCAUUAGCGAAUCCGAGUGUGGUCACCAAGAUAGUCCUCGGUUUCUUGACUUGUGGACUGUUUUGGUGUGUGAUUUCGUGGCUUCCUUGUUUAUCUUGUAUCAUUUGGUAUCAGAGCAAGGCUGGUUGUGUUCCUAUACUACCAAUCUUGGAUUCUCUUGGACGAAAAUUCAAAAAAAAAAAACCUGAAAACUAAAAAAAAAAUUCCAGAAAAGUGCAAAUCUAUCCAUUUUGUGUUCUUGGCCGAAAAUUGUGUUGUUGUUAUCUUGGCCAAGAUUUGUUUGUUAUGAUUCAAGUGUUGGUUUCUUUCUCACCAACACUAAAAGUGAACAAAUCUAAGCUUGAACUUGAAUUUGUUGAAGUUGUUACCGUGAACGUAGGUGUAGCCGUGUGGACAAUCUUCUUGUUAUUGUUGUUGUGGGUUGGGCGAGUUGUUGUGGACUUAUUGUUCUUGGAGAGAUUGUUGUUGGUUUUUCUUGAUGUUGUUAUUGUGUUCUUGAAGUCUUCACCACAUUCGUCAUUUUAUUAAGCUUUAAAGUGCAAAUAGAUCUAAAAAGGUGAAAGACUUGUUCACAUCACUUCAAAGACUUGACCACUACUUUUCACCUACUUUCCUUGAUUUAAGGACCUUGUUUCAAGGAGAAAGUACCAAGAAGUCUAGUCUUGUUUUGAAUUUAAAAAAAAAAAGAAGCUCCAAGACCAAAUUUCCCUCUAUUAACCAAAUCCACCAUUUCAAAGUUGUAAAUUAGUCAAGACUUGAAUUUAGACAAAACCGAGGCCAAUAGUGGACUGCCACAGUACUAAAUUACUGUUCAUGCAACAUUAUUAUUUUUUUUUUUGAGUUUAAAUUUUAGAUUUCUUAGUUUCAUCUUAGUUUCUUUUGUUGGUUCGAACACUAAUUGACGACCUAGUAAUCUCCUACUAGCUUGUUAGUUAGUUUUGUGCCCGUUUGUUAGUGUUAGCAUUAUUUGUGUACCUUUUGUCAUUUUGAUUCGUUGAUUAGUUCUUGGCUCUCGUCCUACGAUAUUCGUUUGAGUUUCAAAAUUGAAAUCAAAUCCGGAUAAGAGUAGACUUAAUCGUUGGCUCCUCACGGAUUCCUUAGCCGACUUACAACACUAGUGAAGCUACGAGUAAGGUAAUCAAAGUGUGUGAUUACAGGUAUCGUUCUCAUUGUUUCAAACCUGCAUCUAUAUUAUUUCAUCCCGGAUCGACUUUCGCCUAUGCAUCUGUGUAUUUUGCUUUAGGUUUUGAUUUUGUUACUGAGCCUCUUUCUUUGCCUAUUCAUGUAUCUACCCCGGUAGGUGAUUCUUUAGUGGUGGAUCAGGCUCACCAAUCUUGUAUUGUAACUUUUUCUAGGCGUGAGACUUUGAUAGACUUGCUUGUGUUAGAUAUGAUCGAUUUUGAUGUUAUUUUGGGUAUGUAAUGGUUGUCUCCUUAUCAUGCUGUCUUAGAUUGUUUUGCUAAGACCGUGACUUUAUCUUUAUCGGGUGUACCAAGGAUAGCUUUGAAGGGUGCACUUAAUUCGGGUCCUAAGAGGAUUAUAUCUUAUGUUCAGUCUCGUAAUUGGUUGAGAGGGGAUGUUUAUAUUACUUGGACCAUAUUCAUGACACCAGUGUUAUUUUGCCUCCUUUCUUAGAUUCUAUCUGUGUCAUCCAUGAGUUUGUGGAUGUGUUUCCUACGGACUUGCCUAGUAUGCCUUUGAAUUGAGAUAUUGAUUUUAUUAUUGAUGUUGAGUCAGGCACCAAGCCCAUUUUUAUUCCUCCUUAUAGGAUGGACCCAGCGGGGCUGAAGGAACUGAAGGAUCAGUUGCAGGAGUUGUUGGAUAAGAGAUUUAUUCGACCUAGUAUUUCACCUUGGGGUGUGCCUGUCUUGUUUGUAAAGAGAAAGGAUGGGUCUAUGCGAAUGUGUAUUGAUUAUCGAUAGUUGAAUAAGGUGAUGGCUAAGCAUAAGUAUCCUCUUCCUCGCAUCGAUGAUUUGUUUGAUCAACUUUAGGGUGCAGCGGUGUUUUCAAAGAUUAAUUUGAGGUUCGGUUAUAACCAGUUUAGGAUUAGAGCUUUGGAUAUUUCGAAAAUAGAUUUUCAGACUUGAUAUGGUCAUUAUGAGUUCUUGGUCAUGUCUUUUAGGUUGACCAAUUACCCUGCUGCAUUCAUAGAGUUGAUGAACCGGGUGUUUUGACCGUAUCUUGACUCCUUUAUUAUGGUAUUUAUAGACGAUAUCUUGGUUUAUUCCAAGAGUAAGGUUGAGCAUGAGGAGCAUUUGUGGAUUGUGCUUUAGAGAUUGAGAGAUGAGAAGUUGUAUGCUAAAUUCUCUAAGUGUGAGUUUUGGUUGGAGUCAGUUUUUUUCUUAGAUCCUGUGAUGACUAAGGAAGGUAUUAUGGUUGAUCCAGCUAAGGUUGCAUCAGUUCGUGAUUGAGAUAGACCUACUUUACCCAUCGAGAUUCGAGGUUUUAUUGGCUUGGCCGGGUAUUAUUAGUGUUUUGUUGAAGGUUUCUCUUCCAUUGCAGCUCCGUCGACCAAGUUGACUCAAAAGAAGAUUUCCUUCCAGUGGUAUGAUGUUGUGAGGCGAGCUUUUAAAAGAUCAAGUGAUACGAGUGCGGUCACGUAGAUGGAUUUAAGAGAGUGUGUUGGGCCCGAGGCUUGGUGUGUAAAAAAUAAACUGCAAAUAGAACCUAAAUACACACCAAAUCAGUCCACUAUGCACUAGAGGGGCACCCCAUCAUUGAGGGGCCUUUUUGUCUUUUAAAUCCUAUUAUGUAAUACACUAUAAAAGGAACAUUCUAGGGUUUGAGUUUGCAGUUUUUUGGAUAUUGAAUAUUGUAUCUCACUCUUGAAACACACAAGUUCUCUCCCACAAGGGGCUUGGCCGAAACUAGGUAACAAUUAGAGUGUGAAUUCACUCUUGUUGUUUGUUUUCUUGGAACCUUGGAUGCUUGAAGGAUUGAGUUCCCUCUUGUGUUCUUUGAAGAGUGUAGGUGUUGCUACUUUUAUUUUUAAGGGUCUUUGUGUUUGAGAACACAUUAGGUUUUUAGACUUUGUAGUAGUGUAUGUCUAUCUUUCUAUCGUUUACAUUCUUGUAAUCUUGUCAUGGUUGGUAUCUUGUAUUGUAAGCCGUUUGUCUUGUUGUUGUUCUUCACAUUGUUAUGUUCAUCUUGUGCCUCAUAUAUUGUUGUUAAUCUCAGUUUGGGGCUGGCUGAUUAUUGUGUUUAACACGUGAUAUUCUCUCCAUUAUUGUUAUCACUAGCGAAUCCGAGUGUGGUCACCAAGAUAGUCCUCGGUUUCUUGACUUGUGGACUAUUUUGGUGUGUGAUUCCAUGGCUUCCUUAUUUAUCUUGUAUCAUUUGGUAUCAGAGCAAGGAUGGUUGUGUUCCUACACUACCAAUCUUGGGUUCUCUUGGACGAAAAUUCAAAAAAAAAAAAAGCUGAAAACUAAAAAAAAAAAUUCCCGAAAAGUGCAAAUCUGUCCAUUUUGUGUUUUUGGCCAAAAAUUGUGUUGUUGUUAUCUUGGCCAAGAUUUGUUUGUUGUGAUUCAAGUGUUGGUUUCUUUCUCACCAACACUAAAAGUGAACAAAUCUAAGCUUGAACUUGAAUUUGUUGAAGUUGUUACCGUGAACGUAGGUGUAGCCGUGUGGACAAUCUUCUUGUUAUUGUUGUUGUGGGUUGGGGGAAUUGUUGUGGACUUAUUGUUCUUGGAGAGAUUGUUGUUGGUUGUUCUUGAUGUUGUUAUUGUGUUCUUGAAGUCUUCACCACAUUCAUCAUCUUAUUAAGCUUUAAAGUGCAAAUAGAUCUAAAAAGGUGAAAGACUUGUUCACAUCACUUCAAAGACUUGACCACUACUUUUCACCUACUUUCCUUGAUUUAAGGAUCUUGUUUCAAGGAGAAAGUACCAAGAAGUCUUGUCUUGUUUUGAAUUUAAAAAAAAAGAAGCUCCAAGAACAAAUUUCCCUCCAUUAACCAAAUCCACCAUUUCCAAGUUGUGAAUUGGUCAAGACUUGAAUUUAGAGAGUAAAAUUUUGACAAAACCGAGGCCAAUAGUGGACUGCCACAGCACUAAAUUACCGUUCAUGCAACAUUAUUAUUAUUAUUAUUAUUAUUUGAGUUUAAAUUUAAGAUUUCUUAGUUUCAUCUUAUUGCUUCUUAGUUUCUUUUGUUGGUUCGAACACUAAUUGACGACCUAGUAAUCUCCUACUAGAUUGUUAGUUAGUUUUGUGCCCGUUUGUUAGUGUUAGCAUUAUUUGUGUACCUUUUGUCAUUUUGAUUCGUUGAUUAGUUCUUGGCUCUUAUCCUACGAUAUUCGUUUGAGUUUCAAAACUGAAAUCAAAUCUGGAUAAGAGUAGACUCAAUCGUCGGCUCCUCACGGAUUCCUUAGCCGGCUUACAACACUAGUGAAGCUACGAGUAAGGUAAUCGAAGUGUGUGAGUGUGGUGAGGCUUUUGAACUAAUUUGUUUGCUGUUUUUGUAGAUAUUUUUAUUAGGUACUUGCAAUGGAAGGGUCCACAACUUAAACUGUGGACAACAAUACUCUUGACACUAUGAAAGCCUCCCUUGAGGCUAUCACCCGAACACUUGAGAGAUUGAACACGGAAGUUGGUACCGUGAGAGGGGAUUUGGCAAUAAUAAAGGGGGAUGUGUCUACCAUGAGUGAGACGUUAGAAUGGGUAGAAAGCCAAAGAAGUUCCCGACCUUCAACUCCUCGAAACCUUCCCUACUAUCUCCCCUGAAAUAUUACACCAAAUGAACAAAUCACCCAGCCAACCACCAAAUGCUCCUCAAAACCAUGAGUAUGAUAGACCAACCCUCCCUCCACUUCAUUAAGUCCAACAUAAAAGAUUUGGAACCCAAAUACCUCCAAACCCCAUCCAUCUACUUAACCAAAGACCACACUUUCCAAUCCAAGCUCUAUUGAACCAAAGGUCAUACUAUUCUCCAAAGCCGAAUCCAAUUAAUCCAAAUCCACCAAAUCAAGUUAAGGGUUAUGGUAUAGAGGAACAACAUGGGGGUUAUGGAGCUUAUGGUAAUGUUCACUUGAGGGAAGAAGAGGUGAGAGGUAGGCAAGGUGAGUUAGGUCGAAAGGAGUGGGGUGGUCACUAAACCCAGGAGUUAGGUAUCAACACCAUCAAAGUUAGUCUUCCAAUAUUCAAGGGAGAGAGUGAUCCCGAGGAUUAUCUUUCUUGGGAGUCAUCGUGUGAUAAGAUAUUCCAAGUGAAUGAUCUAACCGAAGAGAAAAAGAGUUUUUAUGCUAUCGCUCACUUUGAGGGAUAUGCAAACACUUGGUGGGAGUAUGUGAAGCGAUUUGGUGAUGUGUUGAUUGCCGGGCAGCCACCUUCAUGGUUUAGAUUGAAGUAACUUAUGCGUUAAAGGUACCUACCCGAGGGAUACAAACAUGAACUUCUUUCCAAGUUGUCUAACUUGAAGCAAGGAAACAAAAGUGUCAUGGCAUACUAUGAUGAAUUUCAGCAAUUGAUGUUGAAGCUUGACUAUCGAGGAGAACAAGUGAUCCAUGACAUUAUACAUUUCAAAGUUGGGUUAAAUAGGGACAUAGCUUCUCGGAUGACCCUCCACAAGUUUGACACCAUCGAUGGCAUCUUCUAAGCGGCCUUGGAAAUUAAGAGAGAGCUCUCGGCUUCCAAGUCCAAGAAUCACCAACAACCUUCCUCGGAUUGGCACCAACAUCAAGAGCACUUAUCCAAAGUCAACCAAGUCGAGAACAAGGUUGUCCAAACCAAAACGAAGGCUGCCUAAAGGUAUCCCCCAAGAAACGAAGGUAAACCAAAUUCUACUUCUCAUUCUAAGGGAUUUCAAUGUUUUAGAUGUCAAAGGGGGGCACAAGGCUAGUGAAUGCCCAAACAAGAGGAAUGUAAUCCUUAGGAAGGGAAAAUUAUAUUACCUUGGUGAGGAGGUGGGGCUUGAAUCGAAUGAGUAUGAUGAAAAAGCUCAAGAUAGAGAGCUAGAAGUCGAGGUAAAAAUUGAUGAAGGUAGGGAAGAUAUUUGGCCGAUUGAUGGAGAGUGUGUAAUGCCUAUGUAUAUGGAAAGCAGAUUCAUGCUUAGUGAGGGUGUGGAAUAAGAAUUCGACAGUGAGGAAGGUGAAGAAGAAGAGAUGUCGAGAGUUAGGGUUGUGGGAUUUGCCCACAAAGGCCCUUUGUUGCAUGCUAACCAAGAUGCUAGCACUUUGCCUAGCAUCCAUUCGUCGUAUGUGCAGGUUGUAAGUCCAAGGUGCAUGUUUGAUGAAAUCAUGGAAUCCUUGGUUGAACAUCCUAACCUUUGGAGGAGCAUUGAAAAUAUAAUUCAAAGAGAAGAGCUUGCGGGUGAUGAUUGCUUGAAUUUGUGGACAAAUUCCUCUCAAGAUGGAGAGGAUGAUACAAAUGCAGUCACAUAGAUGGAUUAAGAGAGUGUGUGUUGGGAUCGAGGCUUGAUGUGUACAAAAUUAAGUGCAAAUAGGACCUAAAUACACACCAAAUCAGCCCACUAUACACUAGAGGGGCACCCCAUCAUUGAGGGACCUUUUUGUCUUUUAACUCCUAUUAUGUAAUACACUAUAAAAGAAACAUUCUAGGGUUUGAGUUUGCAGUUUUUUGGAUAUUGAAUAUUGUAUCUCACUCUUGAAACACACAAGUUCUCUCUCACAAGGGGCUUUGUCGAAACUAGGUAACAAUUAGAGUGUGAAUUCACUCUUGUUGUUUGUUUUCUUGGAACCUUGGAUGCUUGAAGGAUUGAGUUCCCUCUUGUGUUCUUUGAAGAGUGUAGGUGUUGCUACUUUUAUUUUUAAGGGUCUUUGUGUUUGAGAACACAUUAGGUUUUUAGACUUUGUAGUAGUGUAUGUCUAUCUUUCUAUCGUUUACAUUCUUGUAAUCUUGUCAUGGUUGGUAUCUUGUAUUGUAAGCUGUUUGUCUUGUUGUUGUUCUUCACAUUGUUAUGUUCAUCUUGUGCUUCAUAUAUUGUUGUUAAUCUUAGUUUGGGGCUCGCUAAUUAUUGUGUUUGACACGUGAUAUUCUCUCCAUUAUUGUUAUCACUAGCGAAUCCGAGUGUGGUCACCAAGAUAGUCCUCGGUUUCUUUGUGGACUAUUUUGAUGUAUGAUUUCAUGGCUUUCUUGUUUAUCUUGUAUCAUCAAGGAUUUGUUGACUUUAGCUCCUAUAUUGGCUUUGCCCAAGGAGGUCAUGGGUUUUAUUAUUUUUUGUGAUGCUUCAGGUGUUAGGUUAGGUAUUGUGUUGAUGUAGGAGGGAAAGGUAAUUACUUAUGAAUCUCAUCAAUUGAAGCCUUAUGAGAGGAAUUAUCCUAACCCUGAUUUGGAGUUGUGCGCAAUUGUGUUUGCCUUGAAUUUGUGGAGGCACUAUUUAUAUAGAGUCCGUUGUGAGAUCUUCUCAUAUCAUCUUAGCCUUCACUACUUCUUUAUCAGCAAGAUUUUCAUAUGAGGCAGCGUCGUUGGCUUGAGCUGCUUAAGCAUUAUGACUUGACUAUUCUCUACCAUCCAGGAAAAGCUAAUGCGGUUGCGGAUUCUUAGAGCUUAAAGUCGACUAGCAUGGGUAGUUUGGCGCAUCUUUUGACUUAGGAGAGACCCUUGGCCUUAGAGGUUCAAUAUUUAGCUCACCAGAUGGUUAGACUUGAUAUUUUGACAUCGGGCUGUAUUUUGGCAUUUGUGGAUGCUAGAUCUUCUUUGAUAGAAUAGAUCCGAGCUCAUCAGUUUGAUGAUGUUGGAUUAAGGUCGAUUCGAGACAAGGUAUUAUGUGGGGAGGUUAAGGAAGCCUCACUUGAUUCAGAUGGAGUUUUGUGGAUUAUAGGCUGAGUUUGUGUGCCGAGAGUGUUGAUUAGAUUAGGGUGAUCUUGGAAGAGGCCCAUUGUUCCAGAUAUUUUAUCCUUCCGGGUGUGACUAAGAUGUAUCGUGAUUUGAGACAACACUACUGGUGAGUGGUAUGAGGCGAGAUAUAGAAGAUUUUAUGGCUCGUUUCCUAUGUUGCCAGUAGGUGAAGGCCGAGCAGAUGAAACCUGGCGGUUUGCUUCAGAGAUUACCCGUUCCCGAGUGAAAGUGGGAACGGAUCACUAUGGACUUUGUGACUGGUUUGCUUCGUACAUCUCAUGGUUCUAAUAGGGUUUGGGUCAUCGUGGAUCGAUUGUCCAAGUCAGCUCAUUUUAUUUUGGUUCAGGUCUUAUUCAGUGCCGAGAGGUUGGCCCGUAUCUACAUUCGUGAGAUUGUGCGUCUUCAUGGUGUGUCGGUGUCCAUUAUUUCAGGUCGAGGUCCUGUGUUCACAUCUCACUUUUGGAAGACUUUUCAGGAUGAGUUGGGUACUUGGGUUGAUCUUAGCACCGCAUUUCACGCCCAGAUUAAUGCCAGUCAGAGUGGUCUAUCCAGGUUGUGGAGGAUAUGCUUCACACGUACGCGAUGGAUUUUGGUGACCAGUGGGAGCAGCAUUUGGCUUUAGCAGAGUUUGCAUAUAGUAAUAGCUACCAUUCCAGUAUUGAUAUAACUCCUUUUGAGGCAUUGUAUGGUAGGCAUUGUCGCUCCCCAGUAGGUGGGUUUGAUGUUUCUGAGGUGAGACCUCGAGGUACGGACUAGCUUCGUGAGUCUUUGGAUAGGGUCUGGGUCAUUCAGCAUAGACUUAGAGCAGCUAAAAGUAGGCAGAAGUGUUAUGCUGAUCGUAGACUUCAUGCCUUGAGAUUUGGUGUUGGUGAUCGUGUUUUACUUUGAGUUUCACCCAUGAAGGGUGUGAUGAGAUUUGGGAAGAGGGGCAAGCUUAGCCCUAAUUAUAUUGGUCCAUUUGAGAUUCUUCGGACUGUUGGUGAUGUGGAUUUUGAGUUGGAUUUACCCCUUGAUCUAUCAGUUGUUCUCCAGUUUUUCAUAUUUCUAUGCUUCGUCGUUAUAUUCCAGAAGAGUUCCAUGCCAUUCAUUGGGAUUCGGUCCAGUUAGAUGAGCGGUUUUCCUUUGUUAAGGAGCCGAUUUUCAUUUUGGCUAGGGAUGUUAGAAAGUUGCGCUCUAGAGUGAUCCUUGCGGUUUAGGUCCAGUGGCAACAUCGACCUGUAGAUGAAGCUACUUGGGAGGUUGAGUCUGAUAUAUGUAGUUCCUAUCCCCAGCUUUUCAUUGAUUCAGUUAUUUCCUUGCCUUAGUUCGAGGACGAACUAGAUUUUUAGUGGUGGAUGAUUUAACGACCUAAAAAUUUAAUGAAAUAUGUAAAAUUUAUGAUUUUGUAUAAUUUGACUAUUUAACCCCUCCCCGUAGUUGCAUUAUAAUAUUUUGGGGGUGUGGGAGUGAUUGACAUGAUUUUUGAUGCAUUUUGAUAUCAUUUAUGCAAUAUUGUGAUUUUUUAUGGCUUCGAGAGCCUUAUUUUGAACUUAUGUAGAUAUCUUUUGAUCCAUUCGAUGGAUGGCCGAACGAACUGCCCCAGCAGCUCCGGAAUAUCGAUUUUAGGAUAGAUAGACCUUUGGUUCGGGUCCCGGUGCAUCCGAUCUCAUUUCGACCUAUUGGUCGGAAAGUUGGAAAAUUAGAAAUAUGGGUGUGGAAUUCACAUUUGAUCGAAAUGACCUCGAAUGGAAAAUCCGAUUUCACCAGCAGAUCCAGAAUAUCGAUUUUAGGGUGUUACCAUAAUUGGUAUGAUUUUAUGGCUUUUAAAUCUCAUUUCGAUCCUCAGUUUGGAAAAUUGUAAUUUCGGAUUUGGGGGGUCAACUUUGUGAAAAUGACAUUUUUUUUUGAAAAUCUGAUAUAGUCAUCACAUCUGGAACGUCGAAUUUAGUGUGGUUGCAUAAUUUGUUUGUAUUAAUCGGACUCCGAAUGAAUCCCGGACACCCCGUCGAAGUCCAUUUCGACUUAAAGGAGAAAAUUUGCACAGCUAUUGCAAAAAAUCUGCAAUAAAUAGCAGAUUUUCACCCUUUUGGGGUCCAUUUUGCUUAUUUUUCAUCUUGCCUCUUGAGAGUUAACCCUAAAUAGUUUGGGAGCUUAAAAGUGAAGUUUGUGGGAGCUUGGGAAGCUAGAUUAACACUUUUUUUCUUGGUUUUAUUACAGAUUAAAGGUAAGAAUUCAUCAAUUUCUUAGUAACUUCUUGAUUAGUUUCUCAAAAUCCCAAAACUCUUAGGGCAUGAUUUUAAACCCAAAUUUCACUCCUUUUCAGUUGAAUAAUAUUUUUAUCUUAUAAUUACUAGUUUUUCAUCAAUUUAACCUUCAAAACAAUUCCGAUUCUUGAUUUUAACCCGGAUUUUAAAGAUUUUACCUGGUAAAGCUAAAAAUAAUUUCGAGAGUCAGUCAAAAAUUUUCAUCAAAGUGUCACAAUUAAUUUCGUCAAUCAACCAAAUAUGUUAUAUCAAAUAAUUUUGAGAAUCAAUAAAAUAUUUUAUAUCUUUAAAAAAUUUAAGUUGUUAAUUAUUGUGAUUUAUAAUUUUUUUACUCUUUUUUUAAGUAUAUAACAGAUUAAAUCUUUUUUUAGAUAUUUUAAGUUGUUAACUAUUGUAAUUUAUAAUACUUUUCAUGUAAUUUUCAAAUAAUACAUGUUACUCUUCUUGUCCAUAUUUUUGCGCCAUUAAUAGUCAAUUAUAUUUUUAACUAUUUUAAUUUAAGUGACACUAAUAUAAUUUUGAGAUUCAACCAAAUAUUUAUAUUUUUAAAAAUUUUUAAGUUGUUAAUUAUUGUGAUAUAUAGUAUUUUUUACGUAUUUUUUUGGAAUAUAUAACAGGUUAUUUGUUUUAGAUAUUUUAAACUGUUAAAUAUUGUAAUUUAUAAUAUUUUUUCAUGUAAUUUUCAAAUAAUAUAUGUUACUCUUUUCGUCCAAGCUUUUGUGGUAUUAAUAGUCAAUUAUAUAUUAAAAAUAAUUUAAGUUUUUAAUUACUGUAAUUUGUAGUACCUUUUCUUUUAUUUCAAUUUAAAUGACACUGAUAUAAUUUUGAGAGUCAGUCAAAUAUUUUAUAUCUUUUAAAUAUUUUAAGUUGUUAAUUAUUGUGAUUUGCAGGAUUUGUUUUUGUAUUUUCUUGAAAUAUAUAAUAAAUUAAAAAAUAACACAAACAAAUUAAAAUUGAGGAAAAAAUGAAGGCAAGGAAAAAGACCAAUGAAGUUGUGCCAUCCGAAGCAUAACUGCACACUCACAGGAUCUUUGUCGAGCGAUAGGAGCAUUCGGUGGAACCAGUGAACUACACUUGUUUCUGGAUAGAUGUGUGAGACAGAUGGCUCAUGGUACCUGCUGCCCACCCUUCCUCCUCUGCUUUGAGAACCGUGUGAACGGAGAGUGGGCAAAAGAGAAGGAGGUCCUCAUACGGAGUCGAACACUUACGCCAAAGCAGACAAAAUGAUCUUUAAAUUUUUUAAAUUGUUAGUUAUUGUUGCUUAUAGUAUUUUUUUACAUAUUUUUUGAAAUAUAAUAAAAUAUUAAUUAUUAUUUUUAGAUAUUUAAAGGUGUUAUUGUAAUUUAUAAUACUUUUAUGUAAUUUUCAAAUAAUAUAUAUUAUUCUUAUCAUUGAAAUUUUUGUGGCAUUGAUAGUCAAUUAUAUUUUAUAAAUAAUUUAAUUUUUUAAUUAUUAUGAUUUAUAAUAUUUUCUAUUUUAUUCCAAUUUAAGUGGCACAAACCUUAGAUGGAUAUAUAAUUAAUUAAGAGUGAUAUCGUAAAAUCACGAUUGAAGCAGCGAAACAGACAUGUCUUAAAUGACGUAUAUAUAAUAACUAUUUAGAAGUGAUAUAAUAUAAUUACUAUACAAAAAUACUUGUGAAAAAAAAAAUUAAGUGGGACUAAUAUAAGACGCCAAGUUAAUUUAGCAUAUUUUAAAAAUUUUAAUACUUAGAUGACUUAUAAUAAUUAAUUAGGGGUGAUAUAGUAAAACUACGGUUGAAGCAGCUGAAGCAGAUAUGUCAUAAAUGUCUAAUUUUAUUUUUUAUAAUUAACUAUUAUUAAUUUUCUAAUACUUAAAUGACAUAUAAUAAUUAAUUAAUAGUGAUAUAGUAAAAUCACGGAGCACGUAGAUGAAGCAAGGAGGAUGAGGGGAAACGGCUGAACUGUGGCUUAUUAAUAAGGAGAAUCAUCUUUUAUUCUCCUUCUUUUUCGUUGUGUGACACUCUGUUUCUUUUUAACCAUUCUAGAAAGAAUAAGAUGUCUAUACUUAGAAAUAAUAUAAUUUCAAACUCUUAUUUAAUCUUCAUAUCAUAAAAAUAUCACGAUUAUGAAACUGAGGAAAGUACUAAAAGUAGUUAGAAAACAAUACAUACAUACACAUAUAUAUAUAUAUUUACUAGGGGUGAUAUGGUCCGUGUUAGCACGGGCCCAACGUGAAGAAUAUUUUUAGAUUAACUAUUGUGAUUUAUAAUACUAGUAUUAGUACCCGUGUAAUGCGCGAUCAAUAUCAAAUGAAAUUAAUCAUAGAAGUUAUUAUCCUAUUGAUUUUAUAUAACAAAAAAAUAAUUCAAUAUCUUUCACAUAUUUGAAAUUAAUAAAUUUAUUUAAUAAUUAAUUACAUAAAACUUAAACAUUUCUUUUCAAAAGUUAAUUUUCUUGUGUAAAUAAUAUUAUAUUAUAAUAUAAUUAUCUGCUCAUAUUAGAUAAUAUCGGGAUCUGCAUUAAUUUAUUUUGUAAAAUAAAAUCAUAUAAUUCCAAAAGAAAAUGUAUAUUUAAUAUUGUGACUCACUUCUAAAUUUGGUUAGAAAAAUAAAGAACUAAUGAAUGAUAUGUUUUAGGGUUAUUCACGUGAGGCUUCUUGAGAAAAUUGAAGGAAAUGUGUCUUUUAAGUCUUGAAUGAAGGAUUGGUGACAUUGACCAACAGAUAGGGUCAAACAUCAUUAGAAUACUUGAUUAAGUUAAUUGUGGACUUGAUUAAUAUUUUCAAAACUUUCUAAUCUUUUUAAAAAUACAAAUCAACCCAACCCACACCCCUCUUCAAUCCAAAUCAACCACUCUCUUCUCUCUCUAUAGCUUCUCUCAAAUCUCUCCCAACCAACAGUUCGGCAAAAUUUCUCCCUUCAAAUUCUGGCGACAAAUAGUCAGGUGAGUUUCUUUUCGACUUUUAACCAUCAAUCGACGUGAAUACUUCUCAGGCAAUAACAAUUUUGAGUUUUUCGUCCUCCUAUUUCUUUUUUCACAGGUAAAAAAUUAUGAAGAAACAGAGGAACUUGAGCCAACUACUCUUCUGGUAUUGAAAUGUGGACUGAAUAAAACCCUAAUUUCUAAAAUUUUUGUAUUUCUUCUUCUUGUUGUCAUACUGUUGAUUUGAAUUUGUUGGUAUUUUUUAUCAUAGUUGAUAUUCUUAGUGUGUGUGUGUGUGUGUGAUGUGUUGUGUUGCUGGGUUGAUUUGUUAUUUGUCUUGGUAGAAAUGGUAUUGCAAUAGUUGAAACAUCUUAUGUAAGAGAUGAAACAUAUGAUGCAACAGAUGAAAAUCUGAUAUAAUAGAUGAAAAAUCUUAUGCAACUAUGAAAAUCUGAUGCAACAGGUGAACAAUUUAACAGAUCAUUCAUUUGUUGCGAUAGAUGACUCUUCAUUUGGAAGAAACCUAAACAAUAUUGAUCCAAUAGAUAACUUAUUAGUGAUCUGUUUUUAUUCUUUCCAAUGGUUUACUCUUCAUUUUGCAACAUAUUAGGAAUGUUUUUAUUCUUUUCAACGGUUUACUCAUCCGUUGAAACAGGUCGGUUAUCUGUUGCAACAGAUAAUAUACCUGGUGCAACAGAUUAGUUGUCUAUUGGAACUAUUAUAUUACUGUUAUGCAUUAAUCAAUUAUAAUCUAUGUUAUGUUCCUAUUAAUUUAAGAUAACAUGGCUCCAAAAAAAAAAGAAAUUGAAUCAAGUCCAAGUAAAGGAACAAGUGCAGCAGCUCAGCUACAUCCACCACUCUAUGAGCUUGCUUUACAAACGUUAUCUCAAUCAGGAGCAAAAGAUAAUGAACACGGGGAGGAGGAAUCUUUCAAAAGAGAUGAUCCAAAUGCUAAUAGCCCUUCCGUCGAAGAGUUGGUCAAAACCUUCAGCAUUGAUCGUUAUCCUGUGAGAAUGCAGUGCGAUGGUGCCAAAGAUUUAAUGGGUGAUCUCGUGGUUAAGUCAGUCAUGGAAAAAUCUUUCGAUGCCUUCAGAAAAAUACUUCGAGAACAAAAAUUGGAUUCUUAUUUCAGGGAAAGCUGCUUUGGGAAAUACCUUGAUUUGCCGGAGGACAACAAUGCUCCUUUCCAAAUUAAAAUGGUAUAUGAUCUUCUCAAGCACAGGUUUGUAUAUGAAAACAAAGAUAAGAUGGAUGAGGUAUGGAUAAAUUACUGUCCCGUACACUCAAAAAAGAAAAAGGCAAGUCGAGUGAUCGUGAUGACCUGGUGUCCAUUGUUGGUCCAAGCUUCAAAAAUAAAAAUCUGAUUGAAGCGUUGAAAGGUAAAGAACUUUCAAAGAAGCACAAGCAAUCAUUGUUCUUGGUUUGGUUUGGUUUGUACAUAAUGUUCUUUGGGCGAAAAACGUUAACAACACUAUAAGCCUCGGUUUAAUAAAUCUCUCUGAGUAUCUUAAGGCAUUUAACAGCUAUCCUUGGGGUUAUGAAAGCUUUAAAAUGACUGUCGAAUAUUUGUUGACUCCGUUAACGCCAAAAAUAGCCAACUUACAUGAUUUUCCAUGGGCCUUCAUGGUAAAUAUUUCUUUUAUCAUGAUAUGAUUCAUCAUUUUUUAUUCAAUAAUACUUUUGAUUUAUAGGCGUUAUGUUAUAGGCUUGGGCAUUUGAAGUCAUUCCUUAUUUGAGACAACAAGUGAACUACUAGGAAGAAGUUUCCUGUCUAAGAAUUCUGAGAUGGUUGUCGGCCAAAGCCGAUAAAACACAAAAUUUCUUGAUCUUUUCAAUCCCCCCAAGGAAGCAGUAAGUUCAAUUCUAAUCAAGUUUUUGUUUUAAUUAAUGAUUAAAUAAUUUCAUCAUUAUUCUUAAUAUAUGUACCGAUUUAUUUUAGAUUGUCCAUCCGUGGCUUGUUCCGACCAACCGAGAGUUGAAGAUGUCAUUUUUUUCUUACUUUACGGUCUGUGCAAACUUUUUCGGACCCCUAAGUCAUUGAUGAAAUAAAAAUAGAAUUAUUUGGAGCAACAACCAUCACAAGAAAAACAAUUUUGGAGGGUGAGGCUAAUGAUGCUCCUCUUACAGUUUUUGAAACAACAAGCCAUUUAAUUAUGAUCAUAAUGGUUGUAUAAAUUUUUCUCCAGAUUUUGCUGCAUCUUGCGAAUGUUAUUCAUGCAAAUGUCAAGACUGCAAGGCAAAACAUGAUGGAGUAAUUAAUGCUAUUAAUGCACUAACUACUUUUGUAAAGGAAAUGACAUCUAAGAGGGGUGUCAUUCCAUCAAAGAGGAUUUCAUAUCCAGACACUUCACUAGAGAUCAAGGCGGCUAAGAGGAGAAGGAAAGACACUUCCAAGGCAUCAUCAAUCAUAAAAAAAAAUCAAGAUUGCAACAUCUGUCUCUUUGUCUUACACCGGCGUUCAGUGUGCAAAGGCCACAGAAGAGCAGUAUGAGCUGAAGAAGGUGAAUGUACAUCAUCUGUUCUAAAAAACAAACAGGCACAUAUCUGUUUCAACAGAUAUACAUCUGCUAAAAAUUAUCAAACAGAUAUAUACAUCUAUUACAAUUGUUGUCUAACCUGUUGCAUUAGAUUCGUUAUCUGUUUCAACAGAUGAGUCUUAUGUUGCAACAGAUGGGUCAUUCAUUCAAAAUUAUCGUACUGCUCUGAUUUACCUGUUCAAAUUUGUCCCAACAGAUAAUCUAUCUGAUGCAACAUAAGACUUAUCUGUUCCAAAAGAUGGAAAAUCUGUUGUAUAUCUCUACUUAGUAUUGACAAUUUUGGCUUUCUAGGUGGAUGUCACAAUUACUGCCGAAGAGCAUAAUAUGACAGUUGAUAAUCCAUCAACUGCUUCCAAAGAUGAAGAAAAAGUGGAGCCUGUCAGUUUGGUAGAACGGAAGAAUUACCCGUUUGAAGGGUUUAACAUCUCGGAUGAGGCUCCAAAAAAACUAACAUAAUUGAUCAAUGACUAUUCAGAAUGGAUUGUCGAUGGGCUGUUAAAGCAUCAUGCCGGCAGCUACAUAAAUUAAUUUUAUGGAUAUUGGUUUAUACAAUUCUUAUUGUAAGAACCUGACAUUAACACAUAUAAAUCAUCAUGUAGAAAAUAAAAUGACAAGUGCUACAAAGUGAGCGAAUCGAGUCUUGGUUUUGAUAUGUUGACUUUUUUGUUGCAUAUUUCGGAAUGAAGAAUUGGUUCUAUUUGAUGUCAAAGCCCCAAAAUUGCUGGAAUGAUGAGGUUUAAAUGUCAUACAUAUUACUAUUAAUUAAUACUUUAUUUAAUUGGAUCUGCGUAAUUAAUUUUUUUGUCACGUAAUCCGAAAUGUUUGAUAAUAUGUACAGCACAUCGAUGUCAUUUUUACUACCUCCGAAAGAAGGCCAAGUUGCAAACACAAGAACAAUAUAGAUACACAACAGGUAAUUAUUUGUAUAAAGUUUACAUUAAUAAUGCCUACGAUAGUUAUUGUCAACAACAGCCAAAAGUUUCUCGAAACGACGAAUGCUUAAUCAACAUCAUCAAAGGUUUUAGUAUUCCGGCUAGCUUACCUUAGCAUUUGAUCGAUGAAGUGUACAUCCCAAUCAAUUAUGGUGAUGAAUUCCAUUGGGUGUUGGUUGUCGUCGUUUUAAAAGAGAGGCGCAUCCGAGUUUAUGACUCGAUGACAUGAAAGAGAUGUUUCGGACCGUUGUCUGAGAUACAAAAGCUGGCCAAAAUAUUGCCUACUUAUCUUGAUAUGAGUGGCUUUUUGGAUCAAAAGGUUCGUACUAAUUGGUCGAUGAUUCAAGCAUACCGGAAUAAAAUGGCUAAUCCAUUUGAUGUACAAUAUAUUGACGGAAUUGCUCAAUAAACCAUUGGUAGCCUGUAAGUUUAAGUGUCAUGAUUUAGUUUUAUUUCACAAAUUUCACAGCGCUUGCAUGAACUGCAAGAUAUGGAUUAUCUAUUUUUUAUUAACGCAGGGAUUACGGUCCUUUUGUUACCGCUUAUGCCGAGUAUUUGAGCGAUGGAUUACAAGUACCAAAUGAUGAACUUGAUGUCGGAUUACUCUACAAAAGAUAUGCUGCUCUUUUAUGGAAAUAUGGAGAAGCGAAAGCUCAGAAGCCGUACGCAAUCGACGUCAAAUAUCCACGACGACCAAAGCCGAAUUCCAUAGCACUGGAUGAAGAACAACUUAUCCAUAUUGAUUAGAUCUUUAUAGCUUGAGUCCGUCAAUGUAAUAACCUAUCCUCCUUAGUUUAACUUGUUGAUUUAUUUGUAGAGUAGAUCGUUUGUACCCAUAAUGAUUUUUUUACAUUUCAUUUAUUUGUUCAGUUAUUUCAUGUAAUUUCUGAAGGCUUCGAUUUAUUUUAUUCUGUGUAUGAAUAUAAUUAAUUUUGAGUUUUGAACAAGUUAAUUGAAAUGGAGUACUAGAUUCGAAUAUCGCAAUACAUAAUACAUCUACUGCAACAGACGACAUAUCUUAUCAGACAGAUUUAGACAUAUGUUGCAACAUGAGAUGCAACACAUAGGUCAUCUGCUGGAAAUUAUAUAAUAGGUCUUCCUACUUUUUUGAUUUGCUCCAACAGAUUAUCGAUCAGUUGCAACAGAUAAGUUAUAUGUUGCAAAAGAUCGUAAAUCUGUUACGACAGACAAACGGGGAAUAUCUACAUAACACAACAGAUGACCAACCUAUUCCAACAGAUAAUCAAUCUAUCACAACAGGUACUAUAUCUAUUACGACAGAUAUAAAAUCUAUUGCAUGAUAAAAAUUCAACUUUGCUAGACAUAAAAAUUAUUGCCCCUACAUGUAUAGUGAAUUGGCUUGAAAUGAAAUUUUAUUAUCGUGUUCGUCUCUGUCUUUGUACAUGUUCUUUUUUAUACACGGGCUUCAACCAUUUAGUUAGUACCCCAUAUGCCCAUACCCAUUGCAUCUUUCCCACAAUGGUGUUGCACACACCGGUCAUUUGUGUGUCGAUCAGCAAACACUCGAUGUAUGCAAGUGAGUCGGCCCGCACGCUGCACCGAUUGUAUUUUUUGGGAGCUAGAUGUUCUUAUUUUGACCUUUAAAAACCCAUGAUUCCUUCGCCAAGACUUCAGCUGGUAAAUGAUCCAUUAGCUUACUCUAUGUCAACAACUUGGGCAACAACUUCAAGAGUGGCUGCAUGUGGGUUAAAAACGUCUUCUCAUUGAACACAGGUAAGUUGCAGUCAUAAACCUUAAUCUUUCUCUCGUAUAUUAAUAUCUCAACAGUGAGAAAAUAGGUGGCAUCCACGUUCAUGACUGCAAGGAUUCUCUUUGCCUUGGUCCAGCUCUUGCCGUGUGGAUAUGGCCUCUUCCCUCUAACAUUAUUAAUCAUUUCUUCAUCCCAUUGGAACAUAGAAACUAACUGAUCAAAUCUCGGGCCACCGGAAUCAGCUAUCUUACAGAGUUUAGCGUACCUAUCCUUGAAAAUAUUAUAAAAAUUGAGGUCCAUUAUCCUAUCGGCAGUAUCAUAAGCAUCCGGGUACGCUAAUUGUCUGCCCCUCAUGAGGCAGAGAAUUUCAUCAACAUACUGUGGUAUCAGAAGAUAAUUUUUAAAUAGGUUAGUAAUUGUAAAAAAUAAAAACACAAUCGAAAGAAUCUGAUGCAGAGAGUUUUCUGAAUCAAUUCACAAAUUACCCAGCCAACGCAAAUUAUGCAACAAAUAUGUAUUAUGUUGCAAUAGAAUACCAAGUUUUCUCAACAGAUUACACAUCUGUUGCGUAGAUUCUUAUUCAUGGGGUAGAUUGGAAGAGUAGGUUAGCAAAAGUAAACUUACCUUGUCCUCGUACCAUACGCACAUAUUUGUCAUAUUCGAGAAGUCUUUGGUGACAAAUGAAUGCAUGGUGUAUUCUUUUUGAACCUUUAUCUUGAUGAAUUCUUCCAAUUCCUUCUUCUUCUCCUUGCCAAGCACCGUAAAUAUUUACACCUUCUUCGGUGGCCCCUGAAAUUCAACAACUAUUAGAGCGGGAGGAGUUACAAUUUUUGCUGAUUUCAGAACGAAGAGAAUUUUUGUAAUUUUUCUUCUCUUCCUCCUAAACUCCACUGUAGGAGUGCUAACUCCCUCACCUCGUUGGAUGGUACGACACCCCUCCUGGAUUUUAACUCCUCAGCAACUUCAGCAAUAGCCUCUAGCUUGUCUAGGAGUUUAUCUUCUCUGUCCUUGCACACUUUGCAUUUACAAUGAGAACAUGAAGGUGAGGAGGGGUGAGAGGGACUGGUGUAGGGGUGAGAGGGAGGACCUAUGCAAGGGUUGUUUUCAAACAUAUUUAUUUUUUGUUGAGCACCAACAUGCUCAUAAUCACGACUGGCAGCAGAAGCAGCAGCAGGAUGAUUGCCACCAUCACAAACAACUCCACCAGCAACAUCCCAGAAGAAUAACCCGGAUCUGUUGCAGUUUGAGUUUGGUCGUGAAGAGCUUCAACAUUAGAAUGACCUUGACUAACUGCUCUUCUUAUGGAUGUUGCUCCAUCCAAUUCCUUCUUUAUUAACUCCACCGUUGGGUCUUAUUUUGUAUCAAUAAGACCCAGAGUAAGAAAAGAAGUCAUCCCUAGCUCAUCAAUAAUAGGCACGAUCCAAGGAUGCACAACCUAUAAAAAAUGACAGGAGGAAUUUAUAUCAUAUAAUAAUAAUUUGCAGUCAGUUGGGUUAGUGGGGCUCGGGUUAUGUUAACACAACCAACUUAUGCAACAAAUGAUCUAGCUACAGCAACAAUUGAUCUGUAUGUUAAAACAGAUUGAUAAUAUUUUGCAUCAGAAUACUCAUCUGUUGCAUAAUUUAUAGUAGAUGGGUAAUCUAUUGAGUAGAGUUCAGAGAAUAGAGCAACAUAUGGUUAAUCUAUUAUGAAAUAUGGAUCGUCUGUUGCAACAGAUUACCCAUCUGGUGCACCAGUUGCAGUUGACGGAUAAUCUGUUGUAACAGAUAAAACAUCUGUUUCAAUAUCUUUCUUUGAUGUAAAUUAUUUUAGUUGAAGAAAGAUGUACUGUAUCAUCCGGAGGGUUAAAGAUAUCAGUCUUGUUAAUAUUUUUUUUUCCUUCUCUCUACUGCAACCAACCACCUAAGGAUCCUUGGAUAAGAAAUCUUAUCCGAGUAAUCCGUGAAAUUCUUUUAGAGGGGAGAAAUGGCUUCACAUGCCCAAGCCUAAAAAUUGUAAACAGAAAGCAAGCAAAAAAAAAUAACAAGUAUAUUCAAUAUAAAUUAAUGAAUGAGUAAAAAUAGUGAUCAAUUUUACCAUGAAAGCCCAAGGAAAGCCGUAUAAUGUGAUCGUCUGUGGCUUUACCUCUUUCAGUAAAUAUUUGAUAGUCAAGUAGUAGCUGUCGUAGCCCCAGGGAUAAUCGUUAAAUUUCUUAAAAUCAUCAGCAAGCACCAAUAAAUCACAUUCUAUGACUUUCUUGACAUCUCUUUCAAAUAAAAUGGAAUGAACAAACCAAACUAAGCACAAUUUCUCUCUGUAGUGCUUUGGUAUGUCUUUAUUCUUGAGAUCCUUUAUCAAAUCCUUCACUUUGUAGCUAGGUCUAACAAUACCCAACAACCCAUCUUUUUUUACCUUGUGUUUGUUGGACCCUUUGUGGGGUGUUUUCUUGAUGGUAGGUUCUUCUGGACGAUCGCAUCUCAAGCCCGUCAGAAUGGCAAACUCUUUCAAUCCAAAACAAACUGGCAUGCCACAGUAGUUGAUUCAGACUUCAUCCAUCUUAUUUUUGCCCUCCUUCGGACCUCCAUCAUCCCCCGAAUACAUGAUCCUGCACUUGAGAAGGCCAUAUACCAUGAUCAUUGGGAAAAGGAAAGGUCGGGGCCCAGACACUCAAGCAAGUGUGCAAAGCAGCUCUUCUUAAAAAGUCCAUCAAUACUCCUAAGUUCGUCAAAAGGUUUCCCCAACUGACAUUUAAGUACAAGAUCACCAAAUACUGUAUUAGGGUUAUUUAUCGGUAUCGCAACUCGAAACUUGUCAAUACUAAUAGUUUUGACAGAAUCAUGCUGGAAUUUUGAUAUUACUCCAUGCUCCAUUGGUGAGGAGGAGUUAUCACUUUCCUCGGCUUCAUUUUUCCCUGACUGAGAUUGUUCUAGAAGUUCCUCCAAAUCUAUCUGUACUCUAGGCUUUUUUGUUUGGUGAUAGAAAGUUGAUCCACUUUCUCCACUUUCAGUUUCUUUUCUUUUGGGAGACAUCUUUUAACUACAAACAAAAGAAAAGUAAAAAAUACAUUGCAUUUGAUGUCUGCAUAAUUUUUUUUAAAAAGGUGAGACAAAUUUCAAUAAAUUAUUCUUACCACAUAACCAAAAAAAAUACUCUAACGGACAACCCAUCAGUUGGAACAGAUGGGAAACCCGAAUCUAUUUGAAGACCUAUUUAAUAUGUACCCACAGAUAUUCCACCUGUUGCAAUAGGUGGAGAAAUUUCAAUAAAUUAUUCUAUGCCACAUUACAAGAAAAUACUUCAAUGGAUAACCCAUCAGUUGGAACAGAUGGGGAAUCUGUUUGAAGACCUAUUUAAUAUCUCCCAACAGAUCUUCCACUCGUUGCAACAGAUAGGCUACCACCACCACAAUCAAUGCCACAACCAAUGCCACCAAGAGCACCACCAAUGUCACUAAUACUAACACCAAGACCACCGACACCACCGCUAAAAAACACAAAUACCAACACCACUACCAACGCCACAAAUACCAUCUAACAAUAUCACGAUAGUCAAUAAAACACUGAGAGAAAAACUAGGGUUUUCUCGGGUGCUUCCUACUUUUUAGCAUCAAAACUCAAAAUUGUUAACCCAUUCUCGAAGAUAAUACAACUAAAAGUCUUCUUUUUUAUUAUUAACUAAAAAUCCCUAUUUUUUAAAAUAAAGAACAAAUGUAGAACUCUUCUCAAACUCUGUUACAUGCGAAGAUAGAGAAAACAACGGAUACAAGUGGGAAUGAAGUCGAAAAAACAACUAUAUGUAGUCAUAAAUAGGAAAAAAAUUAACCUGUUUUGAAGGGUUGAGCAAUAUGUUGAGUAGUUGUUGUUUGUAUUGUUGAGAGGGAGAGGACACCCCGAGAGAGAGAGAGAGAGAGAAGAGCGAGAACUUAACAUUUGAAAUGAAAAGUUUUUUGCGUAAAUAGAUGAUUUGUAUGGGUUGAUUUGUAAUUUUGGAAAAGAAUGACAAGUUUUGAAAUUGCUAAUUCGGUCCGAAUUGAUCUUAAUUAAUUUUAAAAUUUUUAAAAGAUAUAGUUUUUAAAACAUUAAGUUGAUGAGAACUCAUUUCAACUCAGAGUGAUUGAUCGACGACUCAGGUGGGGAUGAACGUAAUACCAAUACCAUGCAAUUGCAAAGACUAGAUUGAUUUUGUAGUUGACCCUGCGAGCUCAUUAAUUCAUCCCUAGUUCCACUUAAAUCAACUUAGGUACUAUCACUAUCCUAACAUUGAGUUGAUGAGAACUCAUUUCAACUAAGAGUGAUCAAUCGACGACUCGAGUUGGGAUGAAUAUAAUAUCAGCGCCAUGCAAUUGGGAAGACUCGAUUAGAUUUGUAGUUGACCCUGUAAGCUCAUUUAUUCAUCCCUAGUUCCACAUAAAUCAAAUUAGGUACUAUAAUUAUCCUAACAUUGAGUUGAUGAGAACUUAUUUCAACACAGAGUGAUCGAUCGAUGACUCAGGUAGGGAUGAACGCAAUACCAACGCCAUGCAAUUGGAAAGACUCUAUUAGAUUUGUAGUUGACCCUGCGAGCUCAUUCAUUCAUCCCUAGUUCCACCUAAAUUAACUUAGGUACUAUCACUAUCCUAACAUUGAGUUGAUGAGAACUUAUUUCAACUCAGAGUGAUCGAUCGAUGACUCAGGUUGGGAUGAACGCAAUAACAAUGCCAUGCAAUUGCAAAAACUCGAUUGGAUUUGUAGUUGACCCUGUGAGCUCAUUCAUUCAUCCCUAGUUCCAUCUAAAUCAACUUAGGUACUAUCACUAUCCUAAAAUUUAGUUGAUGAGAACUCAUUUCAACUCAGAGUGAUCGAUCGACGACUCGGGUCGGGAUGAACGCAAUACCAAUGUUAUGCAAUUGCAAAGACUCGAUUGAAUUUGUAGUUAACCAUGCGAUCUCAUUCAUUCAUCCCUAGUUCCACCUAAAUCAAUUAUAAUGAAAUCUGUUGCAACAAACGACUGAGCUGUUGAAAAUUUUCAAACAGGUACAUAUAUGUUGCAACAGAUGACAUAUCUAAUUUAAUUAUCAAAUAGAUAUUUGCAUCUGUUAUGAUAGAUGACUGAGUUGUUGGAAAUUUUCAAAUAGAUAUUUAUAUUUGUUGUAACAGAUGACAUAUCUGAUUUUAUUAAUUAUCAAAUGAACAUUUUCAUCUUUUGUCACAGAUGACUGAGCUGUUGGAAUUUUUAAAUAGAUAUUUAUAUCUGUUGUAACAGAUGACUGAGUUGUUCAGAUUUCUAAACAAGUGUUUGUAUAUGUUGCAACAGAUGACAUAUCUGUUUGAAUUUUUUUUCUCUUUUAAUUUUAAAGAAAAAAGCUUCUGGUCUGAGUAGAUAAUAUCAAGUAGUAGUACUUACUACUAAAGGUGGUAAAAAAUAUUUCUUGGAUAUUUCAAAAGUGAGUUCAUUGAGUAGUCUUGUCUUGUCUUUUCAAUGUCAGUAGUCUUAGUCUUUCUCGUGCCCCUUAAAUUAUUAAUGAAAUUAAUAAAUAUUAAUUAAUAAAUAUUGAAAACCAUCACGUCUACAUACACAAUACAUUUAUAGAAAUUAUCUCAUCUUUUUUUCAGCUGCAGUUUAUUUUAUUCAACUCUCAUCUUUUUCUCUCUCCUCUUUAGGGUCACAGCCUUUUUUCUCUCUUUUUUCUUCUUUUCUCAUAAAGAUCUUUUCGGACUAAACCCAUCCAUAUCUUUCCUCGACUUAAAUUUCUAUUUUGAUCCCCUUUUUGAUAUUAAGGUAUGGUUCAUUAUUGCUCUUUCAUUCUCGUUUUCUUCUUUGCAAGUUAUUUACAUCUUUUUUUUAUUUAAUUACUAUUUACCCAUAUCAUAUUUAUUAAAAAAUUUUAACGAACUUGUAAGUGUUGAAUAAAUAAUAUGAGAAUUUUUAUUACAAUAUUAGAAAAAAGUCAUCUGUUGGGAGAAGUUUAAAAGCCUUGUUGGCAGUAUUAUUUUUUUUGUAUGUAUUUUGUUUGUUUCAUUAUUGUUAAUAUAGUUAUUGAUGUUGUUGGUAGGGUUGACAUUGUUUGAACUUGUGGUGUGGUGUUGUUGAUGGUUCUGGAACAAAAGAUGUUGCUUCUUUGUUGUUGAUGUUGUUGGAACAAAUGUUGUUGUUUCUUUUUUGUUGAUGUUUAUUUUGUUACUGAUAUUGCAACAGAUGGAGAAACUAUUAGAACAAAUAAAACCACCAGAAAGGCCGAUUUGAUGUAUUCCAUCAAACUCCACAUCUGUUAUAACAGACUCCAAAUCUGUUGCAACAGACUCCACAUCUAUUGCAACAGACUCCACAUUUGUUGCAACAGAUGGAUAAUGUUUUUUUAUGACAUCAAUUUUUUUUCUCUUCUUUGUAGAUAUAAGGAACUGACAGUUGAUCAACUUUUGAUGGACUAUCGCAAGAGACUGCAGUAAAUAUAGAAUCGAAGGAAUAAUCUACUUGCAGAUGGAACUACUUCAUAUAUGGGAGGUAUGUAUUACUGAUAAUGUUAUCGUGGAAACACAUAGAGAGUGCACUGAUUUUGUGAAUGAUGUUUUUACUGAUUAGUCAUAGAUCGUUCAAACAAGAUGUCUGUAAUUUUACAGUUAAGUUUGGUAGGUCUGAACUGAUAAGGCUGAGGGACCAUGAAUAUGAUUCUGAUAAUCUGUUAAGAUUUAAUGUCGGUUAUUGCUCAUGUUUAUUUGUCAAGCAUUGUGAAGGGAUCUAGUUUUUGUGUCAUUUUAAAGAGAUUCAAUGGCGAUUGGACUAACUUUUAGGGUGCAUUGGACCCUUAGAGGGCCUUCAAAGCUUAGCACUACAUCUAACAAGAACGAAAAACCAGUAUAGUUAUUGCCCUAGACAAAAUUUAUAUGGCUGGGUUGCUCGCUCGGGGUGAUGAUUAUAUGCCAGAAUGUGCGGUAGGAGAAUGCUUUUGAAGCAAAAUGGAUGGUUGAUGGAAGACUAUAUCAUCUGAGAUCUAAUUAAAGAAGAGACGUGAAAUUAUCUUAACAGAUGCGAGAUCUGAACACUUUGCUAGAGAACUACAUGGUCGGGUCACCUAGAUAGAAAAUAAGAGAAGACCAACAAAGAAGCCUCACUGACAUCGAGGGUUGAAAUGAUGUAUAGCAAGUCUAGAAAACUUAUGCCAACAGCAACUGCAGUUAAAAUAAGGAAUCUAAGCGAAGGCGAUAAAUUUCUGAAUUUUAAAUUUCAUCCCAUGCUUUCUUGUUUGUGUUUCCGAUCAGGUCCACUGUAGUUGACCUGAUCAGAACCACAAAUGAGAUUGAAAGAAAAAUAGAGUAUCAUUGCUUCCUUAGCAAUAUGGUUAUAAUUGAUUGUGUUUUCUUGCCUUGAAAUGCUUCUAACAUUCCUUGGAGAAGAUUAGAUGCUUGCUAUAGUAUGUGAAUCCCGAUAAUUUUCAAGCUUGCCUCCAGCUUGUUGAUUUUGUAUUUAAGCUGGUCGUUGCCGUCUUCAAAGUUGGUAAGGAGUUUCUCGUCUCUUGUGAGGUCGAUAGGGCACACUACCUUCAAAGUUAUGGCAUUCUAGAAGCCCUUCAGAACACUUUCUUCAAAAGCCUUAAAGGAUACAUGAAGGGUCUCUAUGUUUGUUUUAGUAACUCUAUGCUUACUAAUUUAUCAAAUUGGUUGAGCAAGAUGCAUGGAGAAACGCUCGAUAAAAGUGUGUUAUUCAACUGUUGGGACCAUAUCUUCAACAUGCAUCAAUAUAUUUUGACCUAAAACAAACACAGCGACCCUCCAUGUAUUCUCUAAGGCUUCUGAAGAAAGUAUUCUGAAGGUCUUCUAGAAUGCCACAACUUUGAAGAUAGUGUUCCUGAUCAAGCUCACAAGAGACAAGGAACUCCUUACCAACUUCAAAGACGGCACUGACCAGCUUGAAUAAAGAAUCAACAAGCUGGAGGCAAGCUUGAAAAUUAUCGGGAUUAACAUACUACAGCAAACAUCUGAUCUUCUCCAAGGAAUGUUGAAAGAAUGCUAAGGCAAGAAAACACAAUCAAUUAAUCCAUAUUGCUAAGAAAGCAAUUAUACUCUAUUUACCUUUCAAUCUCGUUUGUGGUUUUGAUCAGGUCAACGGCAGUGGACCUGAUCGGAAACACAAACAAGAAGGCAUGAGAUGAAAUUUAAAAUUAAAAAAUUUACCGUCUUCGCUUAGUUUCCUUAUUUUAACUAUAGUUGUUGUUGACGUAAGUUUUCUAGACUUGCUAAACAUCAUUUUUACCCUCGAUGCCCGUAAGGCUGCUUUGUUGGUCUUCUCCUAUUUUCUACCUAGGUGAUAAUCCAUACCAUGCAGCUCAUUAGCAAAGUGUUCAGAUACAUUGUUUUUCUUUAAGAGGAACAACAGAUGAAAUUACAUUACCGGAUAUACUUUCAUAUUUGCACUUGAUUCAGAUUUUGCAUCUGUUAAGAUAAUUCCAUCGGCUAGAUUCGUUAGAAGUUACUUUCUACCCUAUGUCUCUUCUUUAAUUGGCUCUCAGAUAAUAUAGUCUUCCAUCAACCACCCAUUUUCCCUCGAAAUCAUUCUCCUACCGCACCUUCUGGCAUAUAAUCAUCACCCCGAGCGAGCAACCCAACCAUAUAAAUUUUGGCCAGGGCAAUAACUAUAUUGGUUUUCCAUUUUUGUUUGAUGCAGUGCGAGGCUUCGAGGGCCCUCUAAGGGUCCAAUGUACACUUAAAGUUAAGUCCAAUCGCUAUUGGUUCUCUGCUGUGACGACAAAUAUUGAUCCCUUCUCAAAACUUGACACGCAUAAACACAAACACCAAUCGUCAGUAAUUUGUAACAGGGUAUCUGCACCAUCUUCAUGAGGUCCUUAGCCUUAUCAAUUUCAAACCCAUCAAACUUAACGGGACAAUGCAGGAUCUUGUUUGAAUGAUCAAUGCCUAAUCGAUUAAAAACUGCAUUCACAAAAACAUUGUACUUUGUGUGUGUUGUCCUGGUAACCUUAUCAGUAAUAUAUGCUUAACUCUCAUAUAUAUAAUAGUGGAUCCAUCUGCACGCAGCUUAUUAUUCCUAGCCCAUCUAUGGCUUAAAUUGAAUAAACAUAUGACUAGCUUGUUGCAACAGAUGAUACAUCUAUUUAUAUUGUCAAACAAUUGGAGACAUCUGUUAUGACAGUUGAUCAACCUGUUGCAAAAAUCAAACAAAUAUAUAUAUCUGUUGCAAAAGAGUGCCAGUAUGUUGUAAGUUAUCUAACAGAAAGAGUAUAUUUUACAACAGAUUACCCAUCUGUUAGAUUUAUUUUAAAGCAAUUUUCUUUUCUUUUCGAGAUACAACAAUUCAUAAAUAGAUCCUCCUUACAAAUAUAGAUGAUCCAGAUUUGUACAAGAAUAUUCAUAUCGAUUCCUUGCGUAAAAUUUAAAGGCAGUUUGAUGAACUCUAGAGAGAUUUGGCUGACUUCGGAGCAAGGCUGUCGGAUGAAAAAUGUCUGAUUGACAAUAAUAAUAUAGUAGUAAUAGUAAUAAUAAUUAGGUAAUGUUGUUUAUUUUAGCGAUUAUUUUCCUCCUUUUGUAUAUCAAAUCUACCCAAGGGAUUCAAAAAUCUAUGAACAUUCAUUUCAUUUUGUUGUUGACUUUGAAUUUUUAAUUCUUAUUUAGUAUUUAAUAAUAAUCAUUCUGAUUAUUCCUUGUUCUUAACAUAUCGACGAUUGGUGGUAGGGAUUAAGCAGCAAUUUUUGUCAAUAGUUAGAGGUUAAUCUGCUACGAUAGAUUGAUCAUAUGUUGCACCUGGCGGUUAUUAAUAAAAAAGAGUUAUUAUUAUUGAGAGGGUGAAAAGAAAAAGACAUGACUUUCCGUUCUGAUUAUUCAAUAUGAAAAAUGUUUCGUAAAUAAAUAAUAAGGAAAUAAAUGAUAAACACAAUUUAUAACCAUAAUUUUAAUAACUGAUCGUGACUUUUCAUCAUUUUUGUUUUUGAAUUUGUUUUUAAAUUAUUUAUUAUAUAAUAAAAUAGUUAUUAUUUUAUUAAGAAAUUUGAAAAUAUUUUUUUUAUUUAUAAAAUAAAAAAGUAAGCAUAUUUGGAUUAAUGAUAUGAUGAUAGUUAUUUUUUUAAAAAAAAAGUAGAUUAUAUGUUGCAACAAUUAAAUUAUCUAAUGCAACAGGUUCACUAUGGUUGUAACAGAUGAUAUAUCUAUUGUCACAGAUGCUUUAUCUGAUGCAACCUAUAUCGAGUCACAACUCAAUAAAAGCGGUUCUUGGAAAGAACUAAUUAAUAAUAAUAAUCUGAAAAGUCAUGACUUAUCACAAUAUUUCUUAAUUUAAUUAAUUCAUUACUUUUCACAUUAAUAAAAAAAGUAAUUAAUAAAUGGAGGUGAACAGUUAGAUUAUAUAUUGCAACAGAUAUGUUAUCUGAUGCAACAUAUUUUAUAUUUGUUGCAAUCGAUAAUAUAUCUGUUGUCACAGAUGUGUUAUCUGAUGCAACAGAUAUAGAAUCUGUUGCCACAACUCAAUAAAAAUGGUUCUUCGAAAGAACUAAUUAAUAAUAAUAAUCUGAAAAGUCAUUACUUAUAUCACAAUAUUUAUUUUCUUAAUUUAAUCAAAAAUGUAAUCAAUAUAUGGAGGUGAAUAGUCAUGCCUUUUUGCCUCUCAUUCAAAUUCAAUCCUCUAUGAAUAGGCCCCUCCUUACUCAAUUGUUCAUUUAAAUACACUCUAUUUAUUUAUUGCAUCUUGUCUUUCAUAUUAACUCUAGAAGAUAAGAUUAUGGCUGACCCAAUGUGAGACGUUGCUUUUCUGCAAGACACCGUGAAUGAACUUCGGAAUCAAGUUUGUGAUCUGCAAUGGGAACUGGGAGGAGUUAGAUCAAGAAUGCUCCACGAGAUACGCAGGCUGAGGAGGGCCUUGCUUCUUUCGGUUGAAGAUUGGCCGGCUGGCAAUGAUGAUACUGAUAAUAAUAAUAAUAAUUAGACUAUUGUUUUUCUUUUAGUCUAUUAUAUAUAUUUUUAUUUGUUUUUGUUUAAUAAAUAAAUUAUGUUUGAUCUUUGACGUUUGAAUCUAUAUUUAAUUUUUAUUCUGUCUAUUAUAUUCUCAACAAACAUGUCGAUAAUUCGAUGUAAAAAGGAAUAAUUUAGAAUCUAGUAGCAAUAACAAGAUUUAUCUGUUAGGUUUGUGGCAGGGGUUGAUGUGUUGUUCAAAACAGAUUACUCAUGUUGCAACAGAUAAGAAGCUGAUGCAACAGAUAAAUAGUUUGUUUCAACAGAUGACUAGUUUGUUGCUUUGCUUGGCUCUGGCGUUUUAAUUCGUACUCCUUCCAUCUCAAAUUACCCUUCCCAAAUUGAGAUGCCACAUUGAUUAAGAAAAAUAAUUAAUAACAUGUCUAGUUUACCAUAACCCACUGAUCAGUUGGUGGGACAUUAGAAGUGUUGAAAUAACCAUUGUUCAAUAUUUUAAUUUACACCCUCCUAUCAAGGAAAAGAAAGGAGUUUUUCCUUCUCUUUUCUUGUCUUAAUAGAUUUUGUAUUUCUUUGCACGAUCUUAGUCAUAGUAUAUUUUUUAUAAAUUUAAAAUACUUUUUCUUCAAUGCAAAUAUUUUGAGUAAAGCCUCAAUAAUAGUCAAUUUUCACUCUUAUUUUUAUUACCAUUUUCUCAAUAAAUAACUUAUAACAUUAUCCAAAUUUCUAACCUAUUUCACGAUCUCACAAUGUUCACUUAUUCUCCUAUGAUAAUGGACCAACAAAUAUUGACGAAUCUUAUUGUAUAUUAUUUUUUCGAAUAAAUGAUUUAGUCCUGCAUACGUUUGACUAUUCACUCUUCAACUUUCGUUUCGAUCAACCCUAUCAUACUUUCUCAAUUUAUAGAUUUAAAUGAAAUUAUAAAUAUUAAUCACUGUCGGAAUUGAAUUUCCUCCCAUCUUAGAACAUUCAACUAAUACUUAACCCCUCAUGUUCAUCAACACAAUAAGAUAUUAAUCUUGUUCAUCUUUAUCCUUUAUAUUGUACAAGGUAGAUCAAAAUAGCUAUUGUAACAAAAGAUCUACAAUAUUCUAAAAUUGGAGUUACAAAUAUAAAGAUAAACAUGAUUUAACUCAUUGUCUGUUUCUAUCAACUAAAACAAUAAAUAAGAAAGUUCGAAGUAUAAUGUUUAUAAUAAAUGAUAAAUGACCUUUAAUUUCACAUUAUUACAAUAUGCUACAUCAAAGUACAAUAAUAUUUACACUAAGAAUUUAAAUGUAAUGAACUUGAAUAAUAUUCAUAAGUAUUUGAUUUAUUGAAUUUUGAGCAUUGCCCAUUGGACACGAGAUACUCGCCCAAAUUCUGAUCUUUGAUAUAUAACUUAUGAAAUAGUAAUUCUAGUGUUGGGUGAAUUUCAUAGAUAGUUAUACAACCAUAAUUUUUUUCACUAAGGUCACUUAAAUAUCAUUCCUAAUACAUAUUACUAAACUUUUAGUAUACUACUAAACUCACACAAUUUAAUGUACAAAUUAAUUGUUAAUCAUAACAUAUCGAAAUAUAGUAUAAACAAAUCAAGUGUAAAUUCUAACAUAUAGAAAUAUAAUGAAUUAGUAAUUUAGUAUCAUAGUUUUAAAACUUUUGAAAUCAUAUUAUUUUCUCGCUAAAAUCUAAAGCAACAAUAUUUGCAAUGUAAGAAAAUUAACUUUCUAAUAUCAAUAUUAGUUUCAUCAUAUUUAAUGUAUAAUACAUAAAUUUUUAUGUUACUGCUAAAAUUCUCAUUGCACAUUUCGAUUCAAAGAUAAAAUUUUAUAAGUCUUCAAAAACGUAUGAUAUAUUAAAAGAUCACCAACUUAAAUCUUCAAAGAGUAUAGAUUAUAUUUUUUUUAAUCAAACAUAAAGUACAUAAAUAUUGGCUCAUAAAUUUAUACCAAGUAUGUAGAAAAUACAAUGAAUAUUCGACAUAACCUGUAUAUUUAGUUGACUCUAUAAUCAAGAAAAAUCUGUUCUAAAACAUUACUGAAAGUAAAUUGAGAUUCUAGUUAGAACGUCCAUCCAUACACUUGAACAAUUUAUCUUCUUCAACAUGUGAUGACAAAAAUUAAUUAGCUUUUACUAAGUAUAGCCUUCUUAUAUAGUGGCCACUUGGUUAUGGCAUUAGAACUUCUACAUUAAUUGACAGUUCGUACAAUAUUUUUUUCCAUAUGUAUGUGUGUGUAAUUGUUAAUUGAUUAUUCAUUUUCUAUUUCUAUUUCUCAAUCAACUUUGCCAGGCUUCUUUAAUUGACUUAAUAUUAAAGGAAAGCAUGAAUACUUUUUAUCAUAUAAAUAUUCUUUUUUUGGUCAUACUUCAACUUCAUAUAUUCUAAUUUAUUAGUAACUCACACCUACAUUUUAUCAUAUAAAAAUUGUUAUAAAUUUUUAUUGAUAUUUUUAUUAUUAAGAAAUAUUUAUUCCUAAUUCAUUUUGAAAGCAAGAAGUGAUUAUAAUAUAUUUAUUUAUUAAUGACAAGUUAGAUGAUUUAUAGUUUUAUUUUCAUGUAUGUUAUGAUAGUACAAAAUAAUUAUAAGAUCUGCACAUUUAAAUUUUUAUAUAAGAUAAUUUAACUUAUUUCAAUUAAUUUUCGUACAUCAAAAAGAAGUAUUUUUUUCAAAUUUUCAAAUUUGAUUAUUUUAAAAUUAAGAUUAUUCUUACAGACAUAUAUAAAAGUUAUAUAAUUGGUCAAUUAAAGAAUAACUUUACAAGACAAAAUUUUAUUUGACUUUGAAUAUUAAUUAGGACUAUGUAAUUUUAGUAGUUAUUUUCGAUAAAUAUUUGUAAUACCCCACAUUUUGGACUAGAAGGAAAAUCCAUCAUUCCUAUACGUGGAUGUUUCAAAAGCCUCAAAUACUAUAUAAAUUUAGUGUGUUAAUCAAUUAUGUAGUGUGGGAAUCUAUUUGAGCAUGAAUUUAGAUCAUAGAGGUCCCCUAACUCAAGUACAAGUUGAAAGCUUUCCUAUCGUUCAAGUUUUAGUGAGCGUCAAAACUUGGGUCAACUUCAAUCGACCAUAACUCGUUGUAUAUGAUGAACUGGGUGGUUUACCAUAUAUCAAAUGAAAUAUCUUUGAAUUAUCUUUCCAAUGAUACCAAUUUCGCCUAAAUACAAUAUCGGAGAAAAGAGUUAUCCCCAUUUCAUUCCAGCAUGUCAAGCUGGAAAACGGUGAUUACGUUUCUGACGGGCUAUCACGUUUCUGACGACCUUUUUGACAACGUCGUCAUAUUCUGAUGACAUUUCUAACAACGUCGUCAGCCCUGGGCAGAAAAUCAAGAAUUUGGACCCCUUUUGUGACGACCAUUCAUGACGGCCUAUUACGGACCUGACGACCUGUCACGGAUGGCGUAAAGUAUAUUUUUUUAGAAAUUCAAGGGCAUUUUUGCAAGGUUGUUUUAGUCAUUUCCUUCACCUUCCAUGACUUAUAACCCUAAAGAGGCAUAAUUUUUCCCAUUUUUCUUCAGUUAAGCAUCUCAAAAACCCUCUCUUACACUCUCAACCACAAGAUUAGGGUUUCCAUCAAACUCAUCUCUCAAAAUUAAGAUUCAAACCUUUUUCCAAGAUAAUCAAGAAUUAAGUUUCCCAAUCCAAGAACUCUCCAGCAAAUCAUCAAGGUUUCCUUUGUAAGUUAUGCAUGUGUUCAUUCAUGGACUUCUUUCGUCCAUGAAGUUCAAAAACCCUUUUCUAAAACCAUAUAUUAUGGUUUUCAUGUUAUGAAUGGAUUGUUGAUCAUGUUUAUGUGUUGAAUGAUGCCAAGAUAGAAUCUUUAUGUGUUAUUAUGAACCUUAUGGCUCCUUAUUCAGCUCAGUUAGAGGAUUUCAGACUAGAUGUCAGAUUAGAUAUUCAGAUCUCAUUAUUUUCAGUAUUUAUGACUUGUUUUGGUAUUGUUAUACCUUUUUCAGACAUUUUAUUAUCAGACGUUUAUUCAGUUCGAACCUUAUGGCCUUUCAUGUUCAUGUUUCCAUAUUUUAUGACAUAUUAUACAGUAUACAGGUACAGAUAUCAGUCAUAGGUUAGCUUGUGGUCCUUCAGGGUCAUGAACACCGUGUAGUAUUCUGGUUUAGAAAAUUGGGGUGUUACAAACUUGGUAUCAAAGCCAAGUUCAAUAGAGUCCUAGGAAGUCUGAAAGCUGUAUCUAGUAGAGACUUGUACAUGCGUAUGUUGUGUACCACACUUAUGUGCAGGAGGCUAUGAGAUGUUUUAGGUACAGUUUCCCUUCUUUCAGUAUUCAUGUCGUUCCAGUGAGCAUAAUCUCAGUCUAAUCCAUUUCUAUCUUUCUUCUACAUACAUGCCUCCUAAAAGAAGAAAUGGGAAUCAGUCAGCCCCUCAGCCCGAAGACCUUUUGCGAGUUAUGUUUCUCAUGUGGAGUUCAGGGCCGCAUUCACCACUCUUGCUCAGUCAGUCGCUGCCCAGAAUAAAUGACCAGCUAUCAUUCUGGCCAACCUAGUGGCCAAUUCAGAUGCAGCUAGAAUUCGAGACUUUACCCAAAUGAAUCCUCCUUCCUUCACAGGGUUUAAGUCAGAUGAGGACCUGCGAGAAUUCCUAGAUCAGGUUCAGAAGGUGACAGAUGUUAUAGGGGUUACUACUGUUUAGAUUGCUAAGUUAGAUCCAUACCAAUUAUAGGAUGUCGCUCAUACUUGGUAUAAGCAGUGGAAGUCAGAAAGGUUAGAUUAUGCAGACCCUAUAGAGUAGGAGGAGUUUUCCUCUGCUUUCCUUGAUAGAUUCUUUCCGCUAAAGCUUAGAGAAGCUAAGGUACUAGAGUUCAUCAACCUCAGGCAGGGCAGUAUAAUGGUAAAGGAAUAUUCUCUCAAGUUUACUCAAUUAGCUAGAUAUGCCUCUUAUGUGGUUGCAGACGUGUAAUACCCCGAUCGUUUUUAAGCCUAAAUCUAUCUUUUGAGUGAAUAUGGAUGACUUCCAAAUUGAUUGUUGUUUAUAUCAUGUUUUAUUUCCCUAAAUUAUACUUUCUAUCAUGUGGAGAAUUGGAUAAGCUUUCCAUCGACAUAAGAUUCACCCAAAUCGAACACCCGGUGAGGAAGUAAGAGCCAUUUUGUAAUUCCCCAAGACUCUAACCAAUAGUGCAACCAUGAAUCAAGCUCUUGAGAAAUAAAUUAUAUUUAUUUGGUCAUUUUGUAAUCAAGGAUGGUGUGUAUUAAGGCCUUAAAGAUGUCCUAACGAUUGGACAACUCAAAACAUUCCUUACCGAUUAAAUUCUUAGGAAAGAUAUUGGUAUAGUCAACUUCAAAUGAUCAUAUCUCUCAUUAUACUUGGAAUUUUCGAUCACAUGACCUAUCAAAAGAUAUAUAAUUUAAUUAUCUUUCCAAUGAUACCAAUUUUGCCAAAAUCCGAUAUCAGAGCAAAGAGUUAUACCCAUUUACUCCAGCAUGUCAAGCUGGUUAACGGUGACGACGAUUCUGACGGGCUGUCACAUUUCUGAUGCCAUUUUUGAUGACGUCGUCACAUUCUAACGACAUUUCUAAAGACGUCAUCAGCCCUGUGCGUAAAAUCAAGAAUUGGACCACUUUUUGUGAUGACCAUUCGUGAUGGCCUAUCACGGACCUGACGAACUGUCACGGAUGGCAUCAAGUAUAUUUUUCUACCAACUCAAGGAUAUUUUUAAAAGGGUAUUUUGGUCUUUUCCACUCAUUUUUAGCCUUUAUAUAUACACUAGUAGUGGAGAAAACCUUCACUAUCUCUCAUUCUCUUCCAAGGAAAAGAUAAAAAAACUAGGGCUUUCUUCUGAAAUCCUAAAUCAAAUCUUCUCCAAGAAAUUUAAGAAUCUUCCAAAGAUUUCACCAAGUUUUCCAAGAAUCAAAUUUUUCAAGUCAAAGGCAUUAAGAAACUUAGCUCAAAAGUGUGAAGAAGAGUUCCCAAUCAAGCUUGUUCAUCUUAAAUCCAUAAUUCAAGGUAUGUGGGAUUUGAACAAGAACACUUCUUUCAUUCUUGUGCCCAAAGAUUUAAUUUCUACUAUUGAAAUCCAUGAUUUUGCAAAGUGGGUUUACACCCAAAUUACUUUAUUAAUGAUUUAUGAUAGUUGAGCUAUUCAAGAUUGAUACACAUGACUAUUUCAUUAUUUUAUUUCUUAAAUUGAGAACUUAUGUCAUGAGUUGAAUAUUGUUAUUAUGAGUUGAUGAUUUUCAAAUGAUUUGAGAUAAGAGUCACGAUUUAAGCUUUUCUAUGAGAAGUUUGAUUAUUGAAUAUAUAUUGAUAUUUGAGCUUGAGAGCUAUUUUAAAAUUUCCAAAUUAUGACGAUAUUUAAUAUUGUGAAUUUUAUGUUCUACCAUGAGUUGGUAUUUCAAGUGCUUUCAAGACAUGUGUCAAGCUUUAAGCUUUCUUAUGACAAAUUGGAUUAUUGAGUAUAUUGAUUCAUAAGAUUGAGUUGUUAUAAUGAGUCUUGCUAUUUUCUCAAAGUUAUUGAUGUUUCCAUGACUAAAUGAAUUGAUAUAUCUUGAUGUUGAGAAAGAUUAUUUGAUUUUGAGUCGAGUUAUGAAUCCACAGUUGUAUAUGAUUUAUCGAUGAGAUGUAUUAUUGUUUUGGUCUUCAUGAUAGACCUAUGAAUUAAAUUAAUUAAGGUGGAUUUCCUAACGUGUUCUGAGCUGAGUCUGGAAGGAUUAUUUAGCACUGAGCGUAAAAUUUAAUAUUUCUCUGAAACAACGUGCCACCAUAGGAUUGAUGUUGAUAAUUGUGGGCCAAAGGCCGAGCGUGGGAUUGUGAUUGUGAAACUGAGGUUGUACUCCCUGGCAAGAGUAUGACGCUCCCUCCAAUAUGAGGUUUUCUCCUUAGAAGGAAAAUACGUUGGACUCCAUGCGGCUCACAUGGCGUAUUAUGUUGGUUAUAAGAAACUCCCAAGUCUAUAAUAGUCCAAGUUUUCAUGAGUUACCGAGUCACUCUAAGUCAUGAUUUAAAGAGUUUGAGUUGAGUAUAAUGAUUUAUGAGAUUGAUAAUGUGUGUACUAUUAUUGAUGAUUUACAAGGAAUAUAUUCAGUUAAUUCAAGCGAAGAAAGUUGUUAUCGUUAGCAUGCAUGAUUUUCAUAAUCAUUUAUGAUAUUAUUUAUAACGUUGUAUUGCACCCCCACAUACUCAGUACAUUCCUUAAAGUACUAACCCCCAUAUAUUUCUAUAUGCUACAGUGUCUUAUAAUGUAGGUGCAAGUUGUAGCAUAUAUAUCGUAUUCAGUCAGUCCGUCGCUCCCAUUCAGCAGGUGACGAUUCCUUUUGAUUCGUGGGCUUGAUUUGGUUAUAUAGUUCGAGAAGUAUUGUAUUUUUCUUAUUUUAGUCGUAUUGAGCUUAGAUAGUUGGUAGUCAUGACCCGGCUAUCUAAAGUCAGUACCAGUAGAGGCUUCAUAGACAGUCAGUAGAAGUUGAUGUAUUCAGUUUCAAUUUUGUUUGGUAAAAGUAGAGUUGUAAUCUUGUAAAGUUCAUGUUUAUAUUGAUCAAGUUCAGAGAUGUUCUAUAUUUUCGCUGAUUUUAUAUAGAUUUAAGCAUUUUAUCCAGUUGUUUAUGAAUUAAGCCAGUAGGAGGGUUAGCUUGGGGUCACUUGUGCCCCUAAGCACCGUGUGACAUCUUGGGACCCAAAUUUUAGGGCAUUACAAACUUGGUAUUAGAGCACAAAGUUCAAGUGUCCUAGGGUGUCUAUGAAGUUGUGUCUAGUAAAGUUUUGCAGAAUGGUAUGGAGACGUCUGUACUUUUCUUUGAGAGGCUACAAGACAUUUAGAAAAGGUCUCCAUUACUUUAAGUCUUAGAUCGUGCUAUAGAAAGGUUCUUUGAGAAACUUCUGCAGAUUCUUAUCUUCCUCUAUUCAGGGCAUCCCCACCUUAUUUUUGAGGUAUUAGAGACAGUCAAGCUCAACUCUUUGCAGAUAGUACUUUCUUAAACAGUUUCCACAGAUAGUUACAGAGUUUUAAAUGAGCUAGAAAGUAUCCUAUUAGUGUCUUAUCAUGCCUUCCUUAUGAAUCAUGCAAUAAGCCCAAGUUAGUUGCGCUUCCAGAUUCCCUUUUAGAAUCUAUAAUGAUAAUCUAUACUUCUUUAUCUAUGUACUGUUCUUGAGGCAACAUGAUCUGCAAGUUUUAAUUUCCUUCCCUGACAAUGCCCUUAGACUUACAAGGGAGAAAUUUCAGAAGUUUCACAAAGAGGCCUGAGAAGAGCUUACCAAAGUGUUAUGAGUUUCAUAAGUUCAAUGUUAUGCCCUCUCUCUUAUGAUUCUUUCAGCUGAGAUAGAAUAAGAUGUGUAUUCUUAGAUUAUCAAAUAUUGUAUGGAGAGUUUCUACCUCUUGUACUCAUGUUAUCAUAAUAAUGUUGGAAAUUAAAGACUAGUGAAGCUGGGUGAGGCCUAUUUUGAUUCACUAGAGACUCUUUGUGUAUCUUGUUUCCUCGUGCUGGUUGGAACUGAGUUUAGAGGUAUUGUGGCAAGAAAAGUGAAAGGUGUGAUUUAUUAGAAGUAUGUAUAGCCGAGCCUUUUGCAUUUGAUUCGAGGUUAUAGACGAGGAUACUUAGUGGAUGAGUGUUGUUAACUUAGGUGCUCCUGAGAUUGCAAAGGAAAGUUAAGUUGAGGCUUAGAGAGUUAUGAACUAAGUUAAGUUGUGUAUGAAGGAUAGAUAGUAAUGAUGAGUAUAAGCAGGGUGCGUUGAUGGAUUAUAAAUGAGAGAGAUCAUAUGGUUAUGACCAAUUAUUGUUAUUAGGGGGUUUAACCGGACUAGUGCUUAUUGAUGUUUUGUUUUAUAGUUUUCAAGUGAGAAUUGUGUGUGUGAGGUAGAGUUGUAAGUUAUGCUAAGUGCUAUGUAUUAAGCUUGGAUGAUUGGUGGCUAUGAAGUUGGAUGUGAUGAUUUCUUGGUUAAUGGUGCUAGUUAUAGAGAAGUGAUCUAAUAGGCUUGGACAAUGUAGGUAAGAGCUUGAGUCUGGUUGACUUGUAAUUAAGUUUGAUUCUAUGUUCUUGGUAAGAAAUUUUGCCCAAGGUGCUAUGGGGCUGCUUUAUUUUUUUUAUAUUUUUUUUCUAGGGUCAUUGUAUGUGGUGUAAUUAGUAAGUGUUGUGGAGUUGCUAGGUGGAGGAAGACUAGUUAGGUAAUGAACGAUGUUCCUAAUAAUUGAGUCAAGGAGCGUGAUGGCUUUAGUCUAAGGGGGAGAUAGUAGGACAAGUAACCAGGUUAGGUUGUCAGGUUCUAGUGGGUAUGCCAAUAAGUUGUGGAACAGCUGUGAGAAGAGAUACUGCUCAACCCAUUCUUAUUUCAGUAUUUUCAGUCAUUCCUAUAUUUAUUCAUGCUUUACGUUUUGAUUCCAUGAUCAUGAUUCAUGUCCAGGCAUGCCAUAAAGAAUCCUGUCCUCGCUUAGUUACUAAAAUAUGGAGUCUCUGACCUUUUACCGGUUGGAAUCACAUUUUAUAGUUAUGAAUUCCUAAUUUAGGUCAUGCAACGCAUGACUUAUGUACUCGAGCUUUGUGAUAUGUUCAGUUCCAAUGUUCAAGUGCUAUUUUUAAUGAUCAGAAUUCAGAUUUAUAUCGUGCAUGUCCCCGAGCCAUAUUUCUUUGAUGGGUUUAUGAUGUUAAAUCCUCUAUUCCUCAAGCCUCAGUUGAGUGGUAAGUUAUUCAUAACAUCUAUUCAUGUGUCAGAUCCUCAUGCUCUAAUCUUUUAGUUAUCUUUCCUUACCUAAGAUAGUGGUGGUGAAUAGUUGUUUAGUCAGAAGAGAGGAGACAUUUUCUUAUCAACGAUAGAGGGUGGCAUGCUUACUUUAGCUAGAUGGUAAGGUGAAGUAAGAUUGAGGCUAAGUCUUUGAUGCAUGUUAUGGUUAUUUGAAGUUUAAUGUGUUAUGAUUGGGAAGAUUGUGGUGUAUUCAUUUUGUGUAAUUCCAUGCGUUGGAAGGAAUAUUAGAGUGAAGCGUUUGUGUAGGACUUGAUUAGAUAGGAGUAUGUCAUGUGUGCUUGAGGUGAGUGCAUGGAAAUCUUUCUUGAUAAGAGGUGUGUAGGGUAUGAAGAUAGGCUUAAAUGUCAUGUUUGUGUGCAUGCGGAUGGGUGCCUUACACAUCAGUAAAUGACUAGUACUAGGUGGAUUGGAGUAGUCGAAGUGGUAAUGAAAAUUACUCUUAAAGUGAAAGGUUGUAAGAAGGUAGAUUUGUGGGAGCUCAUGAUUCAUAAUGGGGUUAUGUGGCGAAUCUUGUGGUUCUAGGUUAGGCAUGAAGAUGAUGAGGGGGUUUGGUUCGAGGGGAUAUGAGUAGAUGGAAGUAUCGGUGUCAUGUGAGGAUUGUAAGUUGAAUCGAUCAAGUAUAGUAUCAGAAGGGUAUAGUAUAGUCGAGAGAUUGUUUGAGAAGUAUGGUUGAGUUUGAGAGUAACGAUUUUCCUUGCUUGAAGCUUUGUACUUUUAUCCUGACUUAUGAUUCAUAGGUUUAGGUUUCAAGUUAUGGAAUUAUGGUAAUUUUAUGAUCUCUGAUUUAGAUGUCUUGUUUAGAUCUUGCCUAAAGUUCUUUGCUUCUUCAAACCAUUAGAAUUCCUUGGGAGGGUGUUGAAGAAAUCCUCUACUUAAGUAUGAGUAUCUAGUACGAUUCAAUUUGCAUAGCUAGCAACCCAGUUUUUUCAGUUUGCAUAGCUAGCAACCCAGUUUUUAAAAUUUGGCAGAUAGGUUUCUAUGGCCUUCCAUUUUUUUUGAACUAGUCUGGUCUUACCAAUCGAAGUUUCAUAAGUACGGACAAUCCGGUAAGUAGUUGCUCGUACCCAAAAAUCUACAAAUUUAGUUUAGUAUGUGUAUCAGGCAUCAGUUUCAGAUUCGGAUAUAUAAUUGUGAUUUAGUCUGUAAGCAUUCAUUUAACAAUCUUUGUUUUCCAAGUAUUCAGUCUAGACAAUGUAAUACCCAUUCUGUAGUCUUAUCCUUGUUUCUCAUGACCUAUGCCUGCAUAAAUUAUCUCUUCACCGUCUAUGAGUACAAUUGCACCCUAGUAACAUUAAGUGAUUUCUAAACUCUCAGUAUGAGCCUGCUCUUUAAUAUAGGAAGAAGGCAAAUCAGCUCAGAUUCAGUCGAGAAUUACAGUUGUCCUCUAUCUAUUCUUUUCUAGUCUCGGAUCCAGCUGUAUAGCUACUCUCAUCAUAAGUUUAUAAAUUCAACGAAGUACUUCAAAAUUUAGAAAGAUAUAGAUUCAUAUUAGCAAGUUGUUUCAGUUGUGUGUCUUCAGUUCUCUCUAUAUUCUUGUCCAAAAAGCAACAUUCGAGGACGAAUAUUUCCAAGGGGGAGAUAUUGUAAUACCCCGAUCGUUUCUUAAGCCUAAAUCUAUUUUUUAAGUGAAUAUGAACAACUUUCAAAUUGAUUGUUGUUUAUAUCAUGUUGUAUUUCCCUAAAUUCUACUUUCUAUCAUGUGGAGAAUUGGAUAAGCUUUCCAUCGACAUAAGAUUCACCCGAAUCGGACACCCGGUGAGGCAGUUAGAGCCAUUUUGUAAUUCCCCGAGACUCUAACCAAUAGUGCAACCAUGAAUCAAGCUCUUGAGAAAUAAAUUAUAGUUUUUUGGUUGUUUUAUAAUCAAGGAUGGUGUGUAUUAAGGCCUUAAACAUGUCCUAAUGAUUGGGCGAAUCAAAACAUUCCUUACCGAUUGAAUUCUAAGGAAGGAUAUUGGUAUAGUCAACUUAAAAUGAGCAUAUACUUGGAAUUUUUGUGCUCAUGACCUAUCAACAGAUAGAUAAUUUAAUUAUAUUUCCAACGAUACCAAUUUCUCCAAAAUCCGAUAUCGGAGCAAAGAGUUAUGCCCAUUUUACUCCAGUAUGUCAAGCUGGAUAACGGUGACGACGGUUCUGACGGGCUGUCAAGUUUCUGACGCCAUUUUUGACGACGUCAUCACAUUCUGACGACAUAUCUGAUGACAUCAUCAGCCUUGGGUAUAAAAUCAAGAAUUGGACCCUUUUUUGUGAUGACCAUUUGUGACGACCUAUCACGGACCUGACGGCCUGUCACGGAUGUCGUCAAGUAUAUUUUUCCAGCAACUCAAGGACGUUUUUAAAAAGGUAUUUUGGUCUUUUUCACUCAUUUUUAGCCUCUAUAUAUACUAGUAGUGGAGAAAACCUUCAUUAUCUCUCAUUCUCUUAGGGUUUUCUUCUAAAAUCCUAAAUCAAAUCUUCUCCAAGAAAUUUAAGAAUCUUCCAAAGAUUUCACCAAGUUGUCCAAGAAUCAAAUUUUUCAAAUCAAAGGCAUCAAAAAACUUAGCUCAAAAGUGUGAAGAAGAGUUCCCAAUCAAGCUUGUUCAUCUUAAAUCCAUAAUUCAAGGUAUGUGGGGUUUGAACAAGAACACUUCUUUCGUUCUUGUGCCCAAAGAUUCAAUUUCUACUAUUGAAAUCCAUGAUUUUUCAAAGUGGGUUUACACCCAAAUUACUUUAUUAAUGAUUUAUGAUAGUUGAGCUAUUCAAGAUUGAUACACAUGACUAUUUCAUNNNNNNNNNNNNNNNNNNNNNNNNNNNNNNNNNNNNNNNNNNNNNNNNNNNNNNNNNNNNNNNNNNNNNNNNNNNNNNNNNNNNNNNNNNNNNNNNNNNNNNNNNNNNNNNNNNNNNNNNNNNNNNNNNNNNNNNNNNNNNNNNNNNNNNNNNNNNNNNNNNNNNNNNNNNNNNNNNNNNNNNNNNNNNNNNNNNNNNNNNNNNNNNNNNNNNNNNNNNNNNNNNNNNNNNNNNNNNNNNNNNNNNNNNNNNNNNNNNNNNNNNNNNNNNNNNNNNNNNNNNNNNNNNNNNNNNNNNNNNNNNNNNNNNNNNNNNNNNNNNNNNNNNNNNNNNNNNNNNNNNNNNNNNNNNNNNNNNUUUGAUUUUGAGUCGAGUUAGGAAUCCACAGUUGUAUAUGAUUUACCGAUGAGAUAUAUUAUUGUUUUGGUCUUCAUGAUAGACCCAUGAAUUGAUAUUGAUUAAGGUGGAUUUCCUAACGCGUUUUGAGCUGAGUCUGGGAGGAGUAUUUAACACCGAACGAGAAAUUUGGUAUUUCCCCGAAACUACGUGCCACCGUAGGAUUGAUGUUGAUAAUUAUGGGCCAAAUUUGGUAUUUCCCUGAAACUACGUGCCAAAUUUGGUAUUUCCCCAAAACUACAUACAAGUUGUAGCGCAGAUACCGCAUUCAGUCAGUCCGCUGCUCGCAUUCUGCAGGUGACGAGUCCUUUUGAUUUAAGGGCUUGAGUUGGUUAUACAGUUCGAGAAGUAUUGUAUUUUUCUUAUUUUAGUCGUAUUGAGCUUAGAUAGUUGGUAGUCAUGACCCGGCUAUCUAAAGUUAGUACUAGUAGAGGCUUCAUAGACAGUCAGUAGAAGUUGAUGUAUUCAAUUUCAGUUUCGUUUGGUAAAAGUAGAGUUGUAAUCUUGUAAAGUUCAUGUUUAUAUUGAUCAAUUUUAGAGAAGUUCUAUAUUUUCGCUGAUUUUAUAUAGAUUUAAGCAUUUUAUCCAGUUAUUUACGAAUUAAGCCAGUAGGAGGAUUAGCUUGGGGUCACUUGUGCCCCUAAGCACUGUGUGACAUCUCGAAACCCAAAUUUUGGGGCGUUACAAGAAGGCAGAGCUAAGAUAAGUAAGUUUGUGUCAGGGGUGAAUGAUAGUGUGGUAAACAACUGUAGAUCUGCCAUGUUGAAUAGUGAUAUGACUUUAGCCAGACUUAUGACACAUGCUCAGCAUAUAGAGGAGCAGAAGAUUAGGAUGAGAGAGAGACAGAGUAAGAGAGCAAGGACAGGUAGUUUUAACUUUUCUCAGCCUAAGUCACAGGGUGGUAACCGUUCUCAGUAUAGUCAUAAAUUUUCAGUCCCAGCUCCAUCAUCAGCUAGUGUACCAGUACCUAAGUCCAGAAAUGAACGUCAUGAUGGAGCGCCAGGCUUCGAGGCCCAGGGUAGUGAAAAUAGAGGUCUUACUUAUCCGUUUUGUGAAUAGUGUGGUAAGAAUCAUCUAGGUGCAUGUAUGGCAGGUAGUGAUGUAUGCUUUGGGUGUGGCAAGCCAGGCCACAAGAUGUGAGAGUUUAAAGUUCUAGCACAGAGGGGUAAGGAGUUGCAUCAGCAAGGUUCCAACAGUGGUCAGUGUCAGAAUAGACUUUAUGCACUCCAGACCCGUCCUAAUCCAGAAAGUUUCCCUAACUUAGAUUCGGGUAUGUUACCAGUAUUUUAUGAUCAUAGUAUGCAUUGUUAGAUAUCUUUCUCUUAUUCGAGCAUAUGUUUCAGUAUGAGUUAGCUAGUAAAGCCAGCAAGUCAGUUUACCAAUCGAGCAGUCAGAUUUUUAUAGCUUGUUUUCUCAUCCUUGCAUCUAUUCAUGCUAUCCAGAAUCUCAAAGAAUGUAACUAUUUCAAGGUAGAACCUCCUAGUAGUUGCAAGUUCAGUUCAUCUCAUGUAUCAUGCAUUAGUUUCAGACUCCCAAAGUUUAGUUAUAAUCUAGUUCGUAGAUGCCCUGUGAAUCACCCAGUAUCUCCAUAAGGUAAGCAUUCUUAGAGGGACAUAGCAUCCCAAGAGGGAGGUACCCCACUUUCUCUUAAUGCUCCUAUGCCUUAGAUCCUUCAAUUUCUCCUUGCAUAACGAAUUCAGUCUAGAAUAGAGGGUACUCAUAAGUUGACCUUCAAGUUAGACCUCAGCUGUAAGUCAAGUAUUCAGAGGUUCGGUUCAGUUUAUGAUGUUUAGUCCAUAUGUCACGUAGAAGAAUCAUCAUGCUCUCAUGUUUUAUUUCAAUCUUAGUGCCUUUACCAUUGCAUGUUCAGUCGCAUGUUCGUGAGUCAGUCCAGUCAUGUAUUUACGCAUCAGAUAUGCGAGGCCAGUUUAUCAGUACUUUCAGUCAUGCAUUCACGUAUCAUGUCAGUCAUACAAUCAUGCAUCAGAUAUGCAUGGAUUCAACUUAUCAAUUAAGCAUUAGAUAUGUAUUCUCAGUUUAUCGGAACACUCAGUCCUACAUUCAUAAAUCAGCUACCCAUGCAUCAGAUAUGCAUGUACAGUGUGAUAUGCUCAGUUUUCAGUCAUGUCAGCCAUGAAAUCAUGAUCGGUCAUUCAUGCUAUAUAUUCAUCAUUUUAUCUCUUCUCCCCUCUCAAGCAGUCAUCAUUCGAGGACGUAUAUUUCUAAAGNNNNNNNNNNNNNNNNNNNNNNNNNNNNNNNNNNNNNNNNNNNNNNNNNNNNNNNNNNNNNNNNNNNNNNNNNNNNNNNNNNNNNNNNNNNNNNNNNNNNNNNNNNNNNNNNNNNNNNNNNNNNNNNNNNNNNNNNNNNNNNNNNNNNNNNNNNNNNNNNNNNNNNNNNNNNNNNNNNNNNNNNNNNNNNNNNNNNNNNNNNNNNNNNNNNNNNNNNNNNNNNNNNNNNNNNNNNNNNNNNNNNNNNNNNNNNNNNNNNNNNNNNNNNNNNNNNNNNNNNNNNNNNNNNNNNNNNNNNNNNNNNNNNNNNNNNNNNNNNNNNNNNNNNNNNAAUUUCACCUAAAUCCGAUAUCGGAGAAAAGAGUUAUCCCCAUUUUAUUCCAGCAUGUCAAGCUGGAAAAUGGUGACGACGUUUCUGAUGGGCUAUCACGUUUCUGAUGACCUUUUUGAUGACGUCGUCAUAUUCUGAUGACAUUUCUGACAACGUCAUCAGCCCUGGUCAGAAAAUCAAGAAUUUGGACCCCUUUUGUGACGACCAUUCAUGACGGCCUAUCACGGACCUAACGACCUAUCACGGAUGGCGUCAAGUCUAUUUUUCUAGAAAUUCAAGGGCAUUUUUGCAAGGGUAUUUUAGUCAUUUCCUUCACCUUCCAUGACUUAUAACCCUAAAGAGGCGUAAUUUUUUCCAUUUUUCUUCAGUUAAGCAUCUAAAAAACCCUCUCUUACACUCUCAACCACAAGAUUAGGGUUNNNNNNNNNNNNNNNNNNNNNNNNNNNNNNNNNNNNNNNNNNNNNNNNNNNNNNNNNNNNNNNNNNNNNNNNNNNNNNNNNNNNNNNNNNNNNNNNNNNNNNNNNNNNNNNNNNNNNNNNNNNNNNNNNNNNNNNNNNNNNNNNNNNNNNNNNNNNNNNNNNNNNNNNNNNNNNNNNNNNNNNNNNNNNNNNNNNNNNNNNNNNNNNNNNNNNNNNNNNNNNNNNNNNNNNNNNNNNNNNNNNNNNNNNNNNNNNNNNNNNNNNNNNNNNNNNNNNNNNNNNNNNNNNNNNNNNNNNNNNNNNNNNNNNNNNNNNNNNNNNNNNNNNNNNNNNNNNNNNNNNNNNNNNNNNNNNNNNNNNNNNNNNNNNNNNNNNNNNNNNNNNNNNNNNNNNNNNNNNNNNNNNNNNNNNNNNNNNNNNNNNNNNNNNNNNNNNNNNNNNNNNNNNNNNNNNNNNNNNNNNNNNNNNNNNNNNNNNNNNNNNNNNNNNNNNNNNNNNNNNNNNNNNNNNNNNNNNNNNNNNNNNNNNNNNNNNNNNNNNNNNNNNNNNNNNNNNNNNNNNNNNNNNNNNNNNNNNNNNNNNNNNNNNNNNNNNNNNNNNNNNNNNNNNNNNNNNNNNNNNNNNNNNNNNNNNNNNNNNNNNNNNNNNNNNNNNNNNNNNNNNNNNNNNNNNNNNNNNNNNNNNNNNNNNNNNNNNNNNNNNNNNNNNNNNNNNNNNNNNNNNNNNNNNNNNNNNNNNNNNNNNNNNNNNNNNNNNNNNNNNNNNNNNNNNNNNNNNNNNNNNNNNNNNNNNNNNNNNNNNNNNNNNNNNNNNNNNNNNNNNNNNNNNNNNNNNNNNNNNNNNNNNNNNNNNNNNNNNNNNNNNNNNNNNNNNNNNNNNNNNNNNNNNNNNNNNNNNNNNNNNNNNNNNNNNNNNNNNNNNNNNNNNNNNNNNNNNNNNNNNNNNNNNNNNNNNNNNNNNNNNNNNNNNNNNNNNNNNNNNNNNNNNNNNNNNNNNNNNNNNNNNNNNNNNNNNNNNNNNNNNNNNNNNNNNNNNNNNNNNNNNNNNNNNNNNNNNNNNNNNNNNNNNNNNNNNNNNNNNNNNNNNNNNNNNNNNNNNNNNNNNNNNNNNNNNNNNNNNNNNNNNNNNNNNNNNNNNNNNNNNNNNNNNNNNNNNNNNNNNNNNNNNNNNNNNNNNNNNNNNNNNNNNNNNNNNNNNNNNNNNNNNNNNNNNNNNNNNNNNNNNNNNNNNNNNNNNNNNNNNNNNNNNNNNNNNNNNNNNNNNNNNNNNNNNNNNNNNNNNNNNNNNNNNNNNNNNNNNNNNNNNNNNNNNNNNNNNNNNNNNNNNNNNNNNNNNNNNNNNNNNNNNNNNNNNNNNNNNNNNNNNNNNNNNNNNNNNNNNNNAGUGCUCAGUAACCUCAGUAAUCACAGUAAAUCUCAGUAACUUCAGUACUCUUAAUUAGUCCUCAGAACUUAUUAUAUUCCAUCCGUCAUCAGAAUUCAGUAAACUCAGUUUUAGCUCCGCUAAAUAAUACCACUAGUAUCAAUUCAUUAAAUCAAUUCAGUUAAGUUAUUUAGUUCAGCCCAGUUAUUCAGUUCAGUUUCUUUCAUAUAGGAGUAGGAUUCAGCACCGAGCAAAUCUAGGGAUGGGGGUUCACCUGCUAGAAUAGGACUGAGAUCCGUAGAAGCAAUCCCUAAGUUCCAAAACUACGUUGCCAGCGUAGGUAUGAGAUGUCUCCCAUUAGAUAGGACUGAUAUACUUAGGGGUCACCCGUUAGCAUAUUUAUAUGUAUAAGACUGAUCCCGGGAGUCACCCGCUAGAUUAGGAUUGACUUCACAGCAGAUGUGUUUACUGGUGGCGCGGUACUGACACCUUUCCAAUCAGGGCAGAGAUUGGAACCCAGUCAGCUUAUCUUGGGGCAUGUUGGUUAGAUGAACAUAUCCCACAGUUUCAGUUACAGAAUUAGGGCUUUCAAACACAGUCAACUCAGCUUAGUAGUACAGAUUCAGUACUGUUAGAUACAGUCAAUGCUUAUCAAUUGUAAAUAGACUUCAAGAUCACCCAUUAGCUAGGACUGAUCUCAACUAUGAUUAAUCAGUAUCAGAAUCAUUAGAUUUAAAGAUCACCCGCUAGAAAUCAUCCUUAUUAUCAGUAUACUCAUGAUCACCCGCUAGAUAGGAUUGAUCUCAGAUUUAGUUACUCCAAGUAGAACGAACUCAGAUAGUUCCAUCAGAACUUAGACUGUCAGAUACAGUCGCUUAGUAUCAGUUACAUUGGUUAGGCCGAUCAUCACAGUUAUAUCAGUUAUAUCAGUUUUCUGAACUCAUGUAUCAGUCAUAUCAGUUAUCAAAAUUCAUGAUAUCAGUAUUCAGCUUCAGGACUGUCAAACACAAUCAACCAGACCAGUUCUUCAUAAUUUAAACUGUCAAAAAUAGUCGUUCAUCUAUUCAGUAUCUCAGUAUCAGUACACUCAUGUUGUCAGUAAUCAGACUCAGUAGUCAGUAUCUCCACGAGUUCAGUUACAGUUAUGUAUGCAUGUAUGUAUUCUCACGUUCAUAUUAGUCAGCAUUAUCCAUGCAUAUAACCCUUUACAUUUAGCCUACCUCACUCGUAUACUCAGUACAUUCAUACGUACUGAUGCAUUUAUUCUAUGGUGCUUUCUCUUAUGUUACACCAUAGGUUCAGAGGCACGAGCUCCAGAUCACCAGUAGCAUUCCAGUGUUCAGAGUUUGCAGUGAGUCCUUCUCAUUCGAGGAUGAUAUGAUUAUUGUUAUAUUUACUAUUCAGUUGCUAGAUGGAGUUAGUUGGAGACAUGUUCCUUCAACUACUUAUUCAGUUCAGUUAGAGGCUUUCAGACUAUAUGUCAGAUUAGAUAUUCAGAUCUUAUUAUUUUCAGUAUUUAUGACUUGUUUUGGUAUUGUUAUACCUUUUUCAGACAUUUUGUUAUCAGACGUUUAUUCAGUUCGAACCUUAUGGCCUUUCAUGUUCAUGUUUCUGCAUUUUAUGAUAUAUUAUGCAGUAUACAGGUACAGAUAUCAGUCAUGAGCACCGUGUAGCAUUCCGAUUCAAAAAAUCGGGGUGUUACAAUAUUAUGCAAUCUUUUUUGUGUAGUAAUAUUCAUUUUAAAAGUUUUCAAUAUUUAUUUAUUUUCAAUCUACCCUCCUUUUAAAUUCAAGACUAUCAUUUAUUUAUUUCCUAAUAUAGAAUGAUAGUGUAAUUACUUAUUGAUAGUUAUUCUUAAUUAUGAAAAUACUUUCAUUAAAUAUGAAUGAAUAUUGUUUUAAAUAUAGAUUAGUUAAAUUUAUUGAAUGAAAAUCCUUCCAAUAAAUAUGAAUGCAUAUUUUUUAAAUAUAAAUUACUUGAAUUAUAUUAAAAUAAAUUGCUUCCAUUUUGCAGUCCAAAGUUACCAUUAGAGUGAUGACAUUUUUUUCAUAAUAUUUUUAAUUUUGAAAUAACUCUUUGAUUAUUAUAAUUUUUUUUCAUAUAAGUUGUUUGAUUACUAUUUGGUUAUUCUCUUAAUUGAUAUUUCUUGUUACUUUCUUGAUUUAGUCAAUUGUAACCAAGUCAUAAAUGUUAUUUUUUGUAUAAUAUUGUUAUUUAAAUAAUUAUAUACAUAUUUUGAGUGAUGACAUCUUUUUCAUAAUAUUUUUUAUUUAGAAAUGAUUUAUUUGUCAUAAUAUUCUUUUCCAUAUAAGUUACUUGAUUAUUAAUUAGUUAUUCUCUAAUUGAUUUUUUGUAAUACUUUCUUAAUUUACUAAAUUGUAUAUGAAAUCAUAAAUGUUUUUAAAAUAAUAUUGUUUUUAUAUUAUUUAAAUUAAUUGUGCAUAUUUUUGCGGGAUAGCAUCUUUUUUCAAAAUACUUUUUAUUAUGGAAUGACUCUUUGAUUAUUAUAACCUUAUUCAUAUAAGUUGCUUGAUUACUAUUUACUAAUUGAUCUUUUAUAAUAUUUUCUUGAUUUACUCAAUUGUUGUAAUGAAAUCAUAAAGAUUUACUUUUUAUAAUAUUAUUAUUUAUGUUGUUUAAAUUAAUUGUUCACAUAUUUUAAGAAUGACAUCUCUAUUGAAAUAUAUUUUUAUUUUGGAAUGACUUUUGAGUCAUCAUUUUUCCAUAUAAGUUGCUUAAUUACUCAAUUGUAAUGAAAUCAUAUAUAUUUUUUUUUAUAUAAUAUCAUUAUUUAUAUUGUUUACAUGUUUUGAGAGAUGACAUCUUUUUUUAUUUGGAAUGAUUAUAGUAUUUUAUAUAUAAAUUGAUUGAUUAUAUUAAUUGACUAAUACAUGGAUGUGGUGUCAUCAAUUUUAAAACAAUAGCCCUGAUAAAUAUUUUAAAGAAUUUAAAAAUAUAUAAUUCAAGAAAAUAGUUUUAAGGAAAAUUCAAGUUGUUUUUUAUCUAACAGGGGUCAAUCUUAAUAGUUUUUUCAUCCAAUAUGAGUCAAACUUAGUUUGUUUUUACCACAAUAUAAAAUAAAUAUGAAAUUAUUAAAUAAUCUAUAAAAUAAUUUUUUUGUUGUCAAAUGCCAAGUGGCUAGUUCUCAAGAGCAAAUAAAAAUCAUAAUAGUUUUCAUCUAGUAGAAAUCAAUCAUAAUUAUUCUUUACCAUAAUAUGAAAUAAGAAAUAAUAUAAAAUAUUUAAAUAAUCAAUAAAAUAGUUUUUUGUUAUAAAAUGAUAGUUUUCUGUUAUAAGAAUACAAAAGGAUAGUUCUUAUUUCUUAAGAUGCCACUUGACUUAUAUUUAGGUUAGACUAUCCUCCUUUUAUAUAUAUAUAUAUAUAUAUAUAUAUAUAUAUAUAUGAGAAAANNNNNNNNNNNNNNNNNNNNNNNNNNNNNNNNNNNNNNNNNNNNNNNNNNNNNNNNNNNNNNNNNNNNNNNNNNNNNNNNNNNNNNNNNNNNNNNNNNNNNNNNNNNNNNNNNNNNNNNNNNNNNNNNNNNNNNNNNNNNNNNNNNNNNNNNNNNNNNNNNNNNNNNNNNNNNNNNNNNNNNNNNNNNNNNNNNNNNNNNNNNNNNNNNNNNNNNNNNNNNNNNNNNNNNNNNNNNNNNNNNNNNNNNNNNNNNNNNNNNNNNNNNNNNNAAUUUUAAAUAAUAUAUGAUAAACCCCUUGUCUAAUUUUGUGUAGUAUUGAUACAAUUUUGAGACUUAACUAAAAUUUUUACAUAUUUUUAAAAAUAUUUUAAAUUAUUAAUUAUUGUGAUUUAUAGUAUUGUUUUCAUCUGUCUCAAUUUAUGUGGCAGUAAUAAAAUUUAGAGAGUCAACUAAUUUUUUUUUACGUCUUUUUAAUUAUUUUAUGUUGCUAAUUAUUAUAAUUUAUAAUACUUUUACGUAAUUCUCAAAUAUAUAACAGAUUAAAAAGAAAAUUAAUAUAAACAAAUAUAAAAGGAAAUAUCUAAGUAAACAACACAAGCAAACAUGUCAAUCUGCUAUCUGAUUAUCAUCCUUUAUAAGUGAGGUGAUAAAUCACAAAUGUCAAUUUAAGUGACAUAAUGCUUAGAUGUUCAUAAUAAUUAAUUAGAUGUGAUAUAGUAAAAUCAUGAUUAAAACAAUGAAGCAAACGUGUCAGAAAUGACUCACAACAAUUAAUUAGAAGUGAUAUAGCAAAUUUCUAUAAAAAAUAUUUGUGAAAAAAAUUUAAGUGAGCCUCAUAUAAGACGUCAAAUUAAUUUAAAACAUCAAUAGUUAAUUUAUCAUUUUAUGUCUAUAUUACCUUUUUUUAUUAAAUAUUAUUUUUUAAUAUUUAAAUGACUAAUAAUAAUUAAUUAGGGGACAUAUUUAGUAAAAAGUGAUAUAACAAAGUUACUAUAAAAAUUAUUUGUAAAAAACUUUAAGUAGAUUUCAUAUAAGACAUCAAGUUAAAUUAAAACAUCAAAAGUUAAUUUAUAAUUUUAUAUCUAUCUAUCUUUUAAUUAAAUAUUAUUAUUUUUUAAUACUUAGAUGAUCUAUAAUAAUUAAUUAGGAGUGAUAUUUAAUAAAAUUACGAUUGAAGCAGCUGAAACAAAUAUGUCAUAAAUGUCUAUUUUAAAUUUAGAGAGUCAACCAAAUUUUUUUACGUCUUUUUAAUUAUUUUAAGUUGUUAAUUAUUAUGAUUUAUAAUACCUUUACGUAAUUAUCAAAUAUAUAAUAGAUAAAAAGCUUAGUAAUAAAAUGAAAUAUCUAAGUAGGCAACACAAGCAAAUAUGUCGAUCUGCUACCUGCCUAUCAUCCUUUAUAAUUGAGGUAAUAAAUCACAAAUGUCAAUUUAAGUGACACAAUGCUUAGAUGAUCAUAAUAACUAUUUAAGGGUGAUAUUGUAAAAUUACGAUUGAAGUAGCGAAGCAAACAUAUGUUAAAUGACUUACAACGAUUAAUUAGAAGUGAUAUAGCAAAAUUUCUAUAAAAAAUAUUUGUGAAAAAAAAAAUUUAAGUGAGCCUCAUAUAAGACGUCAACUUAAUUUAAAACAUCAAGAGUUAAUUUAUCAUUUUAUGUCUAUUUUAUUUUCUUAUUAAAUAUAUAUAUUUUUUAAUACUUAGAUGACUCAUAAUAAUUAAUUAUGAGCAAUAUUUAGUAAAAUUGCGGUUCAAGUAUAUGAAGAAGACAUGUAAUAGAUGUCUAUAAUUUAAAAUUAAAUAUUAUAAAUUUUCUAAUACACAAAUGAUUUAUAAUAAUUAAUUAAGGUGAAAUAGUAAAAUCACGGUUAAAGUAGCGUAAAUAGACAUGUCAUAAAUGUUUAUUUAUUUGAUUUUAAUUAAAUAUUAAUAUUAAUUUUCUAAUACAUAAAUGACUUAUAAUAAUUAAUUAGGGGUAAUAUAGUAAAAUAAUGGCGCAAUUGGCCGGCAAGCAUCUCGAACUAGCGCUUCUAAUAUAGAUAAUAAAUAAUUUUGUUAUAUUUUUUCCUUUUAUCCUUAGUAUUAAAUAACGAAAUGAAGUAAUACUCCAAAACAACAUCAAUAAUAGUCAAUACGGUUCCACUUUUCUUAAGUUAAUUUGGUAAAUUUAGAAUUCUAAAACAAUAUCAAUAAUUGUCAAUUAUAGAGUCCCCAAUCCAGCACCAAUAAGGUUAAUGUGGUAAAAUACAAUUCUAAUUGAUGUUUUCUUAAGCAGCUUGUCAGGUCAAUAUUUUUUUAAAAAUUUUUUUUAGAGAGAUGAUUAUUUAUAUUUAAAAAUAAUUUAACUUUAAAAAUCCUAUUUUAUCAUUAUUUGUGCAUUAAAAUUUAUAAUUAUGGACCCGAAUAUGUUAAAUAACUUUUUUUGUCAAAUAAACUUUUCUAGUAUAUUAGAGAGCGAAAUUUGUAAGUCAUAUUUAUUCUUAUUGGGAUGUAUAUGUCAACAUAAUACAUAUUUCUUCAUUUUUUUAACUUGAUCCUAUGUAGACUUGACACAUGUCCUAAGAAAAUUUUUAUUAGGAAUUUACCUUACUAAAUUAAUUUCAUUUGUAUGUUUUGAAAUUCUAAAUUUGAAUAUUAAUAUUUUAAAUAAUUAUUUAAUCAUAAAAUUAGUAUUCGAAGAAAAUAAUAAAUCUCUCCUGAUUUGCUAAAAUAAAUAAUUAGAAAAAAUUAUGUUUAGUAUAAGAGCAAAAAAAAUUACAAGAAGAAAUAUAUGGCAUAUAUUUACUUUUAAUAUUUAAUUAGAAUUAAUAAGUAUAAAUUAUUUUUUUUUUAAAGUAUGUAAUUAUAUAUAUAGACAGUACUUCCUCUAAUUCAUAUUAGGUGACUUGUUGAAAUAUGCAAUAUUCCUUAAAAAAAUAUUAAAAGAUACGUUUUACUAUUAUCUUUAAAUUAUUUUCAAAUUAUUCUUCUAAAAAAUAUAAAUUAAUUAAGAAUAUCACUUAAAAAAUAAUUAUAAGAAAAAAAUCUCAAUAAUUCUUUUUCAUUUCAAAAAAUUUAAAAUGCAUAAUAUAGUAAAAAACUUAUACCUUUAAGAGAGUAAAACAAAAAAUAUAUAAAAUAUUUAAUGAUAUAUUUUAGUAAGUAUGGCCCCCAUCAUAUGCAAUAGCAUUUCAGGCAUUAUUGUAAUUAAAUAAAAAAGGGAGGUCUUUUUUUUAAGGUCAUGAUUGUAAUUAAAUGGAAAAUGCUGGACUUUUCUUUAAAAGUAUUGCUAAGGUUAAAAAAAAUUAAAGUGGAGUUUAGCAUUUCAAUCUUAAAUCUUACUCUAAAGUGGAGUUUGAUUGUUGCACUUGCUCAUCUGUAUUGGUGUUUAACAGAGGAUUACUGAGGCUGCUGGAGUAGCCAUUUCAUUUGACCUGAACCUAUUCUUGUGAGCUUUUUACUACAUAUCUUCUUACUGUUAGUUCAAAUGUUGGGUUGAUCUGCUCACUGAUAGUUAAAUAAAACUUUCCACAUGCUUCUCGAGCUAAGCUUUGCAUCUACGUCAUGUUUUUUCCUAUUUACUGUCAGGCGGAUUGGAAUGGUGUUGGUGCUCACUCAAACUACAGAUAGAGGAAUGAUCUAUUUAUUCUUCUAUAGAAUAUUAGCCCGUUUGGAUAAAAUGAUUAAAUAUAGCUAAUAAGUAUGAAGUGUUGAAACUGAUUUUAUGAAUAAGUAGUUAUUUUGUUUGGAUAGAAGUUCUUAUAUCUUUCAUCGAACUACCCUUUCCUUACUCUCUCUAGGCUCGCACUUUGUCUAUGUGAGAAUAUUGACAUGGAAUGUUUCUUUUAGUACCAAGUCUAUGAGGGCGGAUGGAGGCUAUGAAAUCAUCAAAAUGCUAUUGAGAAGCAAGGAUAGAUUAUAAAUAGCAAGCUAUUUAGAAGCAGAUGGAGGCUAUGAAAUCAUCAAAUAUUGUGUCUAAAGAGAAAUAAAUAGCAAGGAAGGAUGAUAAAUUCAUAACUCACACAAAUGACACUCUUGUAAUAAUCAUCAGAUAACAUAACCAUUUUACUUUGGAAACUUUUCUUUUGAGCCGAGUGUCAUGACCCGAACCAGGGCCUAAACGUAAUGGGCAUCCCAAGUCCAACCAUGAUCGGGGACUGCCCCCUUAACCCAACCCAACCACCUUUUACAGCCUUAGAUGAUUUGAAUUUCAAACAUAUAACAAGAUAUCGUUAUUGUUCACAUCAAGACUCUAGGAUAGGGUGAGAACCAUGACCGACCCAACCGAGUCUAAUCGUACCAAACCCAACCAUCCAUACAUACCAAACAAGAGAGAAUAUCAAAAUAUAAUAUGACAAUCAAUCCCAAAAUGUAAUACGAUGGAACAACCAACAAUAUCGUCCAAUGAUGUCAUCCCCAACAUCAAUGCCAAUGCUAAGGCCGACACCAAUAUCGAUCCUGCCCAUACCAACCCCCAGAAGUACCACAAAGCCUCUAUCCAAAAGAAUACAAAUAUCUAGUUGGGACAUGCCCCCCAAUUAUGGCCAAAACCAAUGUCCAAAAUGAAAACAAAAUGUCUAAGAGUAUCCCUAUCAUGAAAUAGAGCCUUCUGUAAAGAUGGAAGCUCACCACUUCAAUUCAAAGAUUGUCCCUGAGUCAAUUAUUAUGUAGGAGGAGUCGAACGACCGAUUCCUGCAUAGCGUGGGUCUACAACCGCCAGUAGACGGGUUAGCAAAUGACUGCUAGCAUGUCUCUCAAGAUAAGAAUAAAGUAAUGUCAUUUAAACAACCAAGUACAAGCAUCCAUAAUACAUACAACCAUACAUAUAUAUAUAAGCGCCGGGAAAAAGAAUCCGUGUUUAAUAUGCAUUUAAAACCUUUAACCUAGGUUCUGUAACUGCACACAGAGUCAUAUGCAUUAUCAAACAUCUCUUUAACAGAGUUUGAUAAUAAAGAGGCAAAGAUAUUAAUCUUUUCUUUAACAAACUCAGAAAAUAAAGAUGUGUUCAAGAGCACAUACCUUCUGCAUGAACACCGGGAGCAGAAAACAAAUGCGGAUCUUGGACUUCAUGUCCUCUUUCACUUCCCACGUAGCUUCUUCUACCUUAUAGUUUUGCCAUAAAACCUUAACCAAAGCCACAUCUUUGGUCCACAAAUGACGGACUUGCCUAUCCAAUAUCUUAAUCGGGACCUCUUCAUAAGAUAGAGGAUCUGAGAUAUCCAACCCUUUCAAAGGAACAACCAAAGAAGGAUCGCUAAUACACUUUCUCAACAUGAAAACAUGAAAGACCGAAUGAACUAAACCCAAACUCGAAGGCAAUUCCAACUCGUAAGCAACAUUACCAACUCUCCGCGAAAUCACAUAAGGACCAAUAAACCGAGGAGUAAGCUUUCCCUUCUUGCAAAACCUCACUACUCCCUUCAUGGGAGACACAUUUAGGAACACCCUGUCCCCAACCUCAAACUCCAAGUCUCUAUGCCUAACAUCCUCAUAGGAAUUUUGGAGACUCUGAGUAGCCUUAAGCCUAUCCCAAAUUACUUUCACCUUCUCCAUAGCUUGAUAGAAUAAAUCGAUACCAAACAUAUGAGCCUCGCCAAAAUCAAACCAUCCAAUAGGAGAUCUACACCUCCUACCAUACAAUGCCUCGAAAUGAGCAAUACCAAUACUAGAAUGAUAGCUAUUGUUGUAAGCAAACUCUACCAAAGGUAGAUGUUCAACCCAACUACCACCAUAAUCAAUCAUGCAUGCCUGAAGCAUGUCCUCCAAUGUCUGAAUAGUUCUCUCCGCUUGCCCAUCCGACUGCAGAUGGAAAGCCAUACUUAGACUAACCUUAGUCCCAAUCACUUCUAGAAAGACCGCCAGAAAUAAAAGGUAGAUUCCAUACCAUGAUAAAAAAUAAUCAAAACAGGCACCCCAUGCAAAUUCAUAAUCUCUAGAAGAUACAACUUUACAUAAUCCUCCGUCGAAAAAGUAGUCCUUACCGAUAAAAAGUGAGAAGACUUGGUCAUCCUAUCCACGAUGGCCCAAAUAGAAUUAAAAUAAUUCUGAUAUCGAGGAAGACCGACAACAAAAUCUAUAUUGAUCAUCUCUCACUUCCAUUUAGCCAACUCAAUUUCUUUAUGCAACCCACCAGGCCGCAUGUGCUCAACCUUAACCUGUUGACACACCAUGCACUUGGCCAUAAAGUCAACCACAUCCCUCUUCAUACCAUUCCACCAAUAGAUUUCCUUGAGAUCAUGAGACAUCUUUGUCGAACCAGGAUGGACAACAUAGCACGACUCAUGUGCCUCAGCCAAAAUCCUGUGUCGCAACCCAUCAAUAUUUGAAACACACAACUUCCCUUGGUACCGCAAAGAACCAUCACCACUAAUCUCAAAUACCGUCACCUUUUGCCCACCAAUAUCACUCUUGAUUCUUUAUCAAUACCAAAUCCAACAUUUGCUUCUCUUUAAUCUUUGCACCAAGAAACGAUCGAAUCACUUCUUGAACCAUCACACCACUAUCUUUAGAAUCCAAGAUUGGCCAAACGAUGAAUAUCCUUCACCAAUUUUUGUUUUCCUUCCUCCACAUGAGCCAAAAUUCUCAUAGACAACUUUCUACGAGCAUCAGCAACCACAUUAGCCUUACCUGGGUGGUAGUGAAGACUCAUAUCAUAGUCUUUGAAAAGCUCAAGCUAUCUUCUUUGCCUGAGAUUAAGCUCCUUCUGCGUGACUACAUACUGAAGACUCUUAUGAUCAGAAAAAAUAUCCACGUGAACACCAUACAGAUAAUGUCGCCAUAUUUUUAAAGCAAACACAUCCACCAAUAGCUUCAAAUCAUGAGUAGGAUAAUUCCUCUCAUACACCUUAACUACCUGAAAGCAUAGGCAAUCACCUUCCCAUACUGUAUUAAAAUGCAACCAAGCCCUACUCGAUAUGUAUCACAAUGAACCAUAAACCCUUCAUUGCCUUCUGGCAAAGUCAAAAUCGGAGCCGACGUCAACCUAUCCUUCAAUUUCUCAAACUCCCAUCAUAAUCAUCCAACCAAGAAAACUUAACCUUCUUUUGAGUUAACUUAGUCAAAGGAGCGGCUAUCGACGAGAAACUUUCCACGAACCGCCUAUAAUACCCGGCUAAACCUAUAAAGCUCCAAAUAUCGAAUGAAGUUGUGGGUCUAGGAUACUCCUUCACCGCAACAACCUUUUAAGGAUCAACCAUUAUUCCCUCACUAUAAAUAAUGUGACCCAAAAAGGUCACGACAUUCAACCAAAACUCACACUUAGAGAACUUAGCAAACAACCGCUACUCCUUUAAGGUCUGCAACACUACACGGAGGUGAUUAGCAUGAUCCACCUCACACCUCGAAUACACUAGAAUGUCAUCAAUAAACACAAUGAUAAAGAGAUCCAAAUACUGCCUAAACAUCCUGUUCAUCAAAUUCAUAAAUAUCGUUGGAGCAUUUAUCAAUCCAAAUGACAUCACCAAGAACUCAAAAUGCCUAUAUCGAGUACGAAAAACCAUCUUAGGGAUAUAUACCUCCCUAAUCUUAAGCUAAUGAGACCCAGACUGAAGAGGUACCCAGAUCGAAGAUCUAUCUUGGAAAAGAACUUGGCACUCUACAACUGAUCAAACAGAUCUUCUAUCCUUGGAAGAGGACACUUGUUCUUGAUCGUUACCUCGUUAAAAUGCCUGUAGUCAAUGCACAUCUGAAGAGAACCAUCCUUUUUGCACACAAACAAAACUGGUGCACCCAACAGAGAAAUACUAGGACGAAUAAAUCCCUUAUCCAGAAGAUCCUUAAUUUUCUCCUUGAGUUCUCUUGACUUAGCCAGAGCUAUUUUAUACAGAGGAAUAGAUAUUGGACGAGUGUUUGAAAGCAAAUCAAUACCAAAAACUAUUUCCCUAUUCGGAGGAACAUCAGGAAGAUCAUUCAAAAAGACCUAUGGAAACUCAUUAACUACCAAAACUGAUUGUAAAGAAGGACCUUUUGAGUCAGAAUCUUUAACCUAGACUAAGUGAUAAAGACACCCUUUUAAGAUUAACCUUCAAUCUCUAAGAUAAGAAAUAAAUCUUUCCCUAGGAGCUAAAGAACAACCCUCCCAUUCUAUUUUUGACUCGCCGGGGAACCUAAAGAUGACCUUACGAGUCCGACAGUCUAAAGACGCAUAAUAAGAAUACAACCAAUCCAUACCCAAAAUCACAUCAAAAUCCACCAUUACCAACUUAAACAGAUCUACCAAGGUCUUUCUGUCACCAACAGAUACCACACACCCUUUAUAAACUUGGUCAGCAAUGACUGAGUCUUCUACUGGGGUAGAAAUAGAAAAAAAUCCAAAAUAAUUUUUGAAUCAAGACCAAAACACACUGCUAUAUAAGGAGUCACAUAAGAAAGAGUGGAGCCUAGAUCAAGAAAAUAAUAUACGUCAUGGGAAAAGAGCUAUAACAUACCAAUAAUAAUAUCAGGUGAUGCCUCGAAUUUUUAUCGGGAUGCCAAAGCGUAUAACCUUUUCUGACCAACACUAGAGUCAGGAGCAGUAACAGAAGCAGAUGCCACACCACCAGGUGUAGGAGCAGAAGAUGAAGCCACCGAAAUCUUAUUCACCCCGGUAGUAACCUUAUUAACUGGACAAUCCUUGAGCUAAUGUCCCACCUGACUGUACUUAAAGCACUUAUCUCUACCAUCCUCAUAGAAACCCUGAUAAGGACGACCAUAGAACCGACAAAGAGGACAUAAAGAAAUAGACUAACUUACACUCGCUUAAGAUUGGGCAACCUGAGCUCGAGAAUUAUCACCACCUUGGUGAUGCCUGUCGCCCAAUUGCUGUGAGUAAGAAGCACUAGCAACAGAGAAGGAACCAAAACUCCUCCAUUUUUUUUUCUGCCACUUUCCACUAUCUCUACCACUCUAGGACUAUGCACCUUCCUGAUUAAAAAAUCUGCCCUACUUCCCCUACCUAUCCCUAAAUUUUACCUACUUUCUCUUCUCAUCCUUAACAUACUGCAUAUGAACAAGUAACCUAGAGAUAUCCAUAUCCCUGAUGAGCAAAGCAGUCUUGCUCUCCAAAAUCAGAUCUAUAUUCAGCCCAAAAGCAAACUUUCUCAUUCUCGACCUCAUAUCAGCUACCAAAUCUGGAGCAUACCUUAACAACUGAUGGAACUUCAAGGCACCUUAUAGACAUCUUCCAUUGCCUAAAGUUUACAAACUCCUCCAUCAUAGCUUUCCUUAACUCUUGAGGAUAGAAAUGAUCCAUAAAGGCAUUAGAAAAGGCCUUCCACAACCCUUCUUUUUUCAUAUCACCCUUAUCUCUGUCCUACUCCUUAUACCACUGAUAAGCAACAUCUUUGAGCUAAUAAUCUGCAAAGUUAACUUUCUCCACAUCAGAAGCCUACAUAACCCAAAAUAUCUUCUCCAGUUUAUCCAAGAAGCCCUGUGGGUCUUUCUCUACCUUCACUCCCAUAAAAGUAGAAGGAACCAUCUUUAUAAAUUGACCAACCCUUGUGGCCUCAGUAUAUAAAGCACUAGCCGCAUCCCACUCGACUUGAGUAGCGACCAUCUGAGCAAUAACAUGAACAGACUGAUGAAACUUCGCAUUCGUCACGUUACCCUGAGGGACCUGAGAAGCAGUAGGAGAAAUAAGAGACACUCCAACACAAUCAAUAAUAGGACCAUGAGAUCAAAGAUGUACUCCAGACGUAGAAGGUACCCCUUCAGCAUUAUCCCCAGAUGAGGCAGAAGAAUUUAUUUGCGUUCCAGAUCUAGGAGGUAUGAUCUAAAAGACAAAUAACCAAGGAUUAGAGAGGAUUUCAGGACUGAGAAUUUCAAGAAAGUAAAAUAUUCUUAAAUGUCUUGCAACCUCUCUCUUAUGAGUGUGAUGCGCUACACGCCCUUAAAAAGACUUUACUCGACACGGCUUUGUGGACUUCCCAGUUGACCAUAAACCUAAAGCUCUGAUACCAACUUAUCACGAUCCAAAUCAGGGCCUAGACAUAAUGAGCAUCCCAAGUCUAACCAGGACCGAGGACUGCCCCCUUAAUCCAACCUAACCACCUUUCACAGCCUUAGAUGAGCUGAAUUUUGAACAUAUAUGUUGACACCUAAUUUUUGCCCUCCACAACCCAAUUUAAUUUCAAGUUUUUUUAAUUUUAAAAUAAAGUCAGAACAAUUAUUUUAUUCUAAUAAAUGCAAUUUAAAAGAUUUAUUUGAGUUAAUUUUGUCAUUUAAUUAACGAUUAUAAGUUUUGUAUUUUUAUACAAGAAUGUAUAAAUUUUGUUAUUUAAAUGAACAUUCUUUAUUAAAAUUAGACUUUUAUUGAUUACACUUGAAAAUUAAUCUAAAUGGAUAAAGUCUUGAUUUUAAAUAUGAUUUGUUCUCAAAAUAUUUUAUUUGGAGCAAUAUUUGUUUGAUUUUUAUCAAAUUAAGAAACUCGAGGUUAAUUUGCUACUUAAUUCGUGUCGGAUUGCGAUUCAAUUUAGCGAACUAAUUAAAUAUGACCUCAAUUGAAAUCAAAUUGGCCCAAUUGUAAUGCAAUUGACCAAUGGAUAUUCAAUUUGGUUAGAGUUUAAAUAAGUCACUUAAAUUAUAAUUCAACCUUAAUCUCCCAAAUUACCAUUUCCUAAUUGAAAUUAUUUUAAUCCAAUUAAAUUUAAUUAGGGUUAUUUAAUAACUCCAAUUAGAUUUAAUUAGGGCUAUCAAAUAACCCCCAGCCUACCUAAGAAACAAAGCAGUCCAGCGGCCCAUUUUUGUUUCUACUCCAUUCUCAACCCAAUACCCAUAGCUGCCCCAAAACUUGACUCGACACACUACUCUAUUUCCCUCUUUUCCCACAAAACAUCAAAACAUUACCCAAUCUCAGCAGCUAAGCUGUAUACAACCAACAGAAGCAGCAAUCUCAACAACCUGAAUCAACUUCAAAAAUCUAAACCUGACCCGCCAACGACCCACAAUCUACUAACCAGCAACCUGACCCGACCUUAAUCUUUAGCAUACCAGCCAACCCAAUUCCUCACGCAUCUCACACAUCAAUAGGACAAGAAAAGAAGCUAAAAACCUUCUAGAAUAGGUCCAAGUAUCCCCUCAAUGGAUGAAUUUUGCAAAUCUUGGCAACAAUGGUACGAAUUCGUACAUACCUAGUUGUUUUUCAUUGGUUUUGGGGUAAAAAUUCCUUUUGACCCAUUCUAAUUGGUCCACCAAUUCCAAAUGGGUAGAAUGGUGGUUGAAAACCUAAGAAAUUUUGAAUUUGAAAUGGAGGGAUACUUUUUCUUUCAGGUCAAAAAGGGACUCUGAAUUGGUAUCCUAUAAAAGGUCCCUUGAGGUCACUAUUUGGAGGACCUUGGUUUUUUUUUCUUUCGGGAGUUUAUUGUUUAGGAUUCGAAAUUGGUGGUUCUUUCUCUUUUCAAAGAAUUGAGAUUGGAAAUUCUGAAGAAGAAAGAGAAAUUUUUUAGAGGAUAUCAAUCUUUUAGCAAAAAUCAGCUCUUCUUGUGUUUGAAAGUCAGUGGUUUCAUUCAAAAUCCAAAAGUUACGUAGAUUAGUUGUGGUUGCGAGUUGGUGACGACACUUUUUUUGGUGGCUGUGAAUCCGAUAUUAGCUCGUAGUACUGUUUUACUGCUCUAAAAUAGGUAACACUCCGCUACGUUCAGUUUUUUUGAAUUGUUUCUGCUUUAUUUCCUAGUUCUAUGGUGAUGAAUAAUACCUUCAUAUGCUGGGUUGUUUGCUAGUAGAGGCCUUAAAGGCCAUAGUUUUGUUUCUUCUUUCUUUUCUGUAGCUAUGAAGCAAGGGUCGGAUUAUUGUCACAUUGAAGUAAUUGUCUUAAGCUGUCUGGUAUGCGAUUUCUAUUGUUUGUGCCUCGACAUUCAUUUUAUCAUUUACUCUUGAUAUUGUUGCUUAAUCUUCGACUUAACAUCUCGUCUUGGGUACUACUUGUGACUCAAAGGCUGGUUUCAUCGCUUAAAGUUUUGUGCUUUGAAUAUUGUUUGACAGUUUUAGGCUAAUGACGUUUUGAACAAACUAGUAGAGUUUCAUGCUUUGGAUUUUUUUAACAGAUUUAUUUUUAGGUUGAUGGUAUUUUGUCAUGGCUGAUUUUUUUUUACGUUCACUCUCGCGCUUUGACCGCUUUGGGUUGGUAGUGCUUUUGUUGUAGUUGGCCUUAUAGUUAAAGCUCUUCGCUUCAAUCCUUGUUAAACAGUCUAGGGCUGGUGGUAUGCUAUUAUGGUUGAUUUCAUGGCUUAAACAACAUGCCUUUCAUGUCUCCUGUAACUUUAAAAGCUUUUGUUCUAUUUUUAUGAAAGUAGGUUUUUUUCUUGUUUCUAUCCUUUUCCUUUUGGAUCGAACACUGUGGUGGCUUUAUUUCUCUCUUAUGGACAUUUAUUAGCACCCGAUUUUAGAUUCAAUGUCUCGAUAGGGUAAAAAUAUGAGUCCCUAUUUUCGUCUUAAUGUUUUCGAUUCUAAUUGUUGAAGUUUUAUUGUGUUAAUUUGACAUUGAUCGUGUAGUUUAGGAUUGUUAGCUCAUAUGUUGUUGUGACUCUUCAUGCCAGUAGCAUAAAUGUUAUUUGUUGUGAUUGGAAUCCAUGAUUUGUCCAAGUUUUGCUAAUCUACCAUUAACCCGCUGCAUGAAUUAUUCAAGGUAGCAACUCUUGUACUAGAAUUUUCUUGGCUUACAAACUGAUUAAUUCUAUAUUUUGUUUGAACUUGCAUCCAAUUCUCUCUCCUUUCACCUAUUCAUUUAAUCUCUCAGGAUAUCCAAUUCGCGUCUUUAUUUUGCUAUGUCUAAUUUUUUAUUCCUUAUGGUCUCCUUGUUUGAUUUUCCAUGUACGAGUUUGAUUCAUGUUCCUUGGUUGUCCAAACUAUUCAUUCUUAUGAACGCGUAUUAAUUCAUAUAUUUUUUCUUUGCAUGAACCCGUCUUUGAGCCCAAACGGACUUUAUCCCAUUGUUGCAUAUUUAGUGUGGGCCAUUGAGGCCCAUCCCUUAUGAUUUAAUUUCGAAGGCCCUAAGGAGAAAAUCUCAUAGUGCAUGGAUACAAAGAGUCGAAGAAGAAAAAUGGAUUAAAGUCCUACGGUUGAAGCGGCCAAGAGACUUGAAAGUUUUGGAUUUCAUUUCAUUCAUUUAUUUAGUCAUUUAUUAUUGUUGUCUUUAUUUAUUUAGUUAUUUCUUUAUUCAUUUAUUUGGGGCCUCAAAGCCAAAGUUGUAAAUUUAAUACAGGUAAAGUAAAAAUUGAGCCAAGGGCUCGAAAACAUAGGAUUAGGACAGGUGAAAAAUGGGUUAAAAAAUCCAACUAGAUUAGGACAGGGUCGACGGUUUGGGCUUAAAAGCCUAAAUCACCACUUCUCCUUUUCUUCUUUCCCUUUUGCUUACUUGUUUACGUGUUUCUUGCGAACCUAGUUAAUCCUUUAGUCGAGUCGUUAAAAAACUAAUUUUGCAUAAACGUCAAAAUAUUUCUAAAAUCGAGUUCUUUUCAAAAAUCAAUCUUUUCAGAAGUUAAUCAAAAGAUGUUUUCAAAUAGUUCGGAUAACCGCAAGUUAGCGGACGUUUUAGAUGCCUAACACCUUCCUAAAACGUUAAUAAGAACCGCUUACUCAGAAUCUCUUAACUUAAACUAUUUUCCUGUUUUGAAUCGUUUGAAGUAUCUCUUUAAAGGUUUCUUGAUUCCUUUUCAAAAUUAAGUGGCGACUUUCUCUCAAAAAGCCGAAAUUUCUCCGCAAAAUAGAAAUGGUGACUCUACUGGGGAUCUCUAACUAGGUUCUAUCCAAAUGUUUGAUUUCGUCUUUUGAUUAACUGUUUAUGUGUUUAUGUGUUUCAAUUUUGUAGAGUUUAAUUAUCGCAUCUCAUGGCAUAUUCCUACAUUAUUUAAACUGGUUUGGGGUUUUGUGGGUUUCCCGGCCCCUAUUGAUCAAUUCCAAAAAUAUUUUGGAAAUACAAAUAGUUUAUUAGCACGUGAGUCAUCUAAUGGAUGUUUGUAUUUUCAAACUCAAGUUGUCCGCUUGAGAACCAGUGUUCAAACCCACUAUAGAUACCUAGGAUAGAGCAAAACCAAAAUCUUAUUUCAGGUAUGAGCCAAGGACGACCCAAUACCUGAGCGGGGUAUUGGGCCCAUUAGAAAACCUGCAUCUAUUGACCUCGAGUCAAUUACAGAUGAAUCAUAUUUAUGUGUUGAAGAAAUAUAUGCUUGUCUAAUUCAAUCCAUUACCCUUUGGGGGACGGGGAAAGGCUUAUCUUUAUUUUCUUUCGUGUAGGUAUGACUCAAUUGCAUUCCCACGAGAAGUUCAAGAUGGUUACUAAACCCGACGAUUACCUGAAACCAUGGUGGGACUAUAUGAGCGCAGAAGAGAGAAAAAUUGUUAGAACACACAUCGGAUACCUGCCUUCAUUGAUUGAAAUGGAUGCUUGGCCCAAAAUGAUCCACGUGCUUACCAUUUUUUGGGAUGAUUAGAAUAUGGUGUUUCGCUUCGGGGAUGUGGAAUUGAAUCCUACCAUUGAAAAAGUGUUAAUUUGCUAUGAGGGUAUUGAAAUGUGUUUCAAGAGAAAGGAAAAACCCGAUAAGAACAUUUUAGUUCCUGCCGUGUGGGACCGUCAAACAAUCAAAGAGGCUUUUUUAACUGAUGACGACACCUGGUUAGGAGAACAUGAUGGAGCAAAUAUCACUUUUCGGGAGUUGUAUCAUUGGUUUGGAAGAUUCAAUGCCUUCCACAAAUUUGGACAUAAAUUUAAGUCCGAAGUAAAAUGGAAGGAGAUGAGAGCCUUUGCGUUUGCGGUAGGUCUACUCGGAACCAUGGUGUUCCCACAGGGGGAAAAUGGCAAAAUUCAUCCAAGGGUUGUUACGGCGGCUCAUGCACUUUUCUUUGGAGUAGAUUACGAUUCUAACAAGGUAUUCCACAAUUUAGCUCCCAUGAUUGUCACCAACAUAUAUCGAGCCUUGGGAAGGUGUCAAGUUGAAAAUUGUUUCUUUCAAGGUUGCAACCUCAUAUUACAAUGGUGGAUGAUGAAGCAUUUGGUAAAGGAUUUGAGAACGAUACAACCUGAUCAUAAAACAAGGGUGGAUAUGUUGGUUUCGCACGACAUGUGGUUGUUUCUACACAAGUUCAAAAGGGAAGCAUCUUACGAACUUUGGUUUAAGACUUUCGGGGAAUUAAGAGAUGAUGAUGUGCAAUGGUCCAUUAACUCUCUUCAUUCAGGGAAAUACACCAUUGAGGGGGAAAGUAGCCUUCCCUAGUGCUUUUCGGUCUCAGAGGGACCCAUCCCUACAAUCCUGGCAGAGUUCUUAGCUAAUUCGAGAUCAACCAGGAGGCACCACAAAUAGAUUCCAUGCUUAGGUUUUUCACCGAAUACGACAAAAGUGAGUCUCCGCUCAAAGACGGCAUGAUAAAUGGAUGAAGAAGAAGAAGGUGGACCGAAGUGACUUUUCGUAUAAAGCAUGACCCUAAAGUCAGCGACAUUUACAAGGAGUGGUUGAAAAAGAGCCUCGCCGGAGCAUUGAUUCUGGGACCAAAUGUGCCCACUCAGGUUGUGGAUGUAGAAUCCGAGCAUCAAGUUUGGCUCCACAGGCUACAAGAUGAGUUCCAGAAAAGUGAAAUUGCGCAUUGGUAGGUACACAUGAAGGAUGUUUUAACAAUACAUAUGUUGAAGGAAGAGCUGAAAAGAGUUAGGUAAGAGGCUGAUGAUGCUAGGCAGUGUUUAAUCAAUUUGGAUGAUAGCAUGGCCUCUCAACUCGAUAGUAUAAGGAAAAUGACUUACGACAGCAAGGCACAAUUAUGCGGGGGUCAUCUUAUCAUCAAUAGGUAUCAAAUAGCACAGGAGGUAAAUAAGGUAAAGAAAGCAAAGACAGACGAAGGAGCCUCCAGUAGCUAGUGUUUCUAUUUCCCCUGUGCGGGAACUUAUCUUCUUUCAUGUUAUUUCCCCCUUUCCCUAAAGAUUGUAUCCCUUUUUCAUUAUCUUUUGUAGGCAUUUAUGCCCUUUUUCGUGUCUAUAUAAGUUGGGGGUUAAUGAAUUGACUUCGAUGAAGCAUAUAUUUUCUUCAAAAAUCGUUAGGCCUGAACUCUUAGCUCAAAAAGGUUCACCCCAGCUAGGAUACUCGUUAUUAUACUAUUUUUAUGUGAUAUAACUGUUUUAUGUGCUUAUGUGCAUUUGUUUGGAUCAAAGGCAAGUUUAUUCACUAUGUUCUAUAGAUGAAGUUGGCUAUGACUCAAACAACUCUAUGUGGUUAUUUCCUGUCAAAUAUUUUGCAUUACUUAUCACAUACGGAAACUAGCACAUCUGCCUUUGAGUUGUUUUACUUUACAGAUAAUAGAAAUUACUCCGUGUUGAUAUAAGCUAGCAGAACAUCCCUACUUCACCCGAUCGAAAGUGCACAAAAUUCUAUCCUCUGACCAUCAUUCAAAAAUGAUAGGAAAUGACGAAGAAAGCGCACUGACUAUCCAGGACAAUGUGAUAGCGGAACAGAAUGAGAUGAUUGCAGAACUUGCAAGAAAGUUAAAAAUGCUUCAGGAAGAAAUAAAUCGCACUCGGGAUUUGGCUAACUUGGCCAUCACCGUCAAUGCCCCCACUUCGAGAGAACAUGGGACUUCACUCCAAAUUUCUCCCCUCAGCACCCCUACUCUUGGGGAUCAGCCAAAUAAUGUAUCAUCCCUCUCCGCUCCCCCAUUUGUCCAAAAUACCAAUUGUGAAAAUAACCCAGACGCCUACUAUCCGUAAAAUCCAUCUCUAACCCUACAGAACCCAUCUCCAAAUCCAUUACCAAAUCCUCAAAACAUAUUUUCAAAUCAAUAAAAUGCAUUCCCAAAUCCACAAGAUUCUCUCUCAAAGCCACAAAAUACGUCAAACCUACCUUCAAAUCCCCCAAAUCAUUUCCAAAUUCGUAAAACCCCUCUCAGAUUCUGCCAAACUACUCGUAAAGUCCGCAGAAUCUUUCCUAUUUCUAAAACGUCCUCCCCACUUACCAACCAAAUUCCUUUCAUACGCAAAAUCAAGCCCCCUUUCAAAUUCCCCUCAGGCCAUCACAUCCCCUGAUAUCUAUGAACCCAUUCCUAAUCUCGAGAUGGACCAUUACGAGGAGAAAGAGAGAGAGUGGAGGACCGAGCAUGAAAAAAAAUUGCUAGCUAUGAAGGAAGAGAUCAGGAGAAUCAAAGAGUCUCAUAGAGCCAGGGACCAUGACGGUUUGGGGUAUGACGACUUAUGUGUUCACCCAGGAGUAGACCUACCAGAUGGGUAGAAAGUCCCUAAGUUUGAAAUGUUUAACGAUCCCAAAAACCCAAUGGCCCAUCUAAAAAGGUACUGUAAGCAACUGGUAGGGAUAGGGAAAAAUAAGGCGUUGUUGAUGCGCCUAUUUAGUCAAAGUUUAAGCAGCCAAUCCUUAGAAUGGUUCAUGUCUCAGGAGCCGAAAAGAUGGACUGGUUGGAAAGCAUUGGCCAAGGGUUUCCUUCACAGGUUUGCAUUCAACAUUGAAAUAAUCCCUGAUCGAUAUUCACUACAUCGGAUCAAACAGCGGAAUGAUGAGAGUUUUCGAGACUAUGCUUUUCGUUGGAGGAAAGAAGCUGCCAAAGUGCAACCCCCUAUGUCUGAGGAAGAAAUGGUAUCCGUGUUCUCUCGCACUCAAGAAGGAGAAUAUUAUACCAGGAUGGUGUCCGAUGUUAGGGAAACUUUUAUGGAAAUGGUAAAAAUAGGAGAAUCAUUGGAAGAAGGCAUUCGGACAAGGAAAAUUGCCAAAACCCCGACGUCGUCUGGGACUGUCAUGUUCUCGAAAAAGAAAAAGAAAGAUGUAGGUGCAAUUUCUGUUGAUUCUGUUGUGAAAACAAAAAAGAGGUUCAACUCUAGGAAUGUUUUCUCUUCUCUACCAUCACCAAGCCUUCAACAUAUAUUCUAUGGCCACCCUCAAUACCAAGCUCCAUAGCCAAAUAUCUCCCCCCCCCAAUACCAAGAUCCACUCCCAAACUUCCAAUCCUCAUACCAAGCUCCACAACCAAAUAUCUUUCCCCAAUACCCAGUUCCACAUCUAAAUUAUCAGUCUCAUUUCCAAUCUACUCCUCUAAAUAAUUGAAUAAAUUCCCAAGAGCCUCCAAAUUAUCACCAAGUACCUCCUCCUAUAAAUCAAGGCCAUUAUAACCCCCCACGUCCAAACCACAAAAAGAAACCUCUCCGAAACUUUACCCCAUUAGUUGAAAGCCACACCUAAUUGUUUGAAAGAUUGAAGAAUGUUGGUUAUUUGCAACAAAUAUAGCCAAGGCCUGUCAAUCCCAACUCUCGAUUUUUUAAUGCAAGUCAACAUUAUGCCUAUCAUUCAAGAGCAGUGGGGCACAGUACUGAGGAUUGUAUCCACCUAAAAUAUAGGAUCUAGGAUUUAAUCGAUCAAAAGGUCAUCACGCUCCAAACACCUACACCAAAUAUUAACAGUAAUCCAUUGCCCAAUCAUGGGGGACCUACAGUUAAUAUGAUUGAAAUCGAGGGUGAAUGGGCAUCUGGCAAGAUCAUUACUAAGGUAAACUCUGAAAAAUCCAAAAGGGUAGAAGAGGUAGGAAAGAUAGAGAGAGUUGUGGCUGCCUUAAGUGUCAACGAGAAAGCCUUAUUUAUAGUGAUGAUGGCUCCAAGUCAUGUGCACCCUCCCCCAUCAAGAAAGGAAUUCAUUGUACAGACUACUGUUGCCCAAGGGAUGAUGCGGUCAGGACAAUGAUAUAUCCCUGAGGAAUUGACGAACAAAAAGGAUUCACAGAAAAGUCCAAUCACUGAAGGAGAGGCUGAGGAAUUUUGGAGGCGUAUGCAACCAAAAGAUUACUCAAUUGUGAAAUAUUUAGAGAAAACACCAGCCCAAAUCUCUGUUUUGGCACUAUUAAUGAGUUCGCAAUACCACCGACAAGCUUUAUCGAAGGUUUUGGAUGAAGCAUAUGUUCCCGCAGGAACGAGUGUUGAGAACCUGGCUAUGAUAAUAGGAAACAUUGUGGGUAAUCAUCGCAUAUCAUUCUGUGAUGAAGAGUUGCCAUUUGAAGGAGCGAUGCAUAACAAAGCCCUGCAUGUCACUAUCAUUUGUCGAGAUUAUGCGAUUAAUCAGGUAUUAAUAGAUGACAGAUCUGGUGUGAUUAUUUCCCCCCUCUCUAUGUUGGUUCAAAUGGGCUAUGAUUUGGGGAAAAUUUGUCAAAGCCACAUAAAUGUGAGAGCAUUCGAUGAAGCUACCUUAAAACCUAACCCGGCCCACUACUCUAUUUCCCUAUUUUCCUAUAAUACAUCAAAACAUUACCUAAUCUCAAUAGCUAAGCUGCGUACAACCAACAUAAAUAGCAACCUCAACAACCUGAAUUAACUUCAAGAAUCUGAACCUGACCCGACCUUAAUCUUAAACAUACCAGCUGACCCGAUUCCUCACGCAUCUCACACAUCAAUAGGUCGAGAAAAUGAGCUGAAAACCUUCUAGAAUAGGUUCAGGUGUCCCCUCAAUGGAUGAAUUCCGCAAAUCUCGGUAACAAUGGUACGAAUUCGUACAUACCUGGUUGUUUUUCAUUGGUUUUGGGGUAAAAAUUCAUUUUGCCCUAUUCUAAUUGGUCCAUCAAUUCCAAACGGGUAGAAUGGUUGUUGAAACCCUAAGAAAUUUUGAAUUUGAAAUGGAGGGAUACUUUUUCUUUCAGGUUAAAAGGGGACUCCGAAUUGGUCUCCUAUAAAAGGUCCCUUGAGGUCACUAUUUGGAGGACCUUAUUUUUUUUCCUUUUUGGAGUUUACUAUUUAGGAUUUGAAAUUGGUGGUUCUUUCUCUUUCCGAAAAAUUGAGGUUGGAAAUUUUGAAGAAGAAAGAGAGAAAUUUUUAGAGGAUAUCAAUCUUUUAGCAAAAAUCAGCUCUUCUUGUCAUUGAAAGUCAGUGGUUUCGUUGGAAAUCCAGAAGGUUCGUAGACUGGUAGUGGUUGCGAGUUGGUGACGAUAUUUUUUCUGUGGCUGUGAAUCCGAUAUUAGCUCGUAGUACUGUUUUACUGCUCCUAAAAAGUAAUACUUCACUACGUUUAAUUUUUUUUAUUAUUUCUGCUUCAUUUUGUGGUUCUAUGGUGAUGAAUAUUACCUUGGUAUGCUGGGUUGUUUGCUAGUAGAGGCCUUAAAGGCCAUAGUUUUGUUUCUUCUUUCUUUUCUGUAGCUGUGAAGCAAGGGUCAGAUUAGUUCGCAUUGAAGUAAUUGUCUUGAGUUGUCUGGUGUGCGAUUUCUGUUGUCUAUGCCUCGACAUUUGUUUUAUCAUUUACUCUUGAUAUUGUUGCUUAAUCUUUGACUUAACAUCUCAUCUUGGGUACUAUUUAUGACUCGAAGGCUGGUUUUGUCGCUUAAAGCUUUGUGCUUUGACUAUUGUUUGACAGUUUCGGGCUAAUGACGUUUUGAACAAACUGGUAGAGUUUCACGCUUUGGAUUUGUUUAACAGAUUUUUUUUCUAGGUUAAUGGUAUUUUGUCAUGGCUGAUUUUUUUUUACGUUCAGUCUCAUGCUUUGACCGCUUCGGGUUGGUAGUGCUUUCGCUGUAGUUGGCCGCAUAGUUAAAGCUCUUCGCUUCAAUCUUUGUUUAACAGUUUAGGGCUGGUGGUAUGUUAUUAUGGUUGAUUUCAUGGCUUAACAAUAUGCCUUUUAUGUCUCCUGUAACUUCAAAAACUUUUGUUCUGUUUUUAUGAAAGUAGGUUCUUUUCUUGUUUCUAUCCUUUUCCUUUUGGAUCGAACAAUGUCUCGAUAGGGUAAAAAUGUGAGUCCCUGCUUUCGUCUUAAUGUUUCCAAUUCUAAUUGUUGAAGUUUUAUUGUGCUAAUUUGACAUUGAUCGCAUAGUUUAGGAUUGUUAGCUCAUAUGUUGUUGUGACUAGUCAUGCCAGUAGCAUAAAUGUUAUUUGUUGUGAUUGAAAUUCACGGUUUGUUCAAGUUUUGUUAAUCUACCAUUAACCCGCUGCAAGGUAGCAACUCUUGUACUAGAAUUUUCUUGGCUUACAAACUGAUUAGUUCUUUGUUUUGUUUGAACUUGCAUCCAAUUCUCUCUCCUUUCACCUAUUCAUUUAAUCUCUCAGGAUAUCCAAUUCGCGUCUUUAUUUUGCUUUGUCUAAUUUUUUAUUCCUUAUGAUCUCCUUGUUUGAUUUUCCAUGUACGAGUUUGAUUCAUGUUCCUUAGUUGUCCAAACUAUUCAUUCUUAUGAACGCGUAUUAAUUCAUAUAUUUUUUCUUUGCAUGAACUCUUUGAGCCCAAACGGACUUUAUCCCAUUGUUGCAUAUUUAGUGUGGGCCAUUGAGGCCCAUCCCUUAUGAUUCAAUUUCGAAGGCCAUAAGGAGAAAAUCUCAUAGUGCAUGGAUACAAAGAGUCGAAGAAGAAAAAUGGAUUAAAGUCCUACGGUUGAAGCGGCCAAGAGACUUGAAAGUUUUGGAUUUCAUUUCAUUCAUUUAUUUAGUCAUUUAUUAUUGUUGUCUUUAUUUAUUUAGUUAUUUCUUUAUUCAUUUAUUUGGGGCCUCAAAGCCAAAGUUGUAAAUUUAAUACAGGUAAAGUAAAAAUUGAGCCAAGGGCUCGAAAACAUAGGAUUAGGACAGGUGAAAAAUGGGUUAAAAAAUCCAACUAGAUUAGGACAGGGUCGACGGUUUGGGCUUAAAAGCCUAAAUCACCACUUCUCCUUUUCUUCUUUCCCUUUUGCUUACUUGUUUACGUGUUUCUUGCGAACCUAGUUAAUCCUUUAGUCGAGUCGUUAAAAAACUAAUUUUGCAUAAACGUCAAAAUAUUUCUAAAAUCGAGUUCUUUUCAAAAAUCAAUCUUUUCAGAAGUUAAUCAAAAGAUGUUUUCAAAUAGUUCGGAUAACCGCAAGUUAGCGGACGUUUUAGAUGUCUAACACCUUCCUAAAACGUUAAUAAGAACCGCUUACUCAGAAUCUCUUAACUUAAACUAUUUUCCUGUUUUGAAUCGUUUGAAGUAUCUCUUUAAAGGUUUCUUAAUUCCUUUUCAAAAUUAAGUGGCGACUUUCUCUCAAAAAGCCAAAAUUUCUCCGCAAAACAAUAUAACAAGAUAGCGUUAUUGCUCAUAUCAAGACUUUAGGAUAGGGUCACAAUUGUGACCGACCCAACCGAUUCUAGCCAUACCAAACCCAACUGUUGACACUCAAUUUUGAUCGCCCAAUACUCCUUCUAGGCUACAAUUUUAGCAAAAUUAUUAGUUUUAAAUGUUAGAAUUUUUUACAUAUUAUUCCCGUAUCGAACAGAUAUUAACAUGUCAUAUUCAUGAUUUAAAAAAAAUGCAUAAAUUAUUUUAUUAUCUUUUAGUAUCAUUUUUUAAUAAUUUUUUUAAACUCAAAUACAAUAUUUUAUAUAAUUUUAUUAAUAUUUAUUAAAUUAUUUUUUUCACGUAAUUGUGCACACUCAUAUUUUUGCAAAUACAUUGUAUAGUUUUUCAUUAUUAUUAUUAUUAUAUUUAUAACAUUUAUUAAAUAGUAGCCAAUUCUAAUUUAUUUAAUUUCUAGCCAUUAUUGUAUGCAAUUUAUGUCAAUUGUAGUCAAUACUGACAUCAAUUUUAACCCUAAAUUGACAUCUAAAUUUUGAUCUAUUUGUUAAACUAUUUUAAUCUCAGUCGUUGAUCAAAGUUGAUCCAAUAACUGAGAUCGAAGUUCUCUUUUCUUUCCUUUUAAAUAAAACAAGCAAACCCUAAUCCCAUUUUCAAAACAACAGCCGCAACCCCACCUUUCUCUCUCUAUCUCAUCUCUCUCGACCUUUUCUCUCUCUAAGUUCCCCCGACCCUCCUCCCCUCUCCGUAGAAACAGCCAUGGCUGCCACCGACCAUCCCACCGCCGGUGAGCCCCUCUCCUUCAUCUACCCCACUCCUUCAUCUAUCUCCCUUCCCUCUCUCUGAGGUACCACCGCCGCAACCGUCGUCAAAGCCGACCACCUUCCUUUCCUCUCCAGUCGCCGCCAGCCGCCAUUGCAAGCCACCCAACAAAAAUGAAAGCCCUCUCCAUCACCGCCAAAACUCCAUCCAUUAGCCCCAAUGCAACCAACCAUCAAAAUAGCCGACCUCCGGCAAGCCUCCGUCACCGCUCCGCCUCCCUCUGUUCAUCCCUCCACCAGCAGCCGGCGAAUACCGCCAUCUCCCACCACCAAGCCAAAACCAGUACCCGCCACCACCCGUAGUCGCUGCAAACCAGCAGCAACACCAACCUCCUCCGCGCAGCUGCCCGAAAAUGAUGGGUCUCAAAAACCCAUCCACAAGUUUGACUAAAUAUUUAAAAUAUUUGUGUUUAAUUUUAAUCACAUUCUACCUCCCUUUCCCUUUCUUUGACAGAUUUCGGAUUCGAAAUUAACAAAGUAUGAGUUAUUUCUUUUUGUCUGGUUCUCUGUUAUUUGUGUUUGUUUAUGUGCUAAAACUAUCAACCUUGGCUAAUCCUGAAUUUCAAAUUAAGUACUGAAUUGUGCUUAUCUUUGUGUCCAUUGUCUAUCAAUUGGAUGUUGUUGGUAAAACUGUUUUCACGUUUGCCUUUCUGCUUAAAUGUGACUUUGGACUAAUUUGUUAUGAUACAAUAGCUGGACGUAAUUGAACUAAUUGGCGAUUACUUUAUUUUUAGGAAAAGACGUGAUAUUAGUUGAUUCAUUCUCCUAAUCGGAAUAACUCAAUAUUUAGGUAAUUUUGGUAGGAGCUAAUCUGGCUAUUUUUCCUCUUUAUAUGGCAGCUCUGUUAGUUAAACAAUUAAGGUAAUUGCAUAAUUGGCGUGAUUGAGAAUAUAUUUGUUGGUGAUUUGCUCAAUUUUGAAUAUAUUGAUAGCCUCUUAUGGUAGGAUUUGAAUAAAUUGUACGAGUUUAUUUAUGGUAAGCAAGCAUAUUUUCCUCCUUUCUUAAUUACUUCAAUCUGCUGAUUUAUAUUAAUUGAUUGUUAAAAUAUUGUGUUUCCUUUUCUACCGCAAUUAAUUGAUCCUUUCUUGGUUGUUUCUCUAAUUAAUUCUUGCUACUACUGUAUAAACAACCCUCUUUUUAUUAAGGCUCUUCCUGACUACUACUCCCUCUAAAAGAAAACAAAAAGGCUACUAGUUACUUUAUAACGUAAAAGUAUAAUAUUUUCGCAAGUUCUUCGAUUUCGAAUUUCAAGAAGCACUCAAUUUAUUGUUGUCUAACGAUUUUCUUUACUCUUCUUUGUUGGUUUUGUCUCUUUUUGUAUUGGCUUUACUGUGUUGUUUGACUAUUAGACAGGACGCCCAUAAGAAUUGCUUGGUGUUCUACGUGUUAUAUCAUUGUCUGGACACUUCAUAUGUUUGUAAUCAUGUUAUAAUAUUCUUGUACGUUUUUUGUGCUUGCCAUGUUAUUUUAUGUGUCUAAUAGGUUUGGGAAAAUCGGAAGAGUUGCCAUGGAAAUUAAGGAGGGUGGCCUAUUCUUUUAGCUUCUUAUAAUUAUAUUUUUGUUAUCUAUACAGCCUGUAAUAAUCUUGUACAAACAUAUUUCUGAUGUAAUAAUAGAUUUGGGAACUGCUUGGGGACGGAGAUUUCCGUGCUCUAUGAAUAGUAUAGAUAGACACAACUUAGAUUUUUAUGUGUUACAUGAAUCAUUUAGGCACGCAAAUUUAAGAUUUAUUAACACAUGAAUUACUUAGACAAUUAAUCUAUUUAUUAAUUAAUUUGAUUAGAAAUCUUGAUUUUAAGAUCAAACUAAUGUCCGACAUGCUAAAUUAAAUUCCUGAAUAUUCACAGUUUUCAGCAUGUUAAACAUUUGAUUAAGCUUGUCCUUGGAAGCUUUUGCAGGUUAAUACGAAUUUUAGCAUGUUAGUAUUUUUGCAUGUCAAUAAUUAAAUUUCGGCAUAUCAACACAUUUUCAGCAUAUUAAACGUUAGAAUUAAGCAUGUCAUGGUAUGUUUUAGCAUGUUAAUACAAAUUUAAGCAUGUCAAUAUUUUAGAGCAUGUUAAUAUAAAAUUCUCGUGCAUCAACAUAUUUUCCAGCAUGUCCAAACAAUAGAGUCAGGCAAAUUUCAGCAUGUUAAUUACCUUAUUAAAAUUUCAGCAUGUUAACAUAAAAAAUUCCUGCAUGUUAAUUCAUUUUCAAGCAUUUAAAUGCUAAAAUUUUUAGCAUGUUAAUGGACUUUUCAGCGUUUAAAAUGAAUGUUGGUAAUAAUUUUCAACAUGUAACUUUUAACUUCUUACACGGUCAUUAGUUUACAACACGUCUUACACAAUGAAAUUUAUGAGCAUUACUUUUUAACAUAUUUACUUCACUUUGGCAGCACAUUAUUUGGACAUGAUUAACAAUUAUCUUUCGUCAUAUUAAUUAUAUUAAUUAUUAGUUUAACACGUAGAUAUCAUGCCUAUAGGUUUAACUAAACAAAAUAAAUAUAUUGUGUCUUUACAUGUUGAUCACAUUAGUUAACAUUAAUUAACUCAGAUGCUAACUUGAGAUAAUUGUGUGCUACAUGAUAUCCUACUUGUUACGCGAUAGCUUUAUUUUGUCUAGACCACAAAUCCAAAAUAGCUAAAUCCAAUACCUCUUGGACGAUAGGUAUUUCUAAAAACGUUAGUUUUAUGCUUGUCUUAUAACACCUUUAGAAUUAACAACCAACCUAGGUGGGGUGGGACGGAUAGUCAACGUUAGUUUUAUCCUUGUCUUAUAACACCUUUAGAAUUAACAACCAACCUAGGUGGGGUGGGACGGAUAGUCAUUCGGAAGUGAUGAUCUCUAGAGGCAUUACACAAUGUUCAACAUUGUUACUUGUUUAAGAAUCCGGUUAGGAUUAGUGGAUCGGAUAAGGAUUAAACAAGUUGGGAUUUUGAUUCUAAUGAAAUCAAAUUUUUUUUUUCAUUUGAUUUUUCAUUUAUUUAUUUAGGGUAGUUAGUUUAUUACAUAAGCAAUCCCUUUUGUUAUAAUUUAUAUCACUUCUCUCUCCUCGCUUGUCUUAUUUAUAUGGUUUGUUGACUUUUAUCACUUAGAUAAUUAAACAUGUGUUUGUUUAUUAAUUACUUUAUCACCUAGGUGACAAUUAAG